rnacentral:lncRNA from 1 species
CCUAAGAAACUCCUUACUUCAGUGACAGUCUCCGGGACCUUCCAUGAGUUCACAGCUUCUACUUUGGCAGGGUCUACAACGAUUCCGUCUCCGCUCACAACAUGUCCCAAAAAUUGAACUUGCUCUAGCCAGAACUCACAUUUUGAGAGUUUGGCAUACAACUUCCGAUCCUUCAAGACCUUCAAUACGACCUGCAGAUGUUCAACAUGCUCUUCCUUGCUUUUGGAAUAGAUAAGUAUAUCGUCUAUAAAGACUAUUACAAACUUAUCUAGGUAGGGUUGAAAGAUCCUGUUCAUAUAAUCCAUGAAAAUUGCAGGAGCGUUGGUCACCCCGAACGGCAUCACCAAAUAUUCAUAGUGCCCGUACCGAGUCCGGAAGGCUGUCUUCUGCACGUCGUCUGCUUUAACUUUGAUUUGGUGGUAACCGGACCGCAAAUCAAUUUUGGAGAAGACUCUGGCUCCCUUCAAUUGAUCCAAGAGAUCAUCGAUUCGAGGUAAAGGGUACCUAUUUUUAAUAGUAACCUUAUUGAGUUGACGAUAGUCAACACACAAACGCAUGCUUCCAUCCUUCUUCUUCACAAGCAAUACCGGAGCUCCCCAUGGCGAUACACUGGGACGGAUGAACCCUUUGGACAAUAACUCUUCAACUUGUUUCUUUAGUUCAGCAAGCUCCAAGGGUGACAUGCGAUAAGGUGCUGCAGAAAUUGGUGCUGUUCCAGGAAUCACAUCAAUAGCAAACUCCACUUCCCGUUCUGGUGGAAGUUCUGUCAUAUCUUCAGGAAAAACUUCUGGAAAUUCUCGUACAACGGGAAUGUCUUCCAUGGCUGGUCGCUUGGUUCCUUCUGAAGAGAAGAGAAUUAAGUAUGCUGAGGGUUUCUUCUCAGGUAGAGAGGCGGUCUGCUUCUCCUUGUACUUUUGGAGGAAUAUGGGGACUCUUAGCCGACAAUCCAACAAUACAUUAUUGAUGGAAAGCCAGUUCAUGCCCAGAAUAAUGUCUAGACCUUCUAAAGGUAGACAGACAAGAUCAGUAAUGUAUUCCUUGUUCUCUAUCACCAAGGGACACUUCUUACAUACAGAAGACAUGACUGCGGAUUCCUUGGUAGGAGUGGUUACUACUAAGUCAUAAGGUAAUUGUGUUAUAAGCAAUUUUAGCGACUUAGCCCGCUCAUGUGAUAUGAAGGAAUGUGUCGCACCUGAAUCGUACAAAACUACUAAAGGGAUGUCGCAGAGGAAACACGUACCCUGUAUCAAAUCUUCAGAAGUAUUGGCCUCUGCGCCGGUCAUUGCAAAAACUUUACCCUUGUUCACGGGUCUCCCAGAUUUCUGAGCACUUGCUCCAGCAGAGUUUCUUGGUGCAGAAGUGAUGUUGGUACCUCCAGCAACGGGUGACUUCAAGUUAGUCUGUCCUGAUGUAGUUGUUGCAGUACAACUCCAAGAUUUGUGUCCCUCCUUUCCACACCGAUAACAAGUCACAUGGCUGUUAGGAUUUGUUGGUCUUGCACCACCAUAGUUUCUGUUUUGAAGUUCUGGUUUGUAGUUCCUAGGUGAAUAAUGCUUCUUUCGUUCUUCUCUCCUCUUAGAAGUCUUGUUGAAUUUUGAGCUUUUGUAGUACUCCCUCCGAGCUCGAUCAUUUUCUUCAAAUAUCCUACAUUUUUCCACCAGCACAGUAAAAGUGCGGAUUUGCUGAUGUCCUAUUGCUGCCCUGAUGUCAGGCCUCAAACCGCACUCAAAACGAAUGCAUUUGGAGGCGUCGUCAGCUGUUGUACCAUAGUAAGGAUGAAAUUGACUCAAUUCUUCAAAGCGAGCCGCAUAUUGUCCCACAGACAUUUCUCCUUGUUUGAGCUCCAAGAACUCGGUCUCCUUUUUGCCUUUUACAUCAGCAGGAAAGUAUUUUUCAAGAAAUGCCUCAUUGAAGAUGCUCCAAGUCAAGACUCCAUCAGGUGGAGUGAUUCUGCUUUUGGCGUGUACCCACCAGUUCCUAGCUUCUUCGUGAAACAAGUAAGAAGCAUAAGCUAUCAUCCUGUCCUCACUUGUAGGCAAGGACUCAUAGAUCUGUUCAAUUUUACGGAGCCAGCGGUUGGCGCCUUCAGGGUCAUAACCUCCAUCAAAUAGAGGUGGAUUUCGCUUAAGGAAUUUGUCAAUUCCUUUGUAUACAUCAUCCUCUGCUGGUUGAUUCUGUUGUUCGGCUCUAGCAGCCUGAUUAGCUAAGAAAUUAGUCAGUUGGCGUAAAGCUUCCGCCAUGUCGUUAUCCAUUUUCCUGAAAUGCAACUAAAUUAGUAAACAAUCAUACACAAAUAAGUUCAUAGCAAAUAAUAAAGUAUACACAACAGGUAUUCAAACACAUCAAUCAUCAAAGCAUACAAAUAAAGUUAGUCUUCCAUAGAGUUCCUGAGUUCCACAGUUGAGGAACUUGAAGCUCUGAUACCAAACCUGUGGGGGCGCAACUCCAAGCACUCUGCUGGAGAGAGAGUCCCCACGUUGUAAUGUUAAUACGUCGUCACUCUCUCGCGGUGUACUUUUUUUUUAUUCUGUUUUCUUCCUACUUCGAUUAUCCUCUUGGGUGUUACUCUGAUACUCGACACCAAGCGUGUGACUGUCUCCUAAGCGUUGACUUCCAAAAUCUGAAAUAAUAAGCGUAGCGGAACAAUAAAGCGUAAGUGGUAAUACUUAGGUUUGGGAUAACAUACUCCUACACAAAUAUAUACAUCACAACAAGUACACAUCAUCGCAGCGACUAUAUCGCAAAGUCUGCCGCCACCCAAAACAUACAUCACUAAGCCAAACCGCACGGCUGUCAUCAGAGUCCUACUAAACUGAGCUCAUCAUUCAAGGGUACCACAAAAAUAGCUCAGCGGACAUAAGAGUACAUCUUCAUCAGAGAACAACAAAAGACAGAACACAGGAUUUCAACAGACACCAUCACUAGCUCCUCCUCUAGUCGCUAGGCCCCACAUCCCACCUACGGGGGCGUCCCUCUCUCCUCCUCCUCGCGUCCGUACCGGGUACCUCCUUCACAUGCCCAUUCUCCACGGGCAUGUCAGGCUGAGGCUCCGGUGGUGGUGGUACACAUGCCAAAGGAGCGGCGAAGUUCGGCAUAGGUGGUAGCGGAGGCUCCUCCAAGAGCUCAUGAGCUAGGAAGUGUGGGGGCAUGAUGAAACUGAACAUCCGAGGAAAAGAAACUGGGUAACCAGGUACAUGGCUAUUGGGAUGGCGAUACCAGAACGUCGACAUCCCUACAUAUGUACAGAUACCGGUGUGAGGGUCAAUAUACCAUCCCUCCGGCGAGGAAAAGUCCACUAGUAUCAUCUCAACUGGAAGGUCCAUCUCCCUCAGCUAUCUCUGUGUUAUCUAGAAAAAUAAAGCGUAAGGGUGAGCUACAGAACGACUUAGAUAUAAAUCAUAUAUAAUAUAUCAGUCAGAAGUAAGGCAAAUAAUUAUAUUCGGUUAGCAAUCAAUCAUCAUCCUGCAACCACACACAAUCACAGACAAAUUACAUAAGCAAAUAUGAGUUUAUGCUAUGCAUGCCACCGUAUCAACAAACACAUAUCACAUAUGAUUGCUGGGCCCAUUGGCUUCUCAAAGCCUCUCUCUUCGGAACGUCACUCGGGAAUAUGGCGCCACCGGCCCACUCUUUACCGAGUCUGAAUACCCUUUUAGCGUUUUCAAAUUGCACUGCCACUCAUGGUCUUACGUGCCACCUCAGGUAUCUCGGGCAUCCACACCGGGUGCACAUCCGGGGUCUCAGGUGGAAGUUGCCGCUCGUUCCUACUCCUUAUCCUACCUGCUCAUGUUAUGAUGCAUGAAAAUUAUUCAAUCAUCGUUCAACCAUCUCCCCCUUAUCCUGCCUGGAACCACACAAGGUUCGGUUACUCAUAUUUGAGUAGUUAUCCUGGAGGCAUUCUGAAUUCGUAAUCAAACCAUCACCUGGAAUACCUGUUAUUUAGUGAUCAACAACAAAAAAUAUAGUUUCAUGCAUAAACGGUUUUAUUAUUACUCUAAGCCAUUAUCACCUAAUUAUUUUCUAAUCAAUUUCUCCUAAAUGCAAAAUCCUUGUUUGAAAGCUAAAGAUAGAUCUGUUGAUCACUGAAUAACCAUUCCAUGGUUCCUGCCACAUAAAUGCCUCCAAGACCUAUUUCCCUGUAUUUCUUUUCUUGAGCCAUAACCUGCACCUGUCUAAUGCAUCAAUCAACCAUACAAGUAUCCAACAUUCACACACAACACCUGUAUUAAAGUUACAACCAUAUCGAAUAGCAAUGAUAAUUAACAGCUAAUUAAAUAUAAUUAAACGCGAUCCUCCUGCCAGAGAAUCAUAUAAUCCUCGUAGCCUGUAAACUCCCCUUACCAAGAGGAAUUGAGAGAAGUUGUUCUUGACCUGCAACAUACACAAUUUACAAAAUUUAAUCAACAAUCAAGCUUUAAGUUCCAAUCCAAGUUCACACUAAGUCCUUUAAGGUGUCCUCAAAGGUUAGUUAUCAAGGCUUUAACAUAAUCAGUACUCAGUCCCUAUGUCCAAUGAUUUAUAGCCUCAUUACCGGCUCACAAAUUCAUCCCAAAUCUGUUCUAAUUUAUCACAUGGUUUAAAUGCCAAAUUAAGCUAUUUUAAGUCCUUUAUAAGUCAUUUAAGGUCCAAUCAUUAAGGUCUGAACAUAAUAGAUCAAUCAACCUCCAUGGUCAUUGAUUCUCAGUCCAUAUCAAGGUUUCAUAAACGGGACCCAAGCUGUCCAAACCUGCACAUAACCUUAUUCAGCAAAAAUAAGCUAUUUUAACCAAUUUUAAGCACUUUCAAAUUUACUUAGUCUCACUAACUCAGUUCUUUUCACAAUCAACCAACAACAGAAGAUUUUAAAAGCAUUUAGGGCUGUAAUAUGAAGCUACCAGAGGCUUAGAGCCCCUGGUUCGUGCUUCUCCUUCUCUUGAGGUGAAAAAGAGCAAGGGAGGUGAUGAACCUGUUCACCACACCCUCUUUUCCAGGUCUGUACCCACAAGCUGCAUAAAACCAUAAUCUAGAACCUAUUUCAUGAUCAAUACAUGUCCAAUAAUGCAAAGAAUGAUUUAGAAUAAAUUGAUCAUGAAGGUAAGGAUAUGCAUGAGUGCAAAAUUCGAGUUUUAUAAAAGCUCUCUGUUCAGUAGGAAAGGCUUUGAAUUUCGCAAAAUAAACAUCAUAUUCGGACUCAGAGCAUCGAAUAGAGUCAGGAGAAGGUCUUUUUACCGAAUUCCAAGACGAACUCCGGCGAAGCUGGCCGGAGAAGAGGGCGGUGUGCGGCGGCCGGUGCGGCGGUGGAGCGAGCGGAGGGCAGGACUGGCUUCGUCUCCUCCUCACGAACCUAGUGGAGGUGAUCUCGUUAAGUGGGUAUCAAAGAGCAGAGAGAGGGGCAGUUGCAGUUUUGAGAAGUUUGAGAGAUGGAAGGAAAAGAGUGUGUGAGAGGGGGAGAGGAACAAAUUGAGUAGAGUAGGAGAGGAAGCUUCUGAAUUGUGUGGAAAUUUUUCCACCCAACACCUCUUUAUAUAGAGGGCCCAAGCUUAUAUGUCAAGCUUUAUCCCACAAUAGAACUCAUAUCAUAAAAAUAGAGUGUUUGAUCUUGUAGUAUGAGUUUGGCCAUUAAAAUUUCAUGCAAGCAUACCACCAUGUUCAAAAAUAUGAUGAAGAGAAGUAUGGUGAUGUGAGGUUGAACAGUAGGAUUAGGUGCUGCAUUCACGUUUCAGACCCUGAACUCUAGAACUUUUCAAAUAAAAGUCCUGAAGUUCUUCCUUGUUUCAAACUUUAGUCCCUAUAGAAGUUGCUAACUCAAAAAUAAGGGCUUAAGUCAUAAAAAUAUUAUAAAUAAAUUCUGAAUAUAUGUAAAAUUAUUUCUAACUAUUAUUUAAUUAUUCCUAAGCUAGUAGGUCUCAAAGUGGGAUGUUACAAACCACUAAUGCCAUGCCAUUAGCUUCGCCCAUAUUUGAUGCUUCUCCUCAAGAACACAAGGAGAAUAAACAUUAACAAUUGCACAGGCCGCCGACUAUUCCCCCCAAAUCCCUACAAGCCCCAUAAAACCAUUCCCCAUAAUGCAAUCAUGUAGAAUGAACAGUCCCUUGCGCUAGAUACAGAUUAGUCCACCCGCCCUAUCAAUAGCGGGUGUCGCUUUCCACCCAAAGUCCCCAUCACGCCAAAGCAAGCCACACAACUUUGAGUCCACUACUUGCAGUAUCGUCCCUUGAAUUAGGAGUAUCUCCAGUUGUUCCGCCACCACAAAUCCUUGAUAGCCCUCCACUUGACCCUAUUGGUCACCCCACUAAUAUUAUAACUGACAAUCUUCAUGGUCCACCCCCGUUUAACCCCCUCCGUUAAUUGUUUGUCAUUGCUGACCACCCCAAACGAUAUAUUUUUUUCUGUUUUAAUAAAUUUUUCAAUCAUCUCCUCAUCCUCAUCCCCCAUAAACACUGUGCCCAAAAUCCACAAAUUUCUGACUUCCAAUCUCAAAUUUUGAAUCCAAUAACGCAUAUUGCAGUUUGUAUACUAUUUGGGCCUGCUGGGUUGAUAUUUUAUCUCUUUAAGUUUUCUCGUGACUGAAUUUUAUUACAAGUAGUUUUCCAUGCAGAUGACAACACAUUAGUAGGUGCUGAUUGCGUUAUUGAUGAUCUGUGUAAGAGCUUAGAAAAUCGAUACAAACAAAUAUUUGUAUGAGAAAUGCUGAGAUCAAGAAAUGUGCAAACUCAUAAACCGGAUGUCAUAACUCAUUAAUUUUGAAUCGUAUAAAAUAACUUAACACAAACCUUUCUCUCUCCAUACUACGUACUUUUAUCCUAUUGUGACAUGUACUUUGAGCUCGCAUAUUAAAUUUUGAAUUAAGCUAAUAUAUAUAUAGUAAUUAUUAUUUUUAAAUAUUUAAUACCUUUUGAAAUAGUUAUUGAGUCGAAAUAUAUUAUUAAUUUACAUAAUUUCUUUGCAUGGUUAUUUAUCUUCAAUCAAUCAACAUUAAACAAAUUGACAUAUCACAAAUCAACAUUGAACUCAAUAACUUGGGAAGGAGACAUAUCACAAUUUAAUUAUCGGAGGGGACAUAAUAGCAACCUCAAUAACUUCGGCCUUUGUGGUGUUUUGUAUUGGCACUAAUUGAGUCUUCUUUUUCAUUUCUUUGCUCUUACCCCAAAGCACCGCAUAUAGGCCAAUGACAAUCAACACUGCUCCAAGCACACUACAUAAAACAACCAGACUAAAUCAAAUUACAUCUAUGUAAUAGGAACCCUGAAAUAUAAAAACAAUGAAUAUGUAUGUAUGUCAAGUAAGAUUUAGAGUAUAUACCUUCCUAAAUACAACUUCUCAUCCAACAAUAAAUAAGCAGCGAUGGCGACAAGUAAUAGUUGCACUGGAUUGAAAAUAGACGCAAAUAGAGGGCCUCUCAUCUUUAUGCACCACGCAAUAACAACAACCACCAUACCAGAGCCCACAAUUCCCUGCAUGAAAAUUUACUCAAUUAAUUAACUUUAGAAUGCUUAUCCAAAAAAAAUUAACUUUAGAAUGAACUCAGAUAUCAAAAUCUCCAAUUGUGUAAAAAAUCGAGCAUACCGAAUAAGCCACUGUUAGAAGCCUGAUAUUAAAACCCAGCUUCCAUUGGCUCCAAUCCCUAUCAAAACAAAGAGCAAUAACAAUGGAUUGUAUUGCUCCCAUGGUUGACAUCAACGCUGAGCUUGAGUGAUGACUCGGGUAUUCUUGGUUCAUCUUAGCCUGUAUCGGUUUAAAUAUAUCGAAAUAUUGAAUGACUAGAAAAAAAUUGGCAAUGGCAUACAAAAUGCAUUGAGUUAGGUUCAUAAGGAAUAAGCUAACCUGAGUGAUUAACCACAAAGAAAAAGAGCAGCAACUUGCUAUGGCGCAAGGAACACCUAAUAGUUUAUUACUAAAAUCUACAUGAGGCCGCAUCAUAUGCCCACUUUGGUCAUGAUGUGGAUGCAUAAGGUCAAUUUUAGAAGACAAAAUAUUAAUUUCGAACCCUUUGAGAAAGGUUAGCACCAUUGCCCCGCUAAUUCCAACAAUAGUUCCCAUCACCUUGGCCUUCCCUUCUGCUGCUCCCAAAUUUAAUUUUUCCAAUCUACAGAAAAUCAAAAGUAUAUCAAUAAAUAGGCACUAGGAUAUGUAACUUCUAUUAUAAUUAAAAUAAUAUAAAUUGAGAGGGUGAACCACUAUCAUUGAAUAUUUUCAUAUAUAUAGGAGUGCUAUAACGUCCUAUUAUUCUUUCAUCUCUAGCUAUCUCAUCUUUUAUAUUAGUUAGUUGCUAUACAUUGUACUUGUACUUUAAUUUUGGAUAUUUAACUUAAACUUAAAACAUUACUCUUACAUUACGAUUAGAUUAGGAUUAGUUCCCCUGUGUUAAAGGUGUUUUCUGUCUGCUGCUGUAUUGUGAGGCCGAGCUCACCUUUCCCAUGUACAUUCUUUCUUUUUUCUUUUGCUCUCUGUACAUGUUUUUUGGGUUUGAAGAUAGUACUUCUUGAAUUCAAUUUGGCUUACUAAAACACACACACCAGCUGUAAAACAUUCAUCAAUAUAUAUAAUUUAAACUGUACUUUUUUUCUAAUCUCUUAUGGGAUAGGAUUCGCUCUUUAUGGUAUCCGAUUCAUCAAUCCUCAAGGCCACUAUGCAACUUCCACUCUGCCUCCUCGCAAACUCAAGGAUUUUGUUGAAUUGAAUACUUAUACCAAACUGCCUAUUAAGUAUGUAACUCCACUACCAAUGUCACCUUGCUUCAAAUAGGUUCACUCCAGUUGCUCGUUAUUAUGUUGAAGGAUGUGUCACAACUCACAAGUAUCACAGCUUAUCCAACUAUACCCAUUAAAAAGGUGGCUCACAAUCUCUAAUACACCUAUUCCAAUCAUUUAUUUAAUUGAAAAGGUCCGUCCAUUGCACCAUUGCGGACAACAACAUCGACACUUUGUGACAGCUUUUUUACUACCACAAAGUUGAAAUAUGUUUAAUUUAAAAAAAUUGUUCAUUUUGGGACGGUUAAAACCUGUAACAAAAAUUAGUGUUAAAAAGUGUCAUGCAUUAUUAUUUCGUAGUUCAUGUAUUAGAUCUAUUUUUUAAAUAAUGCUUACUAAAUUUUAGGGAAAUCUUAUGAUGGAUUGUAAAAAAAAACUGAUUAACUCAGAACAUGUUUUUACAUGUUAAAAAAUGUAACAUUAUGUAUAUAUGUUAAAAGAUGGCGAACUAUCUUGUGAAAUUGGGCUGUGAUAGAGCUGAGCCUUUAUGGGAAUCUGGCUUGAUCUUAUGCCUACUCUCGCUUUUCCCUUGCCCUGCUGGUUGCUUUUAUGUGGUGCCACUUCGUUUCUUGCUAUGGGUCCUGCUUCUGCCUUUUCUCUCCUUGGUUGGAUGCUGUUGACUGUGCCCUGUUUCUAGCUUUAGUGGCUCUGUUUCCAGUUUCUUGUAGUUAUUGUUACUGUUAUGUUUUUCUGUUUUUUAUUUAUUGCUUAUUUUGUUGUUUUCUUCUGUUCUUCUUGUCCUGUUUUUCUCGUUUAGGAGAGCUUUGUUUCCAAGCUUUUAACCUUUUAUAUCUAUAUAUUUAACCUUCCAAAAAAAAUUGAAAGAAAAAACCUUCAAAUUUUUCUUAGUAUAUGACAAACAAAGCAAAAGAUAAAGGAAAAUAUUGAUAAAAUUUUGCACCUCUAUAACUUUCUAGAUAGCAAUGGUGGGCUUAGGUAAAAAAAUUAGGUGUUUACUUUUCAUUUCAUAUACGUGGUACAAAAUAACUUUAACAUAAAAAUACGUAUUUCAAUGCAGUAAAUGUGAAAUAAACUCCUUUACUUGAUCCAAACAUAUAGAUAAAAUAUAGGAGUGAUAGGGCUAAUGCUCCUUGCGGUCCCUCAUUGAGUAAGAUACUAUUUUGACCGACAUUUUACCUAACCAUAGAUAUUGAAUAAGGACUAACUUGAUCAAGAUUUUACACAAUCAAUAACGACAUUAGGUAUUUCCUUCUUCUAAAGAAGAACUGAAGAACUUGCAAUCCUCCAGCACUUUUAGAAACCAAUUUGACCUCUUACUCUAAAAUAUAGUGUGUAAGGUGAGCUGAGUACGUACCCAAAAGAUGUAGCCAUGAUGAAGGUAAUACCAGGAAUAAGGUUGACCACAGCCAACAUAAAAGUUGCUGAUGUCAAAGCCAAACCAACGGCGUAAAGAUUUAGAAAUAAACUACCCCUGAAAUGAAUCAUUACAUAAAUUUAUUACCUUAUAACAUUGAUAGUAUAAGGUGGCUGAAAAUAGUUAUGGCGGAAAAGGUGGAUAAUUUUAAGUAGCAAAGAAAUACAUACCCAAACAUUCCACACAGAAAUGCCAAAACAAGCACCCUCCAAGUAAUUUUUGGCCUCUUCUUCCUGCAUCCAUAGAAAAAAAACGGAAACCAUUUUGGCCUCGUUAGUCAAAUGCGCUAGUCUCAUGUUCAAACGCUCUAAUUCCUUUUGAAAUAUUAUUUUCAAAAAAUUAUGUGUCCAAUGUUUUGUUUGGUUGUUUAAUAUGUUUCGAAAAAAAUGAUGUAUUAUUGGAGAGCUGUGAUACAUAAAUCACUUAAAAGGGUGACAAUCCCUCUCAAUUACCAAGACUUUCACGAAUUGAUGUUUCGAAAAGUUGUUAAUGAUAGUGUUUGGAAACCAAGACUUUCACGUUUUGAAAAGAAAUGAAAAUAAACAAGUAUUAAAAAUAACUUUUAUGAUAAAAAGGCGAUUUGGAUUUUAUAGAAUUGAAAAUAUAUUCAAACAUGCUAAUGAUAUGUGACGAUUGAUGUUAGCCAACUACAGCACGGGACACAAUAAUGCUUCGAAGACAUGACACAUAAUUUUAAAUUAUUAAUUUAAACAAUUCUUAUAUGCAUGAAUUUGAUUUAUGACUAUGCAUGCAUUUUGCAUAUUUUAUAUGGUACAAUAGGAUAGGAUAGCGCUUCACACUCCUCCUCAUAUGUUUACAUCCUAUAGCUAUUAGAAUUUGGAUUACUGUUAGAGUAAAAAGUGAUAGUGUGCAUACAAUUCUUGGCGGCCAUUUAAUUGCCGUUCAAAAACCGCCACUAAUGGUGGUAAAAAACCACCAAUAAGCGGUAUAACAAUUAUAUGUCCGUGACACUUUUGUAGUCUAAAACUUUUUUUUAUGUGCAUCUAAUGAUUGUUUGCCAUGUCAAAAAUAAACUUUUUUUUCAUUUGGACAACCGUGUAAAAAUUGAUGAAUUGUAAAAUAUCCUAAACCAAAGUCGCAUUAGUGAGUAGUAAAAGUAAUGACUCGUCAACACAUUUAAAUACCCAAACAUCAUAGAGUGUGGCGGUCAAAAACCGCCACAAAACAAAUAUUAUGUAAUAUGUGGUGGUUUCUGACCGUCAUAAACCAAGGGUGUUUGCAUGCAUGACAUUGUGUUGAUGUGUUUACAAAUCAUUUUUAGAGUAGUAAUAGUAAGUGUAAAAGAAAGUAAAGGUGCUUAUAGGUGCAAAUUAAGCAAUCAACCUAUCAAAGAAAAGAGCAAGAGGGACAGUGAAGGCGGAUGCAAAAGUGAGGCGGUAGGCAGUGGCGACCGUCAUGCUCAUUCCAUCGUUUAUGGCGAGCUUGUAGACGAUAUUAACUGCCGCAUAAGCAACCUGCACAAACAACAUUAGCAGCGCUGGUUUCAGCCCUUGCAUUAAAUGGCACACACCAUUCAUGUUCACCAUGGUGCUAGCUGCAAGGGUGUUUUGGCCUUUUGGGGGAAAAGGAAAUAGAGAGAGAAGAUGAAGGUGUGAAAAUUGUAGCUAAGCAAAUGGGUAUUUAUAGGAGGGGGUCUACGUUCGAAUUUCAGAAAGUGCUAUCACUCCAUCACUGUUAUCUUACUCACGGUUAACUAUAUUUUAAGGUUCACAAAUCAUAAGAAUGGUUGAUAGUGUAGUACACUGUUUGCACACGUACACUUUUCUCUUAAUUUUUUUUGAAACAAAUUUUCCCUUAAUUUUAAAAUAAAAGGAACAGAUAUGGUAAAUAACAUAUAAAACUGUUAUCUUUUAAUAAGUAAAAAAUAAUAGAUCAUGAACGUUAACUGGCAUUCCACCUUGAAAGUGUCCAUUUUAAUUUGAUGAUGGUUUUUGGCCAAACUAGACUGUACUAGAAAUGAUUUAGUGGGCUGCUCAAUGUUGUUUAAUUUGGGAAAAAACGAAUAAUUAUAUCUCACACUCAUAUUUGAGGUGUGGAGAGGUGGAGGAAGAGAGAAAUAUGAAGAAAAGAGAGAGAAAUUAAGUAAAGAUGUAAUAAAUGAUUUGAUUGAUAGAGAAAAAAGAAAUAGAUUGAAGCUAAGUGAAAGUGGAAAAGAAGUGAUCGAGAGGUGUGUAUAUAUCAUAACUCAAAAAAAACAUCAUUACAAUCUAUUUUCAGCUCCCCUGAGAGAUAACUAAAAGUUAUGAUAGUUAAUGAGUUAUGCAAAACUAGGAUUGAGAAUACUGAAAGUGUUAUUCUUGAGGCUCUGCAAGGGUUAGAAACAAAGUGCAGCGCCGUAUGGAUGACUCCGGCAUCCCGCCGGAAGGUAACAAAGGAGGAGGCUCACAACCUAGCCGCCAGGCUACGGGGAAAGAGGAGAUGGUACCCAGGAAAGUGGUGUCGUACAAAGAUGUUUGCCUGGGGAUCAAUGGUGGGGAGGAGACUGACGAGGAAGAUCUUCCCAUGGAAGGGUUCCUUUCUGAAACGGAAGAAAGCAGGUCUGAAGGGGAGGCUAAUACCCCGCAUGCAGGCCAAAAUAACCAGCUUUGUCCGGUGAUCAAACUCUCGAAGGAUAAGCGGAAGGAGUUACGUAAGCCCUGGCAAAAUUCUAUCAUUGUCAAAUUACUAGGUAAGAGGAUCGGCCUGGGCUUGUUGAAGGAUCGGUUGAAUAAACUGUGGCAACCGUCUGGGGAGAUGGAGGUGAUUGACCUUGACUUUGAUUUCUUUGUGGUUCGUUUCGCCAACAGGGUUGACUACGCUCACGUCUUCACUGGAGGUCCGUGGGUGAUUAUGGGUCACUAUUUAGUGAUUCAACAAUGGAGACCAAUGUUCAUCCCGUCCAAAGGUGAACUGAAUAGGGGAGGCUAAUACCCCGCAUGCAGGCCAAAAUAACCAGCUUUGUCCGGUGAUCAAACUCUCGAAGGAUAAGCGGAAGGAGUUACGUAAGCCCUGGCGAAAUUCUAUCAUUGUCAAAUUACUAGGUAAGAGGAUCGGCCUGGGCUUGUUGAAGGAUCGGUUGAAUAAACUGUGGCAACCGUCUGGGGAGAUGGAGGUGAUUGACCUUGACUUUGAUUUCUUUGUGGUUCGUUUCGCCAACAGGGUUGACUACGCUCACGUCUUCACUGGAGGUCCGUGGGUGAUUAUGGGUCACUAUUUAGUGAUUCAACAAUGGAGACCAAUGUUCAUCCCGUCCAAAGGUGAACUGAAUAGGGUGGCGGUUUGGUUCAGAGUUCCAGGUUUCCCGGUCGAAUGCUAUGAUCAGGAGGUUCUACAUGAGAUUGGUCGUAACGUGGGAAAGUUUGUCAAGGUCGAUGACCACACCUGGAAGACCAUGGCUGGGAAAGGUCAACCAGGGGCAACAACCGAGCGAGCACGUUUUGCAAGAAUAUGUGUGGAGAUUGAUCUCAGGAAGACUCUUGUCUCCAAGUUUGUAUUUGAGGAUGAAGAGUUCAAGAUUGAGUAUGAGGGUUUGAACUUGAUCUGCUUUGAAUGUGGAACAUUUGGGCAUAAGAAGGAAGCUUGUCCUUUAAAGGUCACUGGAAACCCUCCACAGGGGACUGAGUUGCACAAAUCGCCACUGCCAUCACCGGUGGGUCAUGGGGAGGACUUUGGACCAUGGAUGAUAGCUAAAAAAUCAUCUCGCACAGCCGCUAGGCGGCCAGCCGGUAAGGGUGCUGCCGUUCAAGCUCCUAACAGGAAUGUCGGUGGAACUAGGUUUUCCAUCUUGUCCAAUAUGAAAAUUGACGAAACUCAAGGAAUUCCCUUACCUAUUCCUGGUAACUCCUCGAAUUCCGCAAGCAUUCAAGGGAAUAUUCCCUCUGCAUCAUCAGUUGGUAAUUCACACACGGUGGGGCCUACCAAAAAAUCAGCACCUCAUCAUGAGAUUCCAGCAAAAAGCAUAAUCCUCGUUGACAAUGUGGAUCCCAAGGCCAAUCAUGAUUCGGUUUCCAUAACCGUUCCUAUUAGCAUGAAUUCCGGUCCCACCAAGACCGCUAAUGACGAGAUCAUAAUAGCGGACCCCACCGACACGAAUUCUGGGGCAAUUAGUCCCAAUCAUGGCAUUGGCGGCACGGACUCUGGAGUAAUUAUUCCUAAUCAUGGCACAAAUCUUAGUGUUGGACCUGACUCCAAAUCAGAGCCUCAAUAUUCACAUGCUAGGGCUGAGGCCAGCUCUCCCCAUUCAACGCUGCCUCUCCAUCAUGGCACAGGGGGCCCCACCUCCUCCAUGAAAAAAGUGAAGAAUAGAGCUCGUGACCCAAAACAUUCAGCCGGCAGCUCCAAUACUCACCGAGUCCCAGAUAGAGUAAAUUUCUCUACGUCGUCCUCACCAAGCAAGAGCUAUGCUCCCACAAGAGAACGUGAAAGGAGCUUGUCUCCUCGCAAUCACCGGAGCUCUUAGUAGCUCCUUCUUCCCCAUAUCCCAUUGUUUGUUAAUGAUGUACAACAUAUUUAGCUGGAAUAUUAGGGGUGCCGCGGCAAAAGGAGUCCCCCUUCUCCUAAAGGAUAUGGUUGACAGACAUAAAGUCUCUUGUAUUGCUCUUUUUGAGCCUCGAAUUAGUACCACUAAGCUCCCCUUGAUCAUGAAAACUGUAGGUUUUGAUGAUUCCUUUGUGGUUGAAGCUGAAGGCUUUUCAGGUGGCAUAUGGAUUUUCUGGGCUAAGAAUCUGAUGUCCAUUGAGGUUAUUUCUUCUCAUAGACAGUUGGUGCAUGUGCGCAUUACCCCUAGAGAUGGUCUCCCUAGCUUCAUGGCGUCUUUUGUGUAUGGUAGCCCUAACUUUUCCAUUCGUAAUUUCCUGUGGCAUGAGCUUCGCCGCAUUGCUCAUCAGAUAAGAGAUCCCUGGGUUGUCAUGGGGGACUUCAACGCUACCUUAAUGCUUCGGACAAGGUAGGGGGUGGACCACCUAACACGCUUGCUAUGAGGAAGUUCAGGGAAUGUAUAGAGGAUUGCUAUCUGAAUGACCUUGGUUUCAAGGGUCAUCCCUUCACUUGGGAGGCUCGUGGAGUUAAGGAGAGGAUUGAUUGGGCUUUGGGGAAUGAGCGGUGGUUCUUGGCUUACCCUGAGGCGUCUAUUUUUCAUUUUCCUCGACUCAAGUCCGAUCAUAAACCACUGCUUCUUCAGUUUAGUGCUCACCAAAAUACGUCCUAUCUCCGCCCUUUCCGCUUCAUGGCCGCUUGGUUAACCCAUCCAGACCUUCCUCACUUAGUGGAGAACUCGUGGAAAAAUCAUGGUACUUGGGCCCCUGCGUCCGAGGAUUUUAGAGAAGAAGCUACUGCUUGGAAUAAUAAUAUUUUUGGGGAGAUUGGGAGAAAUAAGCGUCGUCUUAUAAAGAGACUCGAAGGUAUCAACAAUCAGUUGAGAAUGCAUCAUAACCCGUAUCUUGAGAAGCUUCAGGCCCGAUUGUGGACUGAGUACCAAAGAGUGUUGAUCCAGGAAGAGUUAUUGUGGAGGCAGAAAUCGAGGGUGAAUUGGCUAAAUCACGGGGAUAAAAACACCCGUUUCUUCCAUACAGCCACCAUGGUUCGUUGGAAAAGAAAUAAAAUUGAAGCUCUGACAAAUGAUGAAGGAACUACAGUGACGGAACCAGCCAUUCUCCAAUCCAUGGCCGUGGAGUUCUUCCAGAAGCUCUACACUAGCUCUGGCGAUACCGUUCCCUAUCAAGGUCGGGGUGCGUUUCCUAGGCUAUCCGUGGAAGUGCUUGGUGAUAUUUCAAAGCCCUUGAGUCCUGAAGAAAUCAAAACCGCAGCCUUUAGUAUGGGAGCGUUAAAGGCGCCGGGCCCGGAUGGCUUAAAUCCACUCUUCUUUCAAUCUCAGUGGCACAUCAUUGAGUCUUCAGUGGUUAGCUUCAUCCAGGAGUGUGUUCAAAAUCCAAGGAAAAUAAAAGAGGUAAACGACACUCUUAUUGUUCACAUUCCUAAAAUUGAUAGACCUAACCUUUUAUCACAGUAUAGGCCGAUUGGCCUUUGCAACGUGAUCUACAAGAUUUUGACAAAGACCAUUGCUAACCGCCUGAAAGGAACUCUUGGGGAAUUAAUUUCUCCCAACCAGUGCAGCUUUAUCCCAGGGAGACAAAGCUCUGAUAAUAUAAUUGUGGCCCAAGAAGUCUUCCAUUCUAUGAGAAGCUUAAAGCGUAAGAAGGGUUGGUUGGCUAUGAAAAUCGACUUGGAGAAGGCAUAUGAUAGGCUCGAUUGGAACUUUCUUAGGGACACUUUACUGGAAGUUGGCCUGGAAGUAUGUUUCUGUGAUCUAAUUAUCCAUUGUGUCUCUUUGAGCUCCUUCCAGGUCCUGUUCAAUGGAAGCAAAACUGAGAAGUUCUCCCCUACCAGGGGGAUUCGCCAAGGGGACCCUCUUUCACCUUAUUUAUUUGUUCUUUGCAUGGAACGUCUGGCUCACCACAUACAAAGGGAGGUAGACAAUUCGAAUUGGAAGCCCAUAUACCUCUCUAAACAUGGCCCUCCUAUUACACAUUUAUUUUUUGCAGAUGACUUAUUACUCUUUGGGGAUGCCUCUAUACCCCAAGUCAAUCUAAUGAUGAAGUGCCUUGAUGAUUUCUGCAACGCAUCAGGUCAGAAGGUUAGCAGGGACAUGUCGCGCCUCCUGAUCUCCACUAAUGUGCCACGAGGGGAAUCUAUUUCCAUCAGCAGAGCCACUGGCAUUCAGCUUACCAAUGAUCUUGGGAAGUAUCUAGGAGUGCUCCUCCUCCACCGUGCCCCUACAAAGUCUACUUAUAAUUUUAUCCUGGAGCGUACUCAGAAAAGGUUAUCUUCUUGGAAAGCUUCAACCUUGAGUCUUGCAGGUAGAGUUACUCUUGCUAAAUCAGUAGUAGCGGCCUUACCAUCUUACUGCAUGCAAACCAUGCUGAUUCCAAAGGGUGUUUGUGAGAAGUUUGAUCAACUCCAGAGAAACUUUAUCUAGGGUUCAGAACAUGGGGCCAGAAAGAUAAGCCAAGUCAAGUGGGAUGUUAUUUGCAGUCCCAAGGAUCGUGGUGGCCUCGGUUUCAGGAAAACUUCUGACUUCAAUGAAGCAUUGCUUAUGAAGGUUGGAUGGGGGUUAAUCAAUCAACCAAAUUCCUUGUGGGUUCGAGUGCUUCGUGGAAAAUAUGGCUGCGGAACCGAAGUUUUACCAAAAGUGCAGAAAUGUAAUCGUGAAUCCCUUGCUUGGCGAGGAAUCCGCUAUACUUGGAAUAGGGUUCUUGAAGGUUGCAGCUGGAGAGUGGGAGAUGGCACCUAUAUCCGCUUCUGGAAAGAUCCCUGGAUCAUGUCAGGGCAAGUGCUCCAAUCCCUGGCCACUAACCCUGUCCCAAUAACCGAUCUCGACCUCCCUUUAGCAGAUUUCUAUGAUCAUCGCGAUGGUUGGAGAGCUAGUCGUUUUACCAACUUGUUGCCGAUGGCUACAGUACAGGAGAUUCUCAUGUUCCAUUCGAUCCAGACUGACGGGGGGCGUGACGAAGUCAUGUGGAACGGUACUCCUUCAGGGGCCUUCUCUACUAAGUCGGCGUAUGAGCUUCUUUGUUCUAACCAGCAGCAGCGCCUAGAGGAGAGCCUGUGGAAGAUGAUCUGGAGGAUUAAGGGCCCCCAACGCAUCCGAGUUUUUCUUUGGAAACUCGGCAACCAUGGUGUUUUGACAAAUGACAUCAGGGUUCGAAGACACAUGAGCACGUGCAAUUUGUGCCCUCUGUGUCUCUCCUCAGUUGAAGAUUACUCCCACAUUUUUCGCGAUUGCAGCAAGGUCCAUCCUUUUUGGGUCUCAGCGUUGGUCAAUGGAGUCACGAAUUCUUUUUUCUCCACGGAUUGGGAGACCUGGUUUGCUGGCAAUAUUAGUGGGCAUAUAGCGGGCAGGAGGGGGGUCGAUUGGCCCCGGUUUUUUGCGUCGGCCUUAUCGUCCAUUUGGAGAAUGAGGAGCGAAUAUGUUUUCAACCAGACUCAGUGUAGUGCUGCCCGUAUUUGGUAGUUCAUGAGAUAUUUGGGCAUGGAGCAGCAGUCCUCGAUAUCAACCUUGGCUCCCUCGCUGCUUCAGGUUCAAGGCCAGCAAAGGGAGGUGUUUGAGUGCUCAAACCCGCGCACUACUACUGGUUGGAUCCCACCAGACAAUGGAUGGAUGAAGCUAAAUGUUGAUGGGGCAGUUAGCACCAAUCUCCUAGCUAGCUGCGGCGGAGCAAUCCGGGACCCUGAGGGUAAUCGGGUCAAGGGUUUCAGCUGGAAUUUAGGUACCUUGUCCACAGCGAAUGUUUUCCUCUCCGAGCUGUUGGCAGUGAAGCUAGCAGUACAAUCAGUCAUGAGUUUGGACCUUCCUCAUGUUAUUGUUGAGACCGAUUCCUUGGGUGUCGUCGACUUGCUGAAUGCAACUGAUCUCCCUUCCCAUCGAUAUGUAGAACAUGCUCGAGCUAUCCUUGACCUGCAGCGUGAGCAUGGUUCCCUCAUGUUUCAACAUGUUCCAAGAGAGGGCAACUGCCUUGCGGACUAUUUAGCCAAAGUCGGUUUAAACCUUCAGUUUGGUGAGCACUGGUUUACCUCCCCGUUUGGCGAAUGCCAUUCCAUUCUUUCUAGGGAUAGGCCUGUUGAUCCUGGUGAUCCCGUCUAGUGUUUUCUGCUAGGGGUCUCUAGUCCCCUUCCUUGUAACCUAAAAAAAAAAAUGAGUUAUGCAAAAAAAUAAAAAGCAGUGAUAAAAAAAGUAAGUGAGUAAAAAGAAAAGAAAACUAUUAAUAUAAAAAAUUUAAGUGUCCAAUACUGUUUGAGUUAAUGUUUAUGAUAUUCAUUUUCUAAAAAAAAGUGUCCAAUUUGAAAAUGGAGCAAGACAUAUGAUAUAAAACUUUCCAAACGAGACACUAUAUAUAAUUCAGUGAAGUUAAUUAGGAGAACUGAACAAAACACUAUAUCAAUUAAAAUAUGAGGAGAAAUCAACUUACUCGAGGGAGUAACUCGUUAAGAGUUAAUCUUUUCAAUAACUUUUUAAAGUUACACAAAAAAAUAAUUUGAAGGUAUAUUUUUAGUUUUUGAAAUUAAUAUGCAUAUAUCUUUCAAAAAAUAUAUUUUAAAGAAUAAAUUUAAUUUUUUUAAUUAUAUAUAUAUAUUUUGGUUUUAUAGAAUAUGUUGUACUCUUUUUCCUUCAUUAGGUUUUUAUAUAUCCCAAAUGAAUUUUUUCUAGUAAGGUUUUAACGAGGCACAUACUCUAGGCUCAAGAGCACGGGUGGGGUUGGUUUAUGAUGUUCCCUUUUCCGCAUGUGUGGUUUGUUCACAUGAAUCUUAUUAUCAAUAAACUCUCUUUUGUUGUAAAAAAAAAUGUAUUUAUAAAUUAAGAUGUAUUACAAAAUUAUUACAUGUUUAGCUAUAUUAACAAUUAUGCAUUAUUUCACGUGAACGGUAGUGAUGGAACAGGGGACGGUGUUUGGAUGGCUCGUAGGUGGUAGCCACUGCUGGAAGGGAUGGUGAACAUAUGCGUCGAUGGCAGCUUUAAUCCAGCGGCAAACAUCAUGGGUUCAGGAGGCUUAAUUCACGAUUCCAAGGUGGAAUGGAUUUGCGGGCCAGGUUUCAUGGUUUUCUUGCAAGAGGCAGUGUUCUUCUCUCAGAAGCAAUGGCGCUUAAGUUUGGUUUGCAGAUAGCCUGCUGGGAUAGAGGGUUUCGUGAAGCUAAGUCUGCUGUAAUGUGGACUGUUGUGAUCUCCUGCGGGCUUUGGAGGAUGAGGAAAGCCGCAUUUUCUUCCCUAUUCUUAGUGAAAUUCAUGAAUUGAGGGUUAGAAGGUGGAAGGUGACCAUUAGUGCAAUCAUUAGAGAUUGUAAUCAGCCCGCAGACUGGUUAGCUAAGAAGGGUGCAUCUCCGUCUAUGAAUAUGUGUCUGCUGGAGGCACCGCCGUCGGAUUUAGAGAUCAUCAUCUUGAGGGAUCGUUUGGUUGUUUCUUAAUUUUUCAUGUUAUUUAUUGUUAAUUUUCCAAUGUAGCAAAAAGAAAAAAAGGAGUUCGAAGUUUUCUGAGAGUUUCUUAUUUAUAUGUUAUACAACUUUUAGCUUAACUAUUGUGUUUUUUUUCCCAUUAUUACUCAAUCCUUUGAAUUUAUAAAAUUCAUCACAUUUUAUUUUAAUCUUCUUAAUAAUUUUAAAUUGUUAAAUUUAUGAAAAAACAGAAAAUGAUAAAAAAUUGAGUUUAUAGAUAAUUUAAAUAAAAAAAAUUCAAAUUAUAAUUAUUUUAAAAUUAAUAUCAUACUUUUUCUUGAAGUAAAAAUUAAUAUCGAUGUCUUAUUAACAGAUUAAUAUUAAAUAUAAAAUGAUCAUACAAAUAUCACUUUUAUGUCAAAUAGCUUAUCAACUUUCGAUUAGGUUAUCGAGUAAAAAAGUAAAAACAGUGGACAUGUGAGAUUGAGGGCUCCUGGCUUUGAUGGUUUUCCAGCUCUAUUCUACCAGAAGUUCUGGCAUAAUGUGGGUGAUGAUGUGACCGCUUUUUGCUUACAGGUUCUCCGAGGUGAGGUAUCACCAGGUAUGGUUAAUCAAACUCUGCUUGUGCUAAUCCCAAAGGUUAAAAAAUCUAUUUAUGCGAACCAAUUUAGGCCGAUAAGUCUCUGCAAUGUUAUUUUCAAAUUGAUUACCAAAACGAUUGCUAAUCGACUGAAAUUAAUUAUGAAUGAUUUGAUUUGCGAAGCUCAAAGUGCUUUUGUUCCAGGGAGACUUAUAACAGAUAAUGCCUUACUUGCCUUUGAAUGCUUCCACUACAUGAAGAAGCGUAUCACAGGAAGGAAUGGAAUGAUGGCUCUCAAGCUAGACAUGUCCAAAGCCUAUGAUCGUGUGGAAUGGCCUUUCUUAAGAGGUAUUCUAACCCAUAUGGGGUUUCCUUUAAAUUGGGUUGAGCUUAUCAUGUCGUGUGUUAACACAGUGAGUUUUUCUCUUAUGGUUAAUGGUAACCCGCAACCGUUUUUCGCACCUCAUCGAGGUUUGCGACAAGGAGACCCUCUCUCUCCUUACUUGUUUAUUUUAUGUGGUGAAGCUUUCUCAACUUUGAUUCAGCGUGCUAUCUCAGUUUCUGCUUUACAUGGUAUUAAGAUUGCAAGAUCUGCUCCUGUCAUCUCACACCUUUUGUUUGCAGAUGAUAGUGUUCUUUUUGCUCGGGCUUCGAUUCAGGAAGCAGAAUGUAUCAAAACCAUUCUUGCAACCUAUGAACGAGCUUCUGGGCAGGUGAUAAAUUUGGACAAGUCCAUGCUUUCAGUUAGCCGUAAUGUGCCAGAUAACCGUUAUUAUGAGCUACAACAGCUUUUGGGUGUAAAGGCAGUAGAAAGCUAUGAUAAGUACUUGGGGCUACCAACUAUCAUUGGUAAGUCAAAAAACCAAAUUUUCCACUUUGUGAAAGAACGAGUAUGAAAGAAACUUAAGGGGUGGAAGGAGCGCACCUUGUCCAGAGCGGGCCGUGAUGUGCUGGUUAAAGCUGUGGCUCAAGCAAUCCCAUCAUAUGUAAUGUCUUGUUUUGUCUUACCAGAUGGCCUUUGUCAUGAGAUUGAAGGUAUGAUUUCUCGUUUUUAUUGGGGUGGUGAUGUAACCCGUCGUGGUAUACAUUGGGUUAAUUGGAAAACUCUUUGCCGGCCCAAAGAUAAUGGGGGUCUCGGCUUUAGGAAUUUUAAAUCUUUUAAUUUGGCCCUUGUGGCAAAGAAUUGGUGGAGGAUACAAAACUAUCCGAAUUCUCUCCUUGGUAGAGUUUUUAAGGCUUUAUUUUUUUCAGCAGGUAGCAUGCUUGGAGCUAAGAAAGGCUACCGUCCGAGCUAUGCGUGGACUAGUAUUCUGAAAACAUCGGAGUUGGCUGUAAAAGGAAGCAUGUGGCGUAUUGGGAAUGGAUUGAAUGUUCGUAUUUGGGAUGACAAUUGGCUCCCGCAUGGCCCUCCAAUUAAUUGCAGGCAAGAUGUGGUGGAGGAACUUAGGUUGAAUGUUGUAGCAGAUCUUAUCCAGCCAGGUGGUGGCUUUUGGAAUAAGGAAUUGGUGGAAUGGACUUUCUGUCCAAGUACUGCGUUGCGGAUCUUGGCUGUCCCCUUACCGGUGCAGGCAACAGAAGAUUACUUUUUUGGGGAGGAACUCCAGAUGGGUGCUAUACAGUGAGCUCUGGCUAUGCUUUUUUACAAAAUGCAGAUAGCCAAGCUUCUCCUUCAUCAUCAACCUCGGCUGAACAUGGUUUUGAUGCGACUCUUUGGCGGAAAUUCUGGAAAGCUCCAUCGCUUCCUCGGGUCAAGGAGGUGGCAUGGCGUGUGUGUGUUGGUGCGGUGCCCACUAGGCUUUGUUUGCGCCGUAGAGGAAUGGACUUGGAUCCUAGUUGCCCGGUGUGUGGCCAUGAGGAGGAGAGCAUUGAUCAUCUUUUUAUUCACUGUCCUGUUGCGCGAGGAUGCUGGUUUGUGAGCCUGGGUGUGCGCACAGAUGCUGGUACGUCGACCUUCAUGGACUUCAUGGCGGCGGUGCUGCGCAACAAGGAUGGCUGGUGCAUUGCAGAAGUUCAGCGCAUGAUCUAUUGCUUGUGGGAGGGUCGGAACAAGGUUCUUUUCGAGCUCCGUGAACCUGGGUGUGCUACGGUGCUGUCUCGUUUUGCAGCGAUGGAGUCCCCUUCACAGCUUGGGACGAACGGAAAUCAGGUGGACCGGUCAGUGGUUAAAUGGUCGAGACCAGCAGCUGGGAUGAUUAAAAUUAAUGUGGAUGCCUCUCUUGGUGGGGAUUUGCUUGCUGGUUUCGGUAUGGUGGCUAGGGACGAGGUUGGCGAGAUCUUGGCGGCGGCUUCACACUAUCCGACGGUUGCUACUUCAGCCACGAUGGCAGAGGCGUUCUGUCUCCGUUGGGCCAUGGAGCUUUCUUCACAGUUGGGUUUCAGGAGGGUGCAGUUUGAGAUUGAUUGUCUACAGCUUUUUCAUGCUUGGAAGAAGGGUGUUGGUCGUUCUCCUUUAUUUUCUUUGCUUCAGGAUUGUAAGACUUUUGUUCAGUUGUUCGAUUGUGUUGAGUUUACUUUUACUCGUAGGCAGGGCAAUACUUGUGCUGAUUUUAUGGCUCGGAAUGCCUCUACCCUUUCGAAUAUUGUUUGGGUGGAGGAGGGCCCCCCGGGUUUAUGUAGCCUUUUACAGGCAGAUCUUUUGGCUUCUAUGCCGGUUAUGAUUUAAUAUAUAUUAUGCCACGUUCAAAAAAAAAAGAUUAGGUUAUCGAGUAACUUUAUCAAAUACAAUAAACUUAAUUGCAUUUCUCAUUUUUUUUUUUGGUUAUUGGGAGGGACAUUUCUCAUCUUUUAGUUUACUGGAUUUGUCUCUUUUAGUUUUGAAUUUCUCUACAGUUAAUCCAUCCUUGACAUAUUAAAUUAGAAUACUCAGUCUUGAAUAUUGUACCGCAUGAUCAACCUUUUUUGUCAUUUUUUAGAUAAGCCUUUUUUUUUUUUUUAAUUUUUAGAUAAGCAAUUUUUUUUAUUAAAUAGCACAAGAAGUGACAAAGUAUAACAAAUUAAAGUACAUAACAACUUCUAGCGAAUAGCCAAAACUCCUUGGUCAGCCCCCUACCGCUUAGUGCGCGCUGACCGCGGGGCGAGAUAUUAGUCUCACAGCUGUCGGUUGUGUGAAUACCUUAGUCAAGACCAAAAAAGUACAUAACAACACACCAAAGAGGAAAAAAAAAAAGAGAGGAGAACAUAGCAAGGGGAGAAUCCAUGCCCACAUGGACUUUCACAUUUAUGCAUAAAUUAAAUCCAUUUUGCUACACCUUGUAAGUAAUUUGUUUUUACAUAUAACGAUAGGAACAUGUCCUUGAAUGUUAGCUCAAGUGGUAAGAGCUAAAAGACAUUAGAGUUUGGGAGGGUGAAGGGAGAAAGGUCAAUGAUUCAAACCCUGAGAAUGAUUAAUUUACUAACAUUACUAACAACUAAUAUUUAUCUACAAAAGAAAAUGGUAGGAACAAAAUCACGCAUUGAUUAUGGGUACUAAAAAUACAUAAUAUAAAAUUGUUUAUGUGGGUAUAAUUCUCAACCGUACUUUUCCUUUAUAAAAGUUUAACUUUUUAAAAAUGAAUGUUUAUGCUGUUAAAAAAAACUUUUAAAAUGAAAAGUUAUAUAUGACCUCUCAUAUUUAAAACUACGUAUCAAAACUUGCCACAGACACUGACCAAACUUUUGAAUUUUGAAAAGCAGUUUGUCAUUUCUAACCUCGAUUUUAUGGUUGAAAUUUUUUUAUGAAAAUUUAUAAGCUGAUUAUGGGUACUAAAAAUACAUAAUAUAAAAUUGUUUAUGUGGGUAUAAUUCUCAACCGUACUUUUCCUUUAUAAAAGUUUAACUUUUUAAAAAUGAAUGUUUAUGCUGUUAAAAAAAACUUUUAAAAUGAAAAGUUAUAUAUGACCUCUCAUAUUUAAAACUACGUAUCAAAACUUGCCACAGACACUGACCAAACUUUUGAAUUUUGAAAAGCAGUUUGUCAUUUCUAACCUCGAUUUUAUGGUUGAAAUUUUUUUAUGAAAAUUUAUAAGCAUAACUAUUCGCAAGUGUAAAAUUUGAAAAAUCACCCCUCAAUUUAAGAAAUAAUCAGUUUUAGUCCUUGCCAGGGUCUAGUUUCAGCUCCAACCACAUGCCAUGUAUCUAGUUAAUGAAGUUAAUGUGGACUUUUUAUUGCUUUUCUAUUUAUUUUAGGCAAUUGCAACUUUCGUCUCUUAUCUAGUGAGUUUGUGUUGAGUCCUCAAUUUCCAAAACGAGCAAUUUGGAUCAUAGAUUUUAGUAACAUGAGUAAUUUUGGUCCGUCUAUCUUAAAAAUAUAUAAUAAUUAAUAAUUACAAUAUAUAAUUUAUAGUAUUAAUGUAACAUGCAUAAAUUGUUCUUAUAGAAAAUAAACAUAAAUUAUAAUAUAAAUUUUCCUCUUGUAACCAAAAAAAUAUUAUUAUAUAGUCAAUAGUUUUUUAUUCAUGAUUUUUUUUUCACUUUGAUGCAAAUUUAAUUUAUUCAAACAAUUACUUAAAAGUCUUUGGCUUAAAUAAUUUUUUCACCCCUGUAAUAUACAUCAUUUUUGUUAAUCGUUCCUGCAAUUUUGUUUUUGUUUAACAUCCUUCUAAAAUUCAACAUUUUUUUUAGUCCUUUUUUUCUUUUGAAAGAUUAAAUAUAUCGAUAAAGCACGUCACAAGCUUGGGAACAAAGCUCUCCUAAGUGAGCACUAAAGGAACAACAACAAAAAAGCAGAAAAAAGAAACAAGCUAGGAAAUUAAGAAGAAAGUGUAAAAACUAAAAAGAAACAAGAGGAAUAACUAAAGACAAAGCAGCCUGCCACAAACAGAUCCAUAAUAGCCAGAAACAUGGCACGACUCACAACACCAAGGAAGAAGACAAAAAGCAUGUCAUAGCACAACUACACGGAGGCAAAGAGGAAGCAUCAAGCCAAAGAUAACUAGUAGAGGUGGAGGCGAGAGUAAGCAUAAAAUCAAGCCAGAUUUUCCCAAAGAGGCCCAGCACUAUCAUAACCCAACUUGGCAAGAUAAUCCGCCAUAUAGUUGGAUUCUCUAUAAAUGUGAAUAACUCCAAGGCUCCCCACUUCGCUCAUAGGCCAAUCAAUUGCAUUUAAAUCGUUUAAAAGAGGUCAAGGUCUGUUUGCUUUGCGGUUUGCCCAGCCCACCGCAAGGGAGGAAUCACUUUCAAUGGCCACAUGAGAGAAAGCAAACUCCAUACAAAAUGAUAGAGCCUGGUGUAUGGCUUUAACCUCAGCCUGGUGAGCCCAAAGAACACCAGUAGCCAUGGCAAACAAACCAAUGAUCUCACCAUCAUGUUGUCUUAGCACACCCCAAUGCCACUGAUGCCUGGAGAUCCUUUUGUCGAGCCGUCAACGUUGAAUUUGAGAGAAUUAGUGGAGGGAGGGCAUCACACACUGUUUCUGGCUGGUUACUCCUUCGCCUUACCUUUACUUUCCCAAAAUGAUGAAUGAAAUCGAGGGCUGAGUAAGGACACUCCUUCCACCAAGCUUUUGUCCACCACAUGAUUCUUGUAAGAUGUAAAUCCCAUAUCGACUCGAAAUUGAAAACUUUUUGUUGAAAGACUUGUUCAUUUCGAGCCAACCAAAUAGACCAAACUAUUGCGCACCUGGUAUUAAUUCCCAUAACAUCCUAUUAGAUUUGCAUCGUAGCUCUAGCCAUUCCUCCAAUAAAGCCAAAAAAGACCCUGGAAUGCACCAAACAAUACCGUCCCUGGCCAUCUUUAAGCACCAGAAUUUCCAUGAGGUAAUACAUCCCAAAGCAAGAUGGAAGGCCGACUCAAUCAGCAGCCCACAAGUCUCACAUAAACCACAUACCAUUCCCAAUUAGCACUCCUCUUUUCAUUAAGUUUUCCUUGACCGCCACUUUAGUCUCCAUGAGUUGCCAAACAAAUAGACUUACUUUAGGAGAGAUAAUUUUUCUGCAUUGCUUGGAUAUAAGCCAAGGAGUCCCAUAAAUUAUGAGUUCAGCAACUAAGUAUCCAUUUUUUACCGCAAAAACACCAUUAGCAGCUCUGGUCCAAAUGCUUACCGGCCGUCACAUUUUCCAUCGAACCUAAAUGGAAUUACAGGGGCAUGGGUGAAAUAGUUAUUGUGUUUAUUUAUUUAUACUCUUGCAUUAGUUGUGUUUAUUCGUUUAGGUUGGAUGAAAAAUGUGUCAGCAAGGACUCAAAACAAAAUAUGUAACUUUAGGAGGAUGUUAAAAAAAUAUUUUCUAAAGAUGAAAGAUAAAAAAAUAAUGUAUUUUGCAGGGACAAGUUUAUUAAGCCAAAAUCUUUUUAUUCAAAUAUAAUUCUAUAAAUAUGCACGUUUCAUAUGAUAAACAUAGAAAAUCAAAUCUGAAACCCAAUUUGAUCCAAUGAAAAAAUUCAAUUUUUUUUUUCAAUUUUCAGUUUGAUUCAAUUUCAAUUUAUUUUUCGAUCGGUUUUUUAAUUUUUUAUUGAAUCGGCUAUAAACACUCUUAUGUAAUAUGCACACUUAUCAUCACUGAAAUUACAAUAACCCGCAUCAACCAUCAGAGGUAUAUUUUAUUUUUUUGAAUUUAUAGAGUUUAUCGAUUUUCACCGAUUUUCACCCCUUCAAUUAUGGGUGGUCUAACAUAUAUGCUAGUGAUGUAGAUAUAACUGGAGCGGCCAAAACAGUAAUGUCCAAUUUCCAAUUAGACUAACCAGUUCAAAUAUAUGAUUGUAAUAAUAGCACUGUUUGCGUGCCUUGCUUUUUCUUUUUUUUGGGUGCAUAAACAUUUCGUUUUUUUUUUUGCGUACCUUGCUUUGUUGCAAUAAUUAAUAUUUAAUGAAAAAAGGUAAAAUGUUUUAUACUUUUAUAAAAGAAGCACUACCAAAAAAGAAAAGAAAAAAAGAUAAACGAUUACGUCAAAUAAAAUAAUUUUACACCUUUCUCUGUUUCUGUGUUUAUCUGUAAUUUAGAUUUAUGUAGAAUAAUGAGAGAGCGAGCCAUAUUAGACCACAAUAAAAUUAAUGGACACCACAAAGCAUAAAUAUCCACAUAAAAAUUGGUAUGCUAGUGUUUUAAUUUAAUUUGGUCUUCAAAAUUAAUUAAUAGAAACUGGGACAUUGUUCAGCUAGAUCCACAGAACCCUCCGACAUGAUACGAUUCAUUUUAUUUUCGGACAAAAGUUGACUAAUAUUUUAAGAUUUUAUAGGUUAGUGCUAAUUAUAUCCAUAAGUAUUUUUGAAAUGUUAACCUAAUAUAGAUUUUAUUUCUUACUUUAGUACCAGAUUAAAUAUGAGAUUCAGAAACAUUAAAUGCAUGCUAGUUACGCAAUAAAAUAUUGUUACUACUAAACUUGUAUACUUUUCGCAUAUUUGCAUGUGAAAAAUGUACAUAGAUGCAUGUCACUUAAAAAAAUUAUGCUGUAACCAAUUAAAUUUUUAGAUUAUGAGAAAAUACUUUUUAAUUUAAUUGUUUAAUGUAUUUGGUUAUGGUAAAUCUCAAAUUUCAUUCACAAAGAGAACAGACAACAAAAAAGGGCCUAAACCGUCAUGCACAUCCACAACCCAAACACCAGGCUUAGAAUACGUCAAAAUAACCAUAAAAUCUGUGGCCAUGUCGCUCGGUCUAACAAACGACAAAUGAAAAAAAGAGAAAGAAACAGACAACAACAAAGUCAUAAACAUUAACCGAGCGGAUAUUUCUCGGGCUAUCUCUGGUCUAAAGUUGAAUUGCUCCAAAUCUCAAAUCAUCGCAUGUAACAUUAACCAAGCGGAUGUUUCUUAGGUACCAAAGUUGUUAGAUGACGAGGUGGGUCUCCUCCCUCUAAAUUAUCUUGGAUCCCCACUUAGUGAUAAACUUAAAAGGAAAAGGUUCUGGCAACCUGUGAUUUAGAAGACGAGAGUCAAGCUAGGAUAAUGGAGCUCCAAAUACCUCUCCUUGAGCGAAAGGCUAGUAUUGUUGAAGGUGGUACUUAGUGCUAGCUAUCUCCAUCUAUCACAUAUAUAUAUAUCUUCAUGGCACUAGUAGAGGUGGUUGCGGAGAUGGAGAAAUUAAUGCUGACAUUCUUUUGGGAGCGGUUAGAUGGGGGUCGACACAUUCUAUGGAUAACAUGAGAACAAAUUUGCAAAAGCGCUCAAGUUUGUGGGAUGGGCAUCAGAUUCUUGGGAUGGAAAAAUAAAAUGUUACUUAUACAAUGGGCAUGGAGAUUUGGGUAGGCAAAAAGGGCUUUCUAGGUCGACGAGAGUAAUUUUUGUGAAAUAUAGAUGGAAUGAUCAACUUCUAUUGCUUCAUUUGGGCAUGAAAAACACCAAUUAGUGCUCCAUUCUAUUUCUAGACAUACUCAAGGUAGAGUGGGGAGAUACUGUCAGUGCAAAAGUUUUAAGAGAGGAUUGUUGUUGUAUUAGACAGAGAAAUAAUGUCCGCUUUUGGUUAGACAUGAUGUUGCUUCAUUCUAUAUUCCCUUGACGCAUCUUCAGAAACCAUACCUUCUUUUCUUCUCUAGCACUUACUCGAGCAUGUCUUCCCAGGAAGGUGUUUUAAAAAGAAAACCAUUUCACCUCCACAUCAUGUACUUAUAUGAUCUGUCUGACUUCCUUCCACUAGUGUUCAGCUUCUCCUCGCAGUAACUAGGUAGCGAAUGUCACCUUCUACCAUUAUGGCGCCUGUAAUUCCUCAAAAACCUUCUCUACCUCUCGAAUCCAACGAUCAACCUCCUCAGGAUCAAUCCCUCCAAGAAAUCAAGGAAAUCACGGUGUCUAAAGUUCGUAAGUCAUCUAGCUUGAGUGAAGACAUCCUUACAUUAUUGCUGGCGUCUACUACGCUCACCCUCUUCAGAAUUGGAAUUCACAAUAAUUUGAUCAGUAGUAGCUUGAGCGAUAGCAACAACAUCUUGUUGUAUCGUGGCAUAAGCCAUGUUCUCCAUUCUCAACUUGGCCUGAUUGUGAAUCCAUAGUAUGUAACCUACGCACUUUUUCAAUUAAGAAACAAUUCAAACAAGUUAAGCGGAUUCGCUUCACACAUAAAUAAUGGUCAACUCGAUCUUUUGCAGAGUUCACACAACUUAGCAUAAAAGACCAAUUCCCCAACAACUCCUGAACGACUUGACUAGCUCUAAUAUCUCACAAUGUAACGCUCCAACUUUCGCUGGUCAUAAUAAUAACCCUUUUCGAAAUAAGUAUACUUUUUUCUUUAAGCAGUAUAAAAAGUGCAGGUAAUUUUUUUGUUUUGUUUUAAAAGCAUUUCCAAAACAUGUCAUGGAUACUCCCGAUAAUAAAUAAUCAAAUAUACCUCUGACCUUGAUCAAGACAAGUACCCAAAGGUAACAAUAGAUGACCAUAACAUAUACAACACAAAAAAGAAGAGAUAAUUAGACUUGACAAUGAAAUCUUGUAAGCGAAAAGACUCCAUAAGUAUGAUAUACUCCCUAGAUCCCCACACAAGAGGACCGCAUGAAAGCAAUGUACCAGAACCUACCAUGUCCCUCAAAUACAUACUAAACUGAUCAAAAUCCCAUGUGCUUUUCUCUACAUGGAAAGCACUCUACCCAAGAAGGUGCGCCCUCCAUGCCCCUCAAACCUACGACAGCGAGUCUCCGAAGGAAAUCUCCUCAUCACUCUAGAUACGUCGUGCAUCUAGUCCUCGUCUCUGAACUUGUCACAGUCUGGUGGGGACACUCGAGGUACAUCCACAAAGAAGUAAAUGCAAGGUCAAGUUCGUGUAACAGAUCAUCAUAGGACAAUACCAUACACAACAACAUGCAAUACAAGACAAUUCAAGGAAUCACAUAUAUCUCAUACGACCUUCCAUGCACUUUUGGUCCCCCACGAUUACAAUAGUCAUGAUUCUGGUCCCCAACAAAAUUUUAUUGCAUGGAAGGUCCCCCACGUUAUGCUCCGUUAGCAACUUUAGUCCGGAGCGUCUAUUUCGUUAGUUUUCUAACGUUUCUCUCUCCUAGUGGCCAUUAACUCAUGACAUGGAAAUUUUAAAACCCAGAAAUCUAUCAUCUUCAUCUUCUCCCCAUGAUCUUCAUCUUCUUCUUCAUUGCAUACAACCAAAAACUCAGGAAAAAAAUAAAAAUAAAAAACACACUCACACUCAGACAAGAAGAAAAGUUUUGUAAAUGAAAAUAAAUUUAAAAACUCAUAUCUUCAUCUUCUUCAAACAUGUUCAUCAUCAUCUUCUUUCAUCUUCAACCCUUAAAAUUUAAAAACCCAGAAUUUUUCUCUCCAGCAAUUCUUAACCCAUAAAUUAAACAAUCUAAUUCAUAGAUUAAUUAAAUUUAAUCAGACCUUUACUCCUUCUUUACAGACCUUUGGUCCUCCUUUCCAACUAUUGACAUUUCACUUAUUCAUGGCUUUAUUCAUUUCCUCCACUGCACCGUUAAGUUUUUCAAACAUGUUGGCUACCCUUUAGCUCAACCAUUCACACUAACUAAAUUAUACUCAUUGUUCCAGGAUUCUAAAGAUGAACACAAAACGUGAGAAGGUUAUCCCUGAAAGAACAGCCACAUGGUUGCCCAGAAGAACCAUUACAAAUGCAACAAAAGGAGUUCCAGAUGUCUAUGAGUCACUUCCUCCAGCCUCUGAUUUUUCCACUUUUUUAUCCACCAUUAAAGAAUUCACACCUCAAACCCAAAAACCCCAAAUCCAAAAACCUAGAACCCAAACUCUCUCACGCUCUUUCAACCACGGAACUCACACUCAGAAACCCCUACACAGACUCAGAAACCCCAAAAAAAAAAAAACCCACAACAGAAAGGAAGGAACUUUGAGGGAGAUGGACCUUCAAUUUCAAUGACGAGCUUCAGCUUUGGGGUUUUCUGAGAGAAGAAGGGUAAAGAGACACAGUGGAACAAAUAGGUGCGACUGGAAGGGGGAAAAGUUAGCGCUUUGGGGAAGAAGAUGCAAAGGAACAAAGGGAUCUGCUUCGAGGUAGAGGUUGCUAUGCUUUGAUCUAUGGGAACCCAACCAAGCAAGCUCCGAUCUGCUUCGAUCUAUGGGAACCCAACCCAACAAGCUUUGAUAUGCUUCGAAGGCGCAUCGACCCAUGUAUUUGGACCAAGUGGCACCAGAUUUCAUGCUUCAAGUUUCACCGGUUAUGGCCGCAAGUGACGAAGCUGGCCAGAAAUCCUUAUGGGGUUUUUUCAUCAGCAGUAUCGCUACUUUGCUACUAUAUAUGUUGUUUCUUGAUAGUUCUAAUGUGAGAAAUUAAGGCAAGGCAAUUGAGUAAGUGGGGUUUUGACUUUUGAAUGUUGAGAUGGCUUCCCAUGGAUUUACUGGCCCAAUGCCCAGAUCCAAAUUUGUUAUUGAAUUUUGUUGUUUCAAUUUUUUUUGGUAAUGAUUGCUUCAUUAAUUGUAGAAUUUGUGCUUUUUAAAUUUAUUUUCAUUUACAUAACUUUUCUUCUUGUCCGAGUGUGAGUGUGUUUUUUAUUUUUAUUUUUUUCCUGGGUUUUUGGUUUAAUACAAUGAAGAAGAAGAUGAAGAUCAUGGGGAGAAGAUGAAGAUGGUAGAUGUCUGGGUUUUAAAAUUUCCAUGUCAUGAGUUAAUGGCCACUAGGAGAGAGAAACGUUAGAAAACUAACAUAAUAGACGCUCCGGACUAAAGUUGCUAACGGAGCAUAACGUGGGGGACCUUCCAUGCAAUAAAAUUUUGUUGGGGACCAUAAUCGUGGCUUUUGUAAUCGCGGGGGACCAAAAGUGCAAUUAAGCCUAUUUUUUAGUUAACAAAAAGAUAUUAUCUUCUCAACACAACAGUCAACAUACAUGAUCAAUCACUUAUGGUUAGUUUGUAUGCUAUGCUCAUGCAAUAAAUGCUCCAAAAUGAUCCGGAUAUAAACACAAAAUCCUACCAAUGAAUGUAGGAAAACAUACGGAAAACCUAACCAACUAGCCUAUAGUUAGUGAUCUACCGUAGUUGCCACUUUGGAUAACCAUAUUUACUGAAACAGGACAACCUUUCAGUAACCUUUGCUGAAAAUGUAUUCAUGUAUGUAUGAUGUGAAUCAAAGUUAGCCAGGAAAACGGAAACACCCUCUCAAAAGCUUGUGUUUCUCACUAACAAUAAUCACAUAAAAGAUACCCAUAGGUAUCUAACAGCUACAUAAGCAAAGGUUGCUACAUAAGAAAGAGGUUGCAUUUCACAUCCACACCAUGAUGGUUCACCAUCCUAAGUCACCAAAAACUCAAUUUUAUUUUUUUCUUCUCAACUCCUUGAAUCAGAGACCCUUUUUUGAUACUCUUUUCAUUUUUCAGUAAUUUUUUUUUGCAAACAAGUUUAUUUUGUUUUGUAAAAGAGUUAGGACUUAGAUUUUUUUUCAUUAUGGCAAGUUCAUCCGCAAAUCCUUACAACUUAUAGUACCUUUCGAAAGUCUCUAUAAUUGUAAAAGUGUUAACGGUCAAGUUAUAUUCAUUACGAAAGUUUGUUCGCAAAUCCUUAUCAAGUGCAUUAUUUUUCGAAAGUUUCAGUGAAUGCAUAAAGUAUCCCUCAAUAUUUUUCAAAGAGAUUCUUCACUUCCUCAACAUCGAUCAUUCCAAGCAUCGUUAGAAAACAUUCUACCCGACACUCAUAAAGCCCUCUGUUUUACAAUCAAUAUUCAGUCAAUCAGACAAUCAAAUGUCAUUGUAAACAGAGCAAGUAUAAAUAGAUCAACAUCAUAUUAGGUCACUCAAUCACAAAAUCAAUAAGAAUUCAGGCUUCAAAAUUCAAUCCAACAUCAUAAACAACCAACACAACAUGGAAAUAAACAACAAUCAAUCGUAAAGUAAAAAACUGCAAGGUGCCCUCACCUUAGGCAUUUUUCUUCCAUGUCUCAACUACGAUCUAGUCGUGUCUUAGUUCCUCAUAUCGGCUCACUUUCCUUUAGCUGUCAGCUUCGAUGCAAAGAAGCUCUCGUUGCAUCCUUCACAUACAAGUACUUAACUUAGUCAAAGCAUAAUCAAAGCAUUUCCAUGGAAAAAACAACACUCAAACGUCAAAAGAAACCCUAAAUCAUAAUUACCAUUCUUACAACUUCAGACCCUUGAACCAUAAAUCACAUUUUAUUGAAGUUCAUCACAACCACAACAACAUUCAUGAAUAGUUCUUAGAUAAAAGCUAAGGUUCAAAGCCUCUUAAAUCAAAACUUCAAUAAUUCAUGCAAACUAAAUCCAUCAAUUUAAAGAUCCAUGCAAUAGAGAACUCUUUUCCAAAUACACACAAGAAAACUCGAUCAAUUUCUCAUUUCUCCAAACCAAAGUUUCAUCAAGUUUGCAAAAUUUCACAUUGGCUUAAAUAUGUUGGAGGUCCCUCUAAAAUAGAGGUACUUUGGUUAAGGCCCCUCUUAAAUAUUUUUGUUGGAAUACACCCUUACUUGGAAAAUAAUUGGGAGGUUUAAGCCCCUACCGUUAAUGUCCGUUUAAAAAUGAUGAUGUAGCUAACAUAAGGGCUAAAACCAAAAGUCCCAUUCCAUUUUUUACUAAUAAAAUAUAAUUAUAUAUUUUUUGUGAUUACAAUAAUUAACCCAGAAAACUCUUCUCCUUCCUCAUCUUCUUCCAAUCACACACCCAGCAAAAAUCUUUCUCCUUCACAUUUUCUUCUUUCAAUCCUCACGACCAAACAUCAUAUGAAGCUUAGCCCAUUAACUCAAAGCUAAAGUUUUACCUUUUAAACAGUGGCGGAGGGAGAACUUUGGGGUGGGUGGGGCCAAUGUGAGCCAACAUGACUAUGCUAUUUGAAAAUACAAAGAAAGUGAGGUAAACAAGUAAUUUUAUACUACCCAUUUCACAAAUACCCGAUCUUAACCUCUUCUCUCCAUUUGACCAGAUCUGCUCUUCUCCUUUCUCUUCCACUUGAUCAUCUUGAUCCUAAGGUGGUGGCUUUUGGUGGUUGCUCGUGGUGGUUAGAGUUUUGCUUCACUUUCCUCGAUCUCAUUCUCUCAAGUUUUCUCUUAUCCAUCACAAAAAUGAUUCCGAAAUCCCUCCCUUCCUUCAACAAGUUAAAAUCAUGUGGCUAAAACUUAAUUCAGGUUAAUUAAUUCUAAGUUGGCACAUCAUCCCCUUAAGCUUGUGACAUUUUUUCUCCUCUUGGUGGCGCCACACGCCCCCUGGCUUGACCCACAAGCAAGUGUCUAAAAUAUCUCGCGGCAAAACAACUCGAAUUUCAACUUGAAAUUUUCCGCCAACACGAAAUUUUUUAAAUUUCAAAACUUGAUUCCUUACAUUAAAUGGAAUCGUCCUUUGCCUUACAUAUUUUCAAAAUAGAGUACCGAACAUGCUUGUUUCUCGCCUCAAAGUCUUCUUCUAAACAUUUGUAGAGGCAAGAACUUCUUCGGGAAAAUAAACCUUAUCUGUAUUACUGUCAAAAUUCACUAAAUUAAACAUAGAUUGUCAGAAAGAUUGACCAUAGAAAAGUCUUAUUCCCGCUCUAACCUAGAAAAAGGACUUAUUUAAUAUUUUUACGGUUGAGAACCGUUUUUUGAAUAUUUUAAAAAAUAGCCAAAUUUUCAGGCAUCAUUCCAAAAUUCACUAUUCAAAACAUAAGUGCAUAUAUAUAAUGAGAAUUAAUGUCAAAAUUCAUAGUACUUCUCUUUAUAUCAAUUUUGACUUACGUAAAAAAAUUGAACAUGUUUACGCUGACACGAACUUGAAUACCAUUGAAUGAUUCAAUUUUUACAAAUUACAAACUUAGAGUCUAAAGUUUGUUGUUCUAAACAUCAAAUCAAAUCACACAAUCAGUGCGAUCACUAUACAUGAAAGACAAAAAGUUCAAUUAACUCUUCUUUCAUUAUCUCUAGAACCUUUUAUUUAAGUAUAUGUUAGUGGUGUUUUACUAAAAUACUACUAUGUUAGAAGUUGUCUUGAAUGGAGAGUGCAUGCUUUAACUACCGAGAUGUCCCACAUCGUGCCUUUGAUUACGAAUUCCGCAAUUCAUAUACUUACGAAUUCCUGGUCAUCGGUCAUGUUCCGAUUAAGAUCCAUUGCUGUACUAUGUAUUCAAUCAUAGCGACUGAUUAAGAUCACCAAUUAAGAUAGCAAAAUAAAGCCAUUUGCGACUAACGCUUAGACGACGGCUUAGUGGGAGGAGAUAUAAUAGAUAGAAGUUAAAAAAAGGAAAGAGAAGAACUUUGAAAAACUACCUCUUCUUGAUAAAACAGAUGUUUUGGUACAUAUUUUCAAUUUUGUUAUGCGAAGGCUGAACUAUUGGGCAGACAACUUCCUAACUUUUAUAGGUAAACACUGAAUAACAAUUUUACAUAGUGGUAAUAAAAUCCUGUGGGCAUAUACAAAUGGUGUAAAUACUUCCUCCGUUUCUAUUUAUAUGUCCAAGAAGGAAAAGUUCACACAAAUUAAGAAAAACAAUUAACUAUGUUGAUUUUCAUAAAAAUAUAUUUGUUUUUCUAUAUCACAUUUUAAAAGUAUUUUAUCUUUCUUCAUUUAUUGUUUCUGUGAGGGUAAUGCUCUCUUGAAACUCUAAGUGGACAAUUAAUAAGGAACGGAGGGAAUAUCUAACAAUAUCUCAUUUUUCUUUCUAAGAGCAUCUACAUCUAUUAUACUCACUAAAAUAUCUACAUUUUAUUUUUUACAAUUUCUCAUAGUGUCACAUCAUCUACAUCACUCUACUAACUUUUUACUCCAACCCAACAACUCUUAAAAGUUUCUAUAGUGGAUCUCAUCAUCAACAUCGCAUUUGUAUAUUUUAUUAUUUAUCUUUAAUUAUAUUAAUUGGGAGUGCUUGUAAUAAAUACAAGCUCACUUUUCAAGUCUAGUUUGGAGUAUUUAUUCCCACAUACUCAUCUUUGUCAUGUUUGAAUUGAAUAUGUACUCUAAUGGUAAUAGAUACUCAUAUAAUAUGUAUUUAACAUUAGAUAUAUACUACUAUUGGAGAUCGUCUAAUUCUCUUCAAUAGUAUAUCACAUUUAUAUUUUCUUUUUUUCACUUUGCAUGUUUGUUCAGAGUCUGCACUUUGUAAAUGUUUAUAAAUUAUUUUAUUCACCUUUUUUCUAUUUAUAACUCAAAUUGAAAUUAAAUAUAAGUACAUAAAGUGCUCAAAUAAUAAAAGUUGUGAGACAUAUAAAUUAGAGAGGUGGGAUCUAGGAUUCAUCCUAGUAGGUGCAGUUUAUUUUUCAGAAAAGAAAAAAAAGGGUUUAACCCAAUUACGUAGGAAUAAUAGCCAUCCGUAUAUGGACGAAGCUAUACUGGUCUUUAGUCCCCUUCUUGGUCAAAUGUUGGUUAUUUUAUUUUUUUUCUCCUUAAGUGGCAGGACAAUUCUCCUGAAAGCUAUAUUCAUCAGGGAUAUCCCCGUGGGGGUGUAGUAGCGCAGCACACCCGUUCUUGGUCGCGCAGCCAGCACUUCUAGCUAAGAGUCCGUAUUAAUUUCUAUUUUAGGUCAGUGCAAGAGUCAACUGAAAUUAGAGAGUCAACAGUGGACAAGAGAACCUAUAUAGACAACACUACAACAGAGAUGAGAUGACGGCUGACGGUAGGUUAGAGACAGAGCUUAAAUCAUUGAAGUGUUGGGGUUUAUUGCAAUGUUACUCUCACAUUACUAAUGUUAAUCAAGGACGAAAUAGAUUAAGGAAAAAAUCUUGGAAAUUAAAAGUCUCAUAUUGUCUAGCAUAUUAAAGCUGGAGGAGACUAAUGCUACUUAAUUAUAAAGAUCUCAAGCUCCUUAUCACAACACACAUAAUGUUAGAAGUUCCACAUUGGCUAGAAAUAGAGCAUAGAUAACCUUUAUAAAGGGUAGUGCAAACUUCAACUCUUGAGCUAGCUUUUGUGGUUAAGUAUUGACCUCCCAAUUUCUAAUAUGGUAUUAGAGUCUAUCCUAGAUCCAUUUGUUGUUUGUUGUGGAGACUUCCCAUAUUUGGGGCACCCGUUGUUGUUGAUCCCAUGUUCCAGGGUGUUCAGUCCUGGACGUGAGGGAGUGUGUUAGAAGUCUCACAUUGGCUAGAGAUAGAGCAUAGAUAGCUUUUAUAAGGGGUAGUGCAAACCUCAACUAUUGAACUAGCUUUUGUGGUUGAGUAUAUGCCACCCAAUUUCUAAUACAUAAUACUAAUUGUGUAAUUUAAAUAUUAAUGUAUUAAAGUAAUGAGGUAGUUGAAAUAAAGUUCAUGUAUUGUAAUAACUUUCAGACCAUACUCAUUCUCAGACCAUAAUCUUUCUGUCCACCAUCCAAACAGGUAGAGGACGCUAGAAUGCCCCGAUCAUGAUUGAUGUAUUAUUAUUGGUCACCUAUCUCAAUGUCCAUGUAUGAUAGAGCUACCUACUUAGCUUUGAUUAUUUAAUUUAAAAGCAAAAGGGGAGUGCUAUAAAGGCGUUUAAAAUUAUUGCAUGUCUUGGUGCACUUUACCCACAAAAUUUGGAUAACAAUCUCUUUUGACAUUGACAUGUUUUUAAUGUUCAUGCAAAACUGUAUAAAAAUAAAGCAAAUUGGAUUAUUAUACCACUAAUAUGUUUAUGUCCGAAGAUAAAAGAUGUAGGACAAAGUUAGUAUGACUCGUAUAAUGAUGCAUGACAAAUAAAGCAGAAAUUUCUUUUUAGCAGGACGUGUUUUCAUGCAUGCUCACUCUCUUUGGUGCAUUAUUGAUAUAUUUACGUGAGUAGUAUUGUCACGGUGGUGUAUGACAAAGUGGCUAUUAAAUGUAGAGGAGCACUACUUACCAGUCUUAAGUCUUAACAAAGGAAUUUUUUCUUUUUAAAGCAAAAAUAUUUAUUGAAUUAUAAAUGCAUCGAUAUUUAAGUCGUCUCAACAAAUUAGUUAACGCCUAAAACAAAAUUUCCCAAAAAUUAAAAAUCCUAAUAUUUUUCCAACAAAAGGCCUAAAACGGCAAAUCGCUAACACCGGAUAUUAAUUGACACCUCAAUGACCCAGCUUCCACCACCAAACAAAAUCAGAGCAACGAAAAGCAACCAAGCUUAAAUUUGUUUGAUGCAUUCAUAAUGGGGGAUAGUUGAAAUCUAGGUGUUUCUCAUUUCUUCAAUUCACAUAUGAUAUACACCCUUCUUUGGGAAGGGUAGAAUUUAGAUUGUGAUUCUUCUGAAAAGUGUUCCUCGGAGUUUUGAGUAAGUGGCUGGUUUGAAAGUUAAUUUUAAUUAGCAAAGUUAGUUUGUUUGCUUAUGGUCAAUUGAUGAAGGUUUCUUAAGAAGGGAUGCUACAAUUCUUCACUAUGUAGCAUUGUCACUCCCAUUUGUGCACCUUGGUAUUCCCAUUAGAGUAAUCCAAGACGUACGUCUCUCCUUUUGGGAACCAAUGUUGAGAAAAUUAAGAUAUAAAUUCUCCCUUUUUGAAAAAAAAAUCUACGUCUUUUGGGGGAAGGAUAUGCCUCAUUAAUAAUGUACUCUUGGUUUACCUCUUCUAUCACUUUGCCAAAAAAGGCCUUUUGCAGCGGUUCCAAACCGCUGUAGAUCUCGCCGAUGUAAAAGAUUUUACGGCGAUUCAAACCGCUGUAGAAGUCCCUCUUUACAGCAGUUUACCCAUUGUAACCAUUGUGGAUGGUAGGUCUAUUACAAUGCAUAUUCACCGAACCACUACAUAGUAUAUCUUUUUUUACUUAAUUCAGCCCCUAAAUUAAUAAUAAUUAUAAUUAACCCACUUUACUAUGUUAUUUAUAAAGAAGGUUUAUCUCUUGAUUACAAUAGUAAAUUGGACAACUAUAUAUGUGAUAAAGGAUGUAAGUCAAAAACAGGAUUUGGAAAGGUGGGAGAUUAAUGGGUCAAAUGAGAAAACAUGUGUCGUCAGCAGGUUAAAUGUUAUGGUUUGGGCCGUUUGGAUCCAAUUAGGCAACAUCUUGGACCAGGGCAGGAGUGGGAUAGUAGCAAAAAUGCACCAUGCAGAAAUUGCUUGAUAGGCGUGAUAUCUGGGAUAAUACCUUGGAAUAAAAUGUGUUUUGAAAAUUAAAAUUUGCAAUAUUUUUUAAUUUUUUGUGUACUGAAAAUAAGAAUCCAGUGGUGGACAAAGUCAUUAUACAAAGUCAUUACACUAAGUCAGUAUAAAAUCAUAAUAUUUGAAGUGGUGGUUAAUCCUAAUAUAUACGGUUCUCCUCUUCCUCUAAUAGUUACCAAGUCCAAGGAUGAAUUUAAUUAAUUUGAUUAAGUGCAUAAUUGUUUGCAAGUGUUAUGUUUCUCAAGCAACUAGCUAGUGGUGCCACUAGUGUUCUUUUACUAAGAUAUAAGAAACAAUGGGUCGAUCGCAUUGUUUUUCAUUUUUUAUAAUGUAGUAAAAUAAUAAUGAAAUACUAUAAAAUGUCAAUGUAGAAGUUACAGUUACUACACUCUUACUAGCUAAAACCCAAAAUCACGAAUCAACUACAAUCAAAUUACCCACAAAUUUAUCACUAACUAGUUUGACUUUGGUAGCUCUGGACACAUUUGUCACAAUUUUCAGGCGUGGACAUAACAGUAACUUCAAUGACUUCGGGCUCCGUGGUGUUUUGAUCUAAUGGCACUAGUUGAGUCUUCUUUUUCAUUUCUCUGCUCUUACCCCAUAGCACACCAUAUAAGCCACACACGAUCAGUACUGCUCCAACCACACUAUAUAAUAUACAACGAAACUCAAUUAAUUCAAAUCAUGAACCCAAAAUAAUAAAUAAAAAGCAUAAAUUAAACAUGAUGAACAAAUUAAAUUAAAUUAAAUAUAUUGUGAAACAGAGUUAGACUAUAUAUAUGUAUACCUUCCUAAAUAUAAUUUCUCAUCCAAUAAUAAAUAAGCAGCGAUUGCCACAAGCAAAAGUUGUAGAGGAUUAAAGAUGGAUGCAAAUAGAGGACCUCUCAUCUUCACGCACCACGAAAUUACAAUAACCACCAUACCAGAAGCCACAAUUCCCUGCAGUUAACAUUUUAAUCCCAUAGUCAAAUAUAUGUGCUUCCUUUGAGCUUUUUAAUAUUUUCAUUAACUUCAGAGCAUACCGAAUAAGCCACGGUUAGCAGCCUGAUAUUGUAACCUAACUUCCAUUGGCUCCAAUCUCUAUCAACACAAAGAGCAAUAAUAGUAGAUUGUAUUGCUCCCAUUGUUGACAUCAAAGCUGAGCUUGAGUGAUAGCUUGGAUAUUCUUGGUUCAUCUUAGCCUGUACGUUGUGCAAUUAAAUGUAUUCAUAUAUAAGAUGACUUCAAUCAUAACUAAAUGAUAUACAAGUGCACUACAUUCGAUUCAUAAUUAAGGAAUAAGCUAACCUGAAUGAUUAACCACAAAGAGAAAGAGCAGCAACUUGCUAAGGCGCAUGGAACCCCUAAUAGUUUAUUACUAAAAUCUACAUGAGGCCGCAUCAUAUGCCCACUUUGGUCAUGAUGUGGAUGCAUAAGGUCAAUUUUGGAAGAUAAAAUAUUAAUUUCAAACCCUUUGAGAAAGGUAAUCAACAUUGCACCACUAAUUCCAACAACUGUUCCUAUCACCUUGGCCUUCCCUUCUGCUGCUCCAAAAUUCAGUUUUUCCAAUCUAUAGAAAAAUCAAAAGUAUAACAGUAAAAUGGGCACAAAUUAGUAUUAUAUUUUGAUUAAAAGCAUUGCAAAUUGAGAGUGCAUGUGAAACACUAUCUAUCAUUUAAUAUUAAUUACCUUUGUGCGGUGUAUAGGAGUGCUAAUCUACUCUUUGAUGUCUAUAUUAUCUCAUACAAAACUUAGUUGCUAGUUGCUACAUCGUCAUUAUAUUUAAUUAUCACUUAUAAAACACGGAUUAAUACUUUUUUUAAUCUUUUUAUAAUGGCAUCCUAGUCACUCUUGCCUUUACAAGCCUUCAAUCCUCAUGGCCAGUGGCCACUGAUUGUUUGCAAGUACAUGUUUCUACAACCAAACUAAAUAGUAAUUGAAAAUUCAUUGAUUUAAUUAUUUUCUAACAUCAUAAAAAAAGAUAAAAUAUAUAUCUAAGUGUACGUGUAGGGAGAGUACGUACCCAAAAGAAGUGGCCAUGAUGAAUGUAACGCCUGGAACAAGGUUUAACACCGCCAACAUAAACGUUGCAGAGGUCAAAGCCAAACCAACGGCGUAAAGGUUUAGAAAUAAACUUCCACUGAAAUGGAACAUUGCAUAUACCCAUAUAGUAUAUUGUUAAUUAAUUACCUUAUAACAAGGAUACUUUAUAUAAGGUGGAAAAAGGGUGAAUGAUUUAGGUAGCAUACCCAAACAAUCCACAGAGAAAUGCCAUAAAAAUCACCCUCCAAGUAAUUUUUUGCCUCUUCUUCCUGUGUAGAGAAAAAAUGCAAAACCAUUUUGACCUUGUUAGUCUAAUCUAUAUAAUGCGUGAGUCUCACGUUGAAACGCUAUACAAUGUUUGUCUCUUAUGUUACUAUUUGACAGAAAUCACAUCAGGUCAUUUAGUUGGAUUCAUCUCAAAGAGAAAGUGAGAGAAAGUGAUUUUUUUAGUUAGAAAAACAAAUAUGUAAAAAAGAGAAAGUGAUUAAGAGCAAUACGAAAAGUAAGAGAAAGACCCGAAAAUAGAGACGUGACGUAAAAGGCAAUAGUGGAAUGUAAAAGACAAACCUUAUUAUUUUUACAAAACCAAUAAUAAAAUUCGAGAAUUUUGAAAUAUUGUUCAGGUGUUUUAGACAUGUUGAACACCGGUUGCACUCUUCAAUAUAAAUAAAAUUAAAAAGUUCGACUUACUAGUAGAAAGGCCCACGUCUUUCAUUUUCAAAUCCAUAAUUAGAUAUUUUAAUGGUACUUUAACCUUUAAUCUACUUAUCGCAUGUUUUACUUCUUUCUUGUCUUCUAUCUCUUUCGUUUUAUUUUGGGUUUUCCUAAUUUCUAAAUCUCCUAUUUUUCCUCAAUUUUCCCUUAGAUGUCCAUCUCAAGUUAAUGAAAAACAUAAUCAUAAGAUAAUCCCUUUAAAAACUUUUAUGAUAUAAGAAUUGAUUGUGCUAAAUUAUUUUAUAUAUAUAGAGGAUAUAUGGCUUGUUUGAUUUCUGUUUUAAUUUUGAUGUUUAAAAAAAUUAGAAACAAUUUUUAAAAUUAUAUCAAAAAAAAAAACUUUUUGAAUAACGUGUUUUGCAACCUUAAGAAAACUUUAAUUUAACAACAUUGUGUUUCAGACUCCUCCUUGUACAUUUUCAUUACAUCAUCCUAGAAUAUAAAUUUGAAGAGACCCAUUAUAAGACAAGAUGAAAGAUGGAGUAAAAUAUAUUGUAUAAAUGAACAAUAUAAACUAUAUUUAAAUGUCAAAAUAAAAACUGACCCGUGAAAGUGAAUGUGAGGAAAUGGUUGGAAAAAAACAUUUCCAAAAAAGUACUUUUGCACAAGAAAUCUUUAAUUUUAGGCACACUUUUUCUUUUCCACAAUAAUAUUUUUACCAAAAAUGUUUAGAAAAUGCCCUUCUAACAAAAUAUAUAAUUUUUAAACGACUUCGUAUUCAGUCACUUUUCAAAUACUGACAAUUCGGUAUUUUAGAUUGAGUAAAAACUAAUACUAAUUUUAUCAUCUUUCGAAUGUAUUAUGUAGGGAUUGAGCCCCACUAAAAAAUAAAUUAAGGUUUUUUAACUCUCGAAAAAUGAAAGAAAAAACGAAGUUUAACAUGCUAUAUUGAAUGUACGUUAACAUUUUGAUAUAGAAGUUCAUGAAAUGAAAACACAUUUUUUGUGUAAAAGCAAAAAAAGGUGCAAGGAAAUUAUAAUAAACAACAACCUAUCAAGGAUAAGAGCAAGUGGAACUGUGAAAGCCGAUGCGAAAAUGAGGCGAUAAGCAGUUGCAACUCUCAUGCUCAUUCCAUCAUUUAUGGCGAGCUUGUAGACGAUAUUCGCCGCAGCAUAUGCAAUCUGCGUAAACACCAUUAGUAACGCUGGUUUCAGCCCUUGCAUUAAAUUGCACACACCGUUCAUGGUGCUAGCUAUAACUACAAUGGAGUUUUUCUAUCAAAUAAAAUAAAGAGAGAAGAUGAAGGUGUGUGGAAAUUGUAGCUCAGCAAAGGAGUUUUUAUAGAAUAGGUUGAAAAAGUGUUCCAUCACCCCUUGACUGUUAUCGUACUCUUUUACCUAUAAUUUAAUGUAGAGUUGUAGACAAAUGUUUUUGGGAUGAUGUUUUAGCAGACUUAAAAAGUUUAUGGUAGCGUCGUGUUUCAUAAGUCUAUCUUCUCUACUGACUCAUUUUUAUGAGGGAACAUACUUAUUAUGAAAAUAAUUGCCAACAUUAGUUAUAUUCAUUUCAUUUUUAUUUUCGAAAAUGAUAUACCAUAGCGUGAAACUAAAUAAAAUAUCCAUUAUUCAUCCAAUGGAAUUGGAAGCUAUUGUUGGGUAUUCUCCAAAUAAAAGUCAAAAUAUGGUUUUAUGGGUCGUUUAACAAAACAUGUGCUAAUCAUAAAUGCACAUCACCAAAAGAUUUGCGUGGAGGAUUGUUAAGGCUAGGUUGGGAGCUAACUAGCUAAGCCGGGUUGCUUAUUGAAAGGUUCCGAAGAAUUUAAUAUCAUUGCCAUGCCACUUUGUUAUUUCCAUUUAGUUGGAUUGCUUCGCCGGGGUAUGGCUUUUUUGCUCUUGAAUUUAACUCCUGGUCUCCUGCUGGUUUUUAUCAGUAAAGUAAGGCAAGCAAGUCUAUUUGUUGGCACUUGGUGAUUUUAUCAUCAAAGUGGGCUUUAGGCCCCGUUUGAAAAAACAACUUAAUUAAGCACUCAUGGUUAUAAGCGAUAUAAAUGCUUAUUCAUAAGCUACUUUUAAAAAUUAUUGAAAUGAAUUGAAAAUAAACUAUAUAUAAGUAUAAGCUCAUUUCCAUCAGCUAUCAUGAGUAGCUUAUGAAAAUAAGCUCAAAACAACUUAUGGUCUACCAAAAGGGCUUAUACUAUCAGAUAAGCUCAAAUAAGCUAUUUCAAGUUGGAGUGGUGACGAAUGCAUUGUUGCAAGUGCGUGUGAAAGUAAUUUUUUAAAGAAUACAGUACAAGGUGUUAUGACACCAAGAUAGUUAUCAAAAUGACUCAAUGGAUUAACAAUUGAAAUAAAGCAGGACACACUAACAAAAGAGGGAGGCCGGGAGGGUUUGGUUGAUUUUCUUGCAAUAAAAUUAAAGUCGAAAUUAAGUGAUUUAAGAAUUCAUAAGAGGAAGCGUCAAUCCUUGGACGUGAUUCAUUCAAGUGUAACAAACCGUUAUUGGUCACAAAAAGGUUUAUUUAACUUUUUAUUGAAGAUUUUGAGGCGAAUCCCAACUCAUAAAGAAGUUGGAAGAUCCCGAUUCUCUACCGGACAAUUAUCCAAAUUUUGAUUUGCUCAAGUAAAGAUGGAGUCAUUGCCCCUCAAAGUACAAGAACAAUUUUCUUCUUCCAAAAAGCUAACAACCAAUCGGUGUAUUAGAGAGUUUUGUUCUUUGGAAAACAAAACCACAAUCGCUACAACAUUCCAUCAAUCGGUUAAAGAUUUUUUUACUAAUUUCAACUUGCUUAGAUAAACAAUUAAAACAUAGUAUAAUUUCAAACUAAACCAGUCAUGGGCCAAAAGAAAAUUAUAUUAAAACUACAGAGUGAAAUAACGUAAAUCAACUUGAAUAAAAAUAUCAAAUUUUUUUUUGAAAGUUAAAAGAUAUAUAAAUAAGGAUAAAGUUGAGAAAUAACCCUCUCAACAUGGGUACAAUCAUGAAGCCAACAAAAACCGACAUAAACUUAGCCACUACAGCAAAAAAACACUUACAACAUCUAAGAACACCCGCAAGCAAACCACCCCGAUCAAUUAAAGCGAUUAAAGCACUGAGACUGGUCCCUAUAAAGUCGAAAACAACUUAUCAGGUCGCACGACACCUGCAAUAAGGAACCACCUAUGUCGUUCGCACCACAAGACCCAUCGCACGCCAUAGAGCUGAGACCCAAAAGUAAAUACCCAAAUACAUAAAAAACGAUAAGAACUACAACGCAAAAGCAAAAGACAAGCGAACAAGUGCAUACAACAACUCCAACACUGCUUCCGAACCUUCACUAAGCUCAAGCAUAGUCAUCAAUCAAACUUGAAGAAAACACAAAGCACCACAACGCACCUGAAGCAACUGCCCAAAGCGACAGACGAAACUGCAGCAACAACACCAGCCUAAAACCACGAAACAUCCACUGUGGCGGCGCGCCAAAGACUCCCAAAGAAUAGAACCUCAGGUUUGCAUACAAUAUAAGAUUGACUAGAGUUUAGUGACCCAUGAAACUGGGUAAAAACUCUGAGAAAUAAAAGUGAAAUAAAAUAUCAAUCGAAACUACAAAAUAAUGAUUAAGGAAAAAGGGGAAAAGCAUAAUGUUUAACCUAGACUAAAACACUGGUAUUUAACUAUUUAUAGAGGAACCAGCUCCAAAUCGUGCCUCUUAUGCCCUUCUUCAGCACUUCACAGAUCUAAUUCCAGAAGUAAGCGGCUUUAUAACGCGCAAUCUCCCGAGCUCUUCAUGAAUGUUAUUGUCCCUUAGGUUAGCUUCACUAGCUAGGCUUUAUGUAGAGUCCAAAUCCUAGUGAUGACCAGAGUGUUUUAGUUAUUUUUCUAGUUUAUUUUUAUGAAUUUUAAUACAUUAUUUAGGAUAUAUUGACCAUUUUAAGUCACUUUAAGAUUAUUUCAUGCAUUUUAUUAUUUUUAUUUAGUUUUAGAAUUUUUCUAUAUUUUUAUGCUUUUUAUUAUAUUUAUUUAGGAUUCAAAUCACUUAGAUUUAGAUUGAGUUUUUAUUUUUUUUUUAUUUUUUUUAUCUUGUUUUAUUUCAGGAUUAGAUAUUGAAAAGGAGUGAAAAUAAAGGCAAAACCGUACUUGGCAUCUUUCCCAACGGACGAAACUGCUGCAAUAGCAACAAAUUUCACCUGCUGUUAUAUAGGCAUGUAGCAACACUUAAACCCCCGCAAUAGGUCCAACACAGACUAUAAAACUAGCGUCUAGUUCAGCUCCGCAACGGUGGGUGAGUUGGAGGUCCUCUCUUCCGGAUAGCAUCAUCAUGAAUGUUGAUGGUAGUGACUUGAGGGUGCCCCGUCGUGGUGGGUUUAAAGGCCGGGUGCGCUCGCACCGCUGCGGAGAGUGGAUUGCUGGCUAUUAUGGGCACCUCUCGGAUCCUGAUAUCCUCCACCUGGAGCUGCUUGAUAUUUUUCAUGGUUUAUCCCUGACUAGGAAUCUUGGUGGAGUCGUAGAAUGUCAGUCUGAUUCCCAGAAUGCAGUGGAUUUGGUGCUAGCUGUCUGUGCCUUCGUUACAACAUAUUUACGCGGCGCUCAUAUGAGACAUUAAGGACCUCUGGGGUCAUCCUUGGAGGGUGGAGCUUCGACAUACCCUCAGUGAAGGCAAUGCUUGUGCGGACUUUCUCGUCAAGUAUGGUGCUCGUCAGAAUGAGGGACUGGUCUUUCUUGCCACCCCGCUUGAGGGUAUGGGUAGCCUCCUAAUAGCAAAUGCAAUUGGUAUCUCGUUUUUGAGGCCUUAGUCUUGCUUUUCUUUCUCUUUCUUUUGCUGUUUGUUGCUUUCCCUUUUGCUUUGUACCAAAACAAAGGAUCCCACAUAGUUUGAGAAGUGCAGAGAUAUUUCAAAAUGCUUACAACAUUUAUUGUAUGAUAAUUAAAUUAAUAAUAAAUUCAGUUUUAUAAAUGCAGAGAAUCCUGCGACAAACAUCACAAUGCAAAAUUAAUGCAUGUCUAGUCAUCCUUAAUAAAAAGAGAAGCGUGAUCAUAAAAUUUCUCCAGAUCAGACAAAUCCUUUAUUUUAAGGAAAAAGUGUUAUGAUUAAAGUAAUUAACAAAAUAUCAUGGUCUAGAAACUUUUUCAGCCUCUUUUAAUUGAUUUCUGAAUCAAUCCGUAUAUUCUUUAAUAGGAAAACAUCUAUUUAUAUAGUAGGCUAAAAAUCACUUUUGACCCCUGAUAUUUUAAGUUUAUGCAAAUUCUGUCCCUACUCUAUUUUUAUCGAUGUUUCUACCCCUCAUGUUUUCAAACAGUGCACCGUCUACCCCUCCGUUAGUCAGACGUUGACAAACUAACGGUAUGAGCUGAUUUGACUUUUUUUUUUAAUAUUUUCUAGACAUACCACGUGGAUAUUACAAGUGAAAUUGGAAAAAGGGGGCAUGGGAGAUUCAAACUCAAGACCUGUAAGUAGCAAAACAUGCAUUUAACCAGUUCAGUUACAUACAUAAUUGAUAUACACAUCAAGCAAAUUUAAUUUAUAUCAUUUCCUUGAUCAUCAUCAACUUCAUAUACUCCUCUUCAUCUCUCCAAUCCACUCAGGAACCUCUCUUGAGAAAGCCUAACUGACGGAGGGGUAGAGGGUGCACUGUUUGAAAACAUGAGGGGUAGAAACGUCGACAAAAAUAGAAUAAUGGCAGAAUUUGCACAAACUUGAAACAUCAGGGGCCAAAAAUGCUUUUUAGCCUAUAUAGUACUAUGUAAAAGAGACUUGAAUAGAAAUGAAGACCCCUUAUUCAACUCCUUAAAAAAAAACUCACUAUCCUUCAAGAAGAAAAAUCAAAUUUGCCUAUAUAAAAUAUUAGACACUCAAAAAAUGAAACCUAGGUACGUAAUGUUUUCAUAUAUGAACAAAUAUCAAGAAUUAAUGAUAAAAUCUAAAUUAUUAAUAAAUAAUUUAGGCAAAAUAAUUUUAAAAUUAAAAUUAAAAUUUUCGCAAUAAGCUAUUUGUGUAUUAUUUGAAAAAAAAAUUAUAUAUUUUUUAAUCUAUUAUAUAUUAGUGAAAAUGACUUAAGAAGGAGGAAACUAACUAAAAAAAGAGUGAAAAAAUUUAAAUUAAAAAAAUAAUAUUUUACGUUAUUUAAGUUUUUAGCUUACCAAAAAAAACGUUAUUUAAGUUUUUUUAUAAGAGCUAUUAAAAUUACAAUUUAUUAUAAUUUUGAAAUUUAAAAUUAAUUUUUUUUGUUGAUAAAAGCACACAAAAUAUGUUAUUAUUAUAACUUAUUUGAUAAAAUAUUUUAACUUACAUAUUUAUUUUUUAUAUAAAAAUUAAAUUAAUUAUUAAAACUAAUUAAAUGCUAAUUAACUAUUAAAAUAAAUUAUUAAAUUUGAGUGUAUGUAUUUUUUUACACAAUGAAAACUCUAAAUUGUCUCAAGAUUUUUACUAUAUUUAUAAUUAAAAAUUAUUUUUCAUAUUGCUUUAAAGUAUAAUAAUUUUUAUAAUUUUAAAAAAUAUUGUGAAUAAACUCGUGCAAAGCACGGGUAUUAUACCUAGUUUAAUCUUAUUUUGUACUACUCAUAGCAAAUUAAUAACCUUACUUGGUGGUCAUUGAUUUUAUUUUUUUAUAGGUUAAAGUAUUGUAUUUAAAGGGAGUACAAGGGAUACUUCAACCCUUAAUACAAAAAGAGAAAAAGCAAGGAGACAAGAAGAGAAAACAAAAACUAAACAAACGGAUAGAAAGCUGAGGGUGUAAAUAACAUCCACAAUCCCUCCUAAGCAGGAAACAAAAUGUGGAAACAAACAGAUCGAUAGACUUGGUCAUUGAUGGUAUCAAAUUGUGUAGAACAACUCUUACUUGGGACUCCUACUUCGGGAAAUAAAAAACUUGGUAUCUUCCUUUCAAGCAGUGUCUUUUUCUCAUGUGAAUACUUGGUUCCAUUUACUCCCUACUUUUUCCUGAUGAAACUUUGGUUCCAUUCUAUUACAGCUUGUAUUCAAUCUUGUAAUACUUCAGAUUAAUAUGUGUCCAAUUUCGAUUAAUUGAAUGAAAAUAUUUGCCGUCAAAAGAAAAAUAACCAUAACCUAUUUUUCAUUUUAGUGAGAAGAAAUAAUAGUUUUUUUUAUAAGCCAAGAAAAAAUAACUAAAGGUGUGACACGGAAAAAAAGGUUUUCUCUUCUUUUCUUAAAGCAAAAGUUUUACGGAUGGAAUGGUUGAUUGUACAAACAGAACUCAACAAAGUGAGUAUAAUACCCUCUAAUAUUAUAUAAGAAUACCUAAAAUUUAAAUUGCUUUGGUGCGCCUAAAGAUAUAACUUUAAUAAUGCAACACCUAAUAAUUAAACACCUACCCUGCUCGACGACUUGGUUGAGUCUUGAUGUUGUAGGUGUCGAGCAACUUCAUUGACUUGUCGUUGUUUUUCGACUUGGAUUUUAGGGGUUUAAAGCACCUUUGUGUGCUUGCUAGCUUUAGCUAGCUAGUUAGGUUAUUUUACCCAUGUUGAGAGAGGUUGUUUCUCAACAUUUCUUAAAAUAUAUAUAUAUAUAUAUAUAUAUAUUAUUCUCUUUUCAAAAAAAUAAAAUAAACACAUACCCAUCAAAAAUUGCAAGAAAAACUCCGAGCGACAUUUUUUUUUGAUAAGCCAAGCAAUUGUAUUCAAAUAGCACAAGGGGUGCUAACCCAAGUACAAGAAGAAGAGAAAAUAACAAGAUAUUGUUGUAACAGAUAGCACAUUGACGAGGUUCAAACUCAGAUUAAGCACUAAAUGACCAAUGAUAAGGAGCAUAUGUCGGGGAUUGAGAUGUGGCAAGGAAAAACCAUAUAACCCAACAAAAGAAUAACUCAUCUCGCUAUUGGAGAGGACGCGAAAGUAUAAAAAACCUAAGGGGAACAACACCAGACCACGAUCAGCAGUCGGCCCGAAACUUUACCACCUUCACCGUUGACCUUAAGCAGCAUCCAGAUGCCUAGAACUACCAUAGCGCCCAAAUAGAUCCGUGAUAAUGAACAUCGCCACACUAGCUGAACCGUGUCUUCCGCCAUAACUCCACCUUGCAACACCUCACGAACUGAAUUGGAAGAAUCACCAGAUCUUUCGCUGACACCAAAUUUGCAGAAAGGUGGAGGAGAAUAAACAACAUUCAGCACACUGAAGGCACCAAUCCAAAACGAAACCCAGAAACACGGCGCAGGAAGCAUCAAGAAGAGAGGAGGUGUCGAUGAAGAGAAGAAGAAGCGGACCAUCAAAAAUGGUAUUUAAUGUAUAAGAGUUGAUUGAGAGAUAAAUUUAUAUAAUUCAACUUUAACACCAAACAAUGAACAAGCUACCUUCUUUAGAGCCUAAAUCGAAUAUUCAGACUGGGGUCGAAAGGCGGUAAGAAGCAAGGGAUUACUAAAAGCUUAGUAAGGAAGUCGACAAAUGACUUUAAAAAACCGAUUAUUUUCACAGAUCCGCUAAAAUAAAAAAGCCGAUUUGAGGUGGAACCGGUGAACCACGCGAGCUGGUUACAUGCGUGGGGCAGAGGGCUCGUAGUACCCCCUUUUCUUGAUCCAGCCUUUUCUUCACUUCGGUAGUGAAUCACCUACUAAACCUCAAGAUCAUCAGCGGACGACGCCUUAUUCCGAAAGUCCUCCCUCUUUGCUUUGCCCCAACGAAAGAGUAAGUCAGAUCGCUUUCUCCGCUCCGGGACUUUCCCUUGCAGGGCAUUUUCCUUGGAUGUAUUUUCUGCGAAACGAGCCAUAACAUAAGGGUCGAAUCUACUCUGUCAGGUUAGGUUAGGCUACUACUAAAGAUAGGAUGGAUUGUCAUGAAUGGUAGAUGUAGCGCAUCCCGCUCAUGUCUCGCAAUUUCAUAUAGGAAAGGAGGUUUUUUUAAUGGAUAGUUGUAAUUUCGGAAAAAAUAAAAAAGGGAAUCGCCUUGGCAGCCCGCUCUCACCUAUCCUCUCUUUCAUAAUCCUUAGCCCCCCCCCCCCCCCCGCUCAUGAAACGGCUCUGCUGCAAUGGAUGGCAGAUGGACAAGCAGAAGGUGAAGGUAAUAGAAGAGUGGGGAGUCCCCGUGACUCCAUGAAGAAAAGGUUCGUAUCCUUCGCGGCCACCAAUAGGCCUCAAAAUUGAGGGUUAAGAGAGAAUUCAGCAUAAUACCAUGGAUCUCAUAUAGGCUUUCUGGCCCUGGCCCGUAAAUGGACCUUUAUGAGCUUCUAUAAGAUAUUUUAGACCAUGACCAAUGCCCUGUUGGUCUCCUAUACAUGUGACCGGCUAUCAAGAAAAAAAAUGGAAUGGAAAGGGAUAAAUUCUGGUGUGCAAUGUUAACACAAAAAAGAAUUUUUUGAUUUUGGAUUUAAUAAAUAUUUAUGGAAGAAUGAGUUUUUUUUUUCCGCCUUAGUGUGGAAUAGAAAUAUACCUAUUGAAUUUUCUGAACAAGGAAUGAAAGUGAAAGAAAUAAAGUCUUAACUCCUCGCGUUUUAUUGUAUCGGCUAAAAACCCUGUUAAUUGAUCUCUGAUGGUUGAUGUUGGAGGUUGGCCUGCCUUUGACGAUCUAGUAGCUCUACUCCAACCAAUCCGGAGUCGCACCAACGGAUACUGUCACAGCUAAUUGAUUUAAGGAUAAUUUCCCUUUCUCCAUUUCCGAAGUUGUAAUUGCAUAUGCCCCCUUUUCUUUUCCCUGUAUUGCGAAAAUAGAAAAAAGAAAGGGUGAAAAUAUGUGAUUUCACCCGAUCAAGGUUUUCCUAAAACAAAGACCUAAACACCAAAAGCUUAUUUCCAUUCAUUCAUGCUCCUUGACCUUUAGAGGAAAGCGAGCAAGAUCCCUUCAUCGGAAGGGAGCGGAAGUGGGAAGAAGAGGCUAAAAGUGCGUAACAAGAGAAACUUGCUGGUUGCCGAGGACAAGAGGGAAGAAGCGAGUUAUCAAUAUGUGCGACACCAACUCUUUUGUUUUCACUUCUUUUUCAUGCCGCGGUGAAUAUGUACCCGGGCCCUGUACACACCGCCCGUCACACUCUGGGAAUUGGUUUCGCCCGAAGCAUCAGACCAGUCCGUUCUUCUUUCCUCCUCGGUGAAAGAGGGCAAAGGUGGAACGAAGUCUCCGAAAAAUCCUUUCUUUCUCGUCACCGUGUCCCGCCCCGGUUAUUGGACAAGGACGAGCUCCAUACCCGACAGAGAAAACUUGGUGCGAAUCGGGAGGUCCUUCUUCCGGGACGGAGCCGUAUGACUUGUUUUGUAUCUUGAGUGAUUCGGUUGGUAUGUGUUGAAAAAAUAUAUUUCAACAUUUUACCUGUAAUUGGUUUGGUUCGUUGUUUGGAGCUUAUUUAGAUCAAUCUAAACCGAAUAACAUCCCUACUAAAGUAGAUUAAUCCAGAAGCUGUUUUAGAGGGAGGUCCAGAUGGUAAAACAGAGCUUGAGAACCCGGGAGAUAAACGGAAAACAUCACAGAAGCUCUCCACAAGUGGAGCCAUGAACAGGUCGCAUAGUGGCGGCGGAGGGCCCUCUAAGAGUUCUACUCCGAGGGGGACAAAGUGGCAAAGGAAACGGUCCGGGAACUCAUCUUCUGCUCCGGACCGGUCUGGAACGGGGGCAACACCUCCUCUAAAGAAGAUGAACACAGAGAAUGGAUUGGGAUCGGCGGAGACUGCUAGGCAAUCCCGCCCACCUCAAUGAAGCUCAUAGCUACGAACUGUCGCGGGCUUGGGAACCCAGGGGCAGUUCAAGCCGUCAAGCGGCUAAUUUCUACAGAAGCUCCCGACGUGCUCUUUCUUUCAGAGACACGUAAAUCAGCACAUGAAAUGUUAGCUAUGCGUUAUUCUUUUGGUUUUGCUAAUUUGUUUCCUAUAGAUUGUGCAGGUAGAGGUAAAUCUCGUGCAGGAGGCCUUUGUUUGCUUUGGAAUGAUGAGACAGAGGUUCAGGUGACACAUGGUUCUCUCAAUCAUAUUCUUUGCAUGGCAGUUCACCCAGAGACAGUGACUAGAAUGCAGAUUCUUGCAAUUUAUGGUUUCCCAGAGUCGCAUAAUAAACAUCGCACUUGGGAAUUAAUUCAGCGCUUGAAGCCUCCGGAUACAACACCUUGGAUUUGCUUGGGUGAUUUUAAUGAUGUGUUGGGUCUAGAUGACAAAUUGGGAGGCGACCCAGUUGACGUGCACCAUUUACAGAUGGUUAGCCAAAUAGUGUCAGAUUGUGGUCUUACUGAUGCGGGUUACUCGAGCUACCGUUUCACUUGGUCCAAUAAGCGAAGCAUACCUGCAUCCAUUGAGGAACGUCUUGAUUAUGCUCUCAUUAAUGAGAGUUGGAGGGCCCUUUGGCCGUGUGUGGAGGUCUCUCAUCUUCCUAGACUGAGUUCAGAUCAUAAUCCCAUCCUAGUCUCAUGCGGGCAUCGCAGAACAGAAGUUAGUCGCUCAGGCUCACGGAUGUUCAGAUUUGAAGAGGUGUGGCUACAGGAUGGUGAUGAGUGUGCAGAGAUAGUGGCCGCGAUAUGGUCUGGAGAGCAUGGGGACAUUACUGGAAAAAUUGCUAACAUUGGAGAAGCUCUUCAAGCAUGGGGGAGAGAAAAGUAUGGCGCUAUUCCAAAAAAGGUGUCAGCUAUGAAAACUCGCCUUCAGAAUCUCCAGCAUAGUGUUCAGACAGAGGUGGUGGUAGCUGAGAUGAGGUCUACAGAGGCUGAGCUGGAUAAUUUGUUAAAACAAGAAGAGAUCCUUUGGAGCCAGAGGUCUAGAGCCACUUGGUUGUGCCAUGGGGACCGAAACACAAAAUUUUUCCAUCAGAAAGCGACCCAGCGCAGGAAGAGGAAUAAAAUUGAAGAAUUAGUGGAUGACGGCGGGAGAAAAUGGACGGAUAUCAAUAAUAUUGCUAGGGUUUUAACUGACUAUUUCUCUCAACUUUUCAGCACGUCUAAUCCAACGGAGAUAGAGGGAGCCACUAGUCUCGUGGCAAACCGUAUUACGGAGGGCCAUUUGGCCGUUUUGAACUCCCCCUUUACCAGGGAGGAGGUGGAAGAGGCUAUCUUCCAUAUGCAUCCGACAAAGGCUCCUGGCCUUGAUGGCUUACCGGCGCUUUUCUUUCAGAAAUUUUGGCACAAACUCGGAGAUGAUGUCUCUAAUUUUUGCCUGGAGGUGUUGCACAACAGGAUUUCACCAGGUUCGAUUAAUAAAACUCUUAUUGUUUUGAUUCCUAAAAUUAAAAAAUCAGUUCAUGCAACCCAUUUUAGACCUAUUAGCUUAUGUAACGUUAUUUUUAAAAUUAUUACAAAAACUAUUGCUAAUAGAUUAAAGAUUGUCUUAUCUGAUAUUAUUGUUGGGCCUCAAAGUGCUUUUGUUCCAGGACGUUUAAUUACGGAUAAUGCACUUGUGGCAUAUGAGUGUUUUCACUUGAUGAAAAAGAAAAUGUAUGGCCGUAAUGGCAUGAUGGCUUUAAAGUUGGAUAUGUCCAAGGCCUACGAUAGGGUCGAAUGGUCGUUUCUUCAGAGUGUGCUUCAUCAGAUAGGUUUCCCUUCUGCAUGGGUAUCACUAAUUAUGGCCUGUGUGACGACAGUUCAGUUUCAGGUGAUGCUUAAUGGCAAUCCACAGGUUCCAUUUGAUCCAGGCAGAGGGUUGAGACAAGGGGAUCCCCUCUCCCCUUAUUUAUUUAUACUUUGUGGGGAAGUUUUCUCUGCUCUGAUUCAAAAAGAGAUUGUUGCUUCAUCUCUUCAUGGCAUUAAGAUUGCCCGUUCGCCAUCUGCUCCUAUGAUCUCACAUCUUCUUUUUGCAGAUGACAGUGUAGAUUUUGCUAGAGCCACUAUGGAGGAAGCUCACACUAUUCGUAAGGUCCUUACUUCCUAUGAGCAAGUUUCUGGCCAGGUCAUUAAUUUUGACAAAUCUAUGCUAUCCUGUAGCCGCAAUGUUCCUAGUCCCCGCUUCAAUGAGCUGAAAAUGCUGUUGGGUGUGAAGGCUGUGGAUAGUUAUGACAAAUAUUUGGGUUUACCCACCAUUAUUGGUAAGUCAAAAACCCAAAUUUUUAAUUUUGUCAAAGAAAGAGUUUGGAAGAAGCUCAAAGGGUGGAAGGAACGCUCCCUCUCUAGAGCAGGACGAGAGGUUCUUAUUAAAGCGGUAGCUCAAGCUAUCCCUUCUUAUAUUAUGUCGUGCUUUAUCUUACCUGAUGGUUUAUGUGCACACAUUGAGAGAAUGAUUAGCCGGUUUUACUGGAGUGGGGAUGCUUCCCGACGUGGGAUCCAUUGGCUCAAAUGGAACUCCUUAUGCAGGUCCAAGCUCGACGGUGGGAUUGGCUUCCGUGAUUUCAAAGCUUUCAACACAGCUUUAGUAGCCAAGACUUGGUGGCGUAUUCAGAUGCAGCCAGAGUCUCUUUUGGGCCAAGUUUUUAAGGCCGUGUAUUUUCCCCGGACCACCCUGAGUGCUGCUAAGAAACAUGCGCGACCAAGCUAUGCUUGGACUAGCAUUUCACGCACAGCAUGGGUGUUCAUGGAGGGAGCUCGAUGGAAUGUUGGUGAUGGCAAAGAGAUUGAUAUUUGGAGGGAUAAUUGGCUUCCAAGUGGAAAUCCCCUGAUUUAUCGCAAUGAUUUAGCCCAAACGGGUAAUCUAACUCAUGUUUGUCAUUUGAUGGUUCAUGAUAUGCAGGUCUGGGAUAGGGAUCUCAUCGAGCUAGUCUUUUGGCCACCCACAGCGAAGGAGAUUCUAGACAUCCCGUUACCUUGGAAGCCAUCACCUGAUGCACUAUUUUGGCCUUGGACAAUAGAUGGGGUAUACACAACCAAGACGGGCUACGCUUUUAUUCGUCAACGACGCUUGCAUGAUGAGGCCUCCACCUCGUCCAACAGGGGUCAAAAUCAGCAAGCUAGUUUCUGGAAAGCCGUUUGGAAAGUUCAUGCUCUACCUCGGGUUAAGGAUGUAGUGUGGCGAGCUGUUGUGGGUAUUUUGCCGGUCCGCCAUGCCUUACGGAAGCGCGGGAUUGAGAUUGAAGAUGUGUGCCCCUUCUGCCAGGACAGCGCGGAAACAAGUGCCCAUGUGCUCUUCCAGUGCCCGAUAGUGGCACGUUGGUGGUAUGCAGCUCCCUUGAGCGUGCGGUUUCAACCUGCAGAGGAACCAGCAGAGUUUGUUAAGCAGAUUAUGGCCACUAAGGAUGAUGAGGUAAUUGCUAUGGGUUUCACUCUUAUUUAUGUUAUAUGGGAGCAUAGAAACAAGUCAGUUCAUGACUAUGUUCAGCCCUCCUUGGAUGCGGUUCUGCAACGUUUGGCUGCUCUGCUGUGCUAUGAUGAUGCGGCGGUUCUUCCUCACAUGGCAACCAGCACCGCUGAUCAACAACCAAUGGUGUGGAGAAGACCGGUAGGACAGUUCAUUAAGCUGAACUUUGAUGCUUCUUGGACUUUGGCCACAGGUGCAGGUAUGGGUAUGGUUGCGAGAAACUCAAAUGGUGAGGUCAUGGCUGCAGCUACUAAUGGUCCUGUAGGCGCUCCUUCACCUCUUGUUGCAGAGGCUAUGGCUUUCAGAUGGUGUAUUUCUUUGGCUCGAGAUCUUGGUUUUUUCCGGGUGGUGCUCGAAACGGAUUGCUUGCAACUGUUUGAGGCUUGGUAGCAGAACAAGCGUGGUGCUUCUUAUUUGUUUUCUGUUUUAAAUGACUGUAGGGCAAUGGUCUCAUUUUUUAUUAGCUUUCAUUUAUCUUUUGUUCGCCGCUCUGGCAACGCAGUAGCUGAUUCUUUGGCUAAGAGCUCCUCAAAAUUUUCCAACGUUGUUUGGAUUGAGGAAGUCCCGCCAGAGCUUGUCCUUUUGGUGUCUUCAGAUGUUUUAGCCUCUAUGGCGCUUUAAGUUUUAAUAUAUUAUCCACUUUCAAAAAAAAAAGUCGGAUUCAUUAAGCAGAAAAUUAAAUAUGUAUUGGUUUUAGCCUUUCAGGAGAUAAGGUUGGCUAAAAAAUAGAUCAAGUACAAGUUUGAUGCACCAAAUUAAAGCCGCCAGAUGUUUGUAAAUCAUCACAUGGGCAACUACCACGUCAGUGCUUACGUCACAAAAGCGUUUGCAUAACAUUUAAACUGAUAAGUGUUUUUAAAAAAAUUGUUCAUUCUAAUAAUAAAAAGAACUUAUAAAAUAGUGCAAGUAAGCAUAGUAGGAGCACCACUACUAAAAAAAUUUCAAAAGGGAAAAGAUAUUAUUUAUUAAUAUUCUUGAGUACAAGAUUUUAUGCAUCCAACUAACUGAAAAUUUAUUUUUCAAGCCUUCAAAAUUUUAGAACUGAUCAGCAACCGAAAGAAGAACAUAUAAUUAGAGAAACUAAUGCUAAUGUAUUCAUGUAAUUAUAUAUUAAAAUAACCCUGCUUUCUGAUUAAAAUUCAGUCAUUGAUUUUUCAUGACAACAAAAUAUAUAAUCAUAUCAAAAUAACAGUGCUUAUGGGAACAAACUCUUCCAGUGAGGGUGUCAAUUACACAUACAAUCCUAAACAUCAAUACUAGUUUUAUAGCAAAAGCAACACAACCGCCAAAGUCUGGAAGUAACAUAAUGCGACCCUAACACAAAAACCAUCACUAAACAAAAAAAACUAAACAAAGCAGGACUUAAACAACCAUGAAUCAAAGCAACAUGGCCUUCGAGGACAGCACCGGAUGCAAAAAACCACACACCAAGCCUUGAGACUCGAUCAAGUACCAUAAAAUCAAGACAACAUCAAACCACAAGCUACUGCGUUCCAUUAGAACAUGUUCACCUGGUGAAUUUUUUUUCAUCGGAAACAAACUAAAUUAACUUAAAUCAAAACAUAGGUGACUUUCUUUUAUAGUUAGAAGAUUGUAAGUCUAGUUUGGACUUUUACUUGCUAUACGAUAAGAAAUUGUAGAAUUAGGAAAAUGCUAAUUUAGAUGAUGAGUUCGUUUCAUAAGAAUAUUUGAGUAGUUGGAUAUUAGGCAUUUGACAUUUUUUGUUAGUUUCGAAGUCUCGCCAUGGAAAUCAACCUUCAAGGUUGCAAACUUGCAUGUUAGUUUAUAUUAUGUUGAUUUUUCAAAUCCUUGAUUGUUUCUUCAUCGAACCUUUCAAACAAGAGACUAAGGUUCUUCUCAAUCUCUCAAACCUUUUCUCAAUCUCCCUUCGUCUUUCUCAGGGAUGUUUGGUGCUCUGCACAUAAUUGUGUUUUUAGCUCACAUGAAAUACUCUUUACUGUAUUCCAAUAUGUCUUCUCGAGUUGUUGUAUACUCCUGAUCUAGGAUGACUCUUUCAAUUGUUAUGUUUCUCUUCCCCUAUUUCACGUGAAGACCCUUGAUUGAAUAAUGAUAUUAUACUCUACAUCUUAUGUUGAAAAGUCUUACAUUGACUAGAGAUAUAUACGGCCUAGAUGACCCUUAUAUAUGGGAAGAUAACCCUCCACUCUUAAGCUAGCUUUUAAGGUUGAGUUAGGCUUCUCAAAUUCUAAUAUCUUACUUAUAUUGUUCACAAUGAUGCCUUUCUUUCUUUCUUUUUUGGUCAAAGCAAUGAUGCCUUUCUUAAGACCCUUAUGGCCCUCAUUUCCAAGAAGCCCGUUAGCAAGAAGCCCAAACUUUGAAUCAUUAUGAACCACAGGCCCAUAUUUAAGUUUACCUCCAUAGACUUCUUCCAAUCAGUUAAAAAUCUCCAUAUGAGGUAUUUCCUUUGCCCUAUUACCUUGGCCCAUUGAACUCCGUACAAAAUCUUCAUUGUCUUCGAUAUGAUGCGAGCCAGGUGAUUAGCUUCUCUUGUUGGAUUUCAACCAUUGACCAAAAAAAAAAAACAUUUAGGAAACUCACAUUUCAUAAAUCAUUAUGUGGUCAGGGACAUCACUACCAUAUCUCGGAUUAGUUACAUAGACUCAUUUUCACCUUGGAGACUGAUGGCCAAAGACAAAAAAAAAUUAUUGAGCUGCGAAAUUUUAUUUUGCUCAGUUAACUAAUAUUGGAGCCUCACAAUCUGCUAAUUAUCAACCUUAAGAAAGAAUAAAAUGGUUUAAAACAUCAGAUAAGGAUCCACAUAGUUUGAAAAACUGCAGAGACACUAAAUGUUUAAAACAUUUUUAUAUGAUGAUAAAAUUAAUAAAAAGUUCAGUUUAAAAAAUUCCAACAGUUGGACUGGAGAAUUCUUUAUACCAGAAAUACAGAGAAUCCCGGUGCGAUGAACAUCAAUGUAAAAUGCAUGUCUAGUCAUCCAAAUCCCGGUGCAAUGAACAUCAAUGCAAAAUGCACGUCUAGUCAUCCUUGUCAUCAUUUUUAAUGGAUGACUAGACGUGCAUUUUGCAUUGAUGUAUUUCUCAUCUUAAUAAAAAAAAGGUGAUUAUGAAAAAGCUCCAAAUAAAUCCUUUAUUUUAAAGAAAAAAGUAGUAUGACUAAAGUGGUAAAGUUUAGGUUGUUAGUUCAUUUGAUUAGAGGUGAUUGACCAUCGUUGAUUGAUCACCAGAUACACCUAUGAAAUCCCAGAUUUAUCAAUUGCAUCAACCCACACCAUCCAUGAAAAGGAACAAUGUAGCAGCAAGUGGUUAGAGGACUCUGCAAUGAACUGCACGAGCUACAGAAAAUUCCCUCAUCUAAAUUCACACCUCUAGCCACCAAUUUAACUUCUUAAAAAAUUCUCUUUUCCUGCAAGGAACAGAAAGAUUUUACUAAAAAAUUGCCAUUUAAUUAAAUCCAUCCAGAGCACCUUUUAAGGAUAAUACCUCUUCUACAUCAUUAUUCGCAAAAAUCAGGAUAUCGUCCGUGAAUUGCAAGUAACUGAUCACUAGAACCUUAACCAUAGUCACUCUUGCUAAAAUUCAAUAGUUCUACACCUAAACAAUUUUCAAUUGAAUAAGGAUUGAAUUUCUCUUUAUUUAUAUUAUUACAAAAAUUAACUCACAUCUGUCUAGCCCUUAAUUUAUAAGGUAAUCUAGGAAAAUAAAUAAAAAUAAAGUAAAAAGAAUUUACAAAUGCAAGAUAAACUAUCUUUAUACGCUUAACCAACACUUGCACGAAUGUUUAUGCCAUGACUUCAAAUAAGUUAUUCAAAACUCACAAGAUUAAAUUUUAGGAUUUAAGCAGCAGGUUUAUGCAGAUUUUGUUCAAUUCCAAAAGGUGCUGAUAGUCCUGAGCCUUCUGUAUCCUCUCUAGAGAUUUCCCCUGAAGCCAUUACAUCUUGUGCCCCCUCAUUGUCAAUGCCAUUUGGUUGAUGCUCACUUUUAGAAGAUUCAUCGUGAAACUUUGAAACAACAUUAUUAUUGCUCUUACUAUUGGUGCAGCUAUUGUUGCUGGUGUCACAAUUGCCAUGAUGUAUGGAAACAACAUCAGUAGCUUCAACUUCUUGGGUAUUUUCUGACACCAAGUCCUUCCUCUUUUUUGUUUCUUUACUCUUACCCCAAAGCACCAUGUACAAGCCACACACAAUUAGCACUCCUCCGAUAACACUAUAACAUGUUUCAAAAAAAUAACAAGAGUGAGUCAAACAUAUUGUACUUUCUCAAUUGCAAUAUGGGGCAUUCUACUAUAUACCACAAAAUAAAUGGUACAUCAAUCAAUACACUACUUGUAACUUAUUGAGUUUAGAAUGCGUUUGAGAAAACGGUUUAACAAUACGCUUAUUCAUAAACUAAUUUAAAAAAUUUACUAAAAUAAGUUGAAAAUAUGUUAUGAAUAAACAUAGAUUUUUAUUCAUUAGCUAUUUUGAACACCUUAUGAAAAUAAGCUAAAACAACUUUUAUGUAGGUCAUAAGCUCUCUAAAAAGCAUAUUAAUGUAUACCUUCCUAAGUAUAUCUUCUCAUUCAAAACCAGGGAACUACCAAUAGCCACAAUAAUAAGGGUAAGAGGGUUGAAAACAGAUGCAAACAUGGGACCUCUCACCCGUACACACCAUGCAGUGGCAACAUACACCACUCCAGAGGACAUAAUUCCCUGCAAAAGUUACAUGUUUCAAUAUCAUUGUUGCAUAAUAUUAGUUCACCCAUCCAACCACAAUGUAAUAGAACAAUUAGCAUUUUUUUGAAAACAAAAAUUAAUUUUAUAAUAUUCAUAAAGUUUAGAACAAAAGUCUCUCAAGUGAGCAACGAAACCAACUGAAACCUACCAGGGCAGCACAUAAACAUGGAAUUGAGAAAAGGACUAAAAUGAUCACCAUACCGAGUAAGUUGCGGUUAGAAGCCUAAGACUCCAACCUAACUUCCAUUGGCUCCAAUCCUUCUCAACCCAAAGGGCGAAGACAGUACAUUGUAUUGCCGCCAUUAAGGUCAUCAAGGCCGUGCUUGUGUAUUGUCUUGGAUAUUCUUUAGCAAUCUUAGCCUGUGCGUUAUAGGGUGGUCAAUAGUGAAAACAAGAAUAUCGUUACAGCCUGAUCAUGUGAUAAGUUAGAUAGAAGUGUGUAAUGAAUUUACCUGGAUGAUGAGCCAGAAUGAAAAGCUUAUGCAGCUUCCAAUACCACAUAAAACACCGAUUGUUUUUGUUCUAGUGUCAACAUUCUGUGUUCCUCCGUGGCCAUUUUGAUUUUGAUGCAAAAGAUUAAUGUGGGAGGUCCAAAUGUGAAUUUCUGCCCCUUUGAAAAAUGUCAGCAGCAUUGAUCCACCAAUUCCAACUAUUGUUCCCAACAACUUCACCUGCCCUGCUGCUCUUCCUAUGUUUAACUGUUCGAAGCUGAAAAUUUCAAAAGAACUUUAGUACUUAUCAAUCUUUCUUGAGUGAAUGUCAUCUAGGUUCCAGAAACAUAUUGUCAAUGGCAAGUUAGUGCCUGUCUUGCUUGAGUGAAUGUCAACUUGGUUCCAAAAACAUUUUGUUAGUACCUAUAAGAAGAAAAUACAUUCAAAAGUUCAAUCUACAUAAAAUGCCAAUCAAAUUAAUUAAUUAAAACGUCAAUUAGAAACUAAUUUGACGGACUUGAGUAGUUAUCAAUUUUCUGAAGUAUAUGCUCAGUUUUGUGUUUGAAAUUUUUGCAGUUGACAUAUUGAUCAACUAGAACAUCAGUCAAGUUAGCCGAUGUUGGGACUAAUUUGACUGAUAUUUUACAUGUUCAAAGACUUUUGAAUGCAUUAUUUUUUAGGAACUAACUUUUCAAGCACAAAAACUCUUGGGAACCAAGUUAACGCUUCACUCAUUUUUCUUAAUUAUAAAAGAAGAUAAAAAAAGAUUGAAGUACUGUAAAAUGUGAAUAGGUACCCGAAAAAGAUGCCCAACAUAAAUGUGAUUCCAGGAACGAGAUUAUAAAUGGCAGUAGCAAAUGUUGCUGAUAUCAGAGAGAUAGCAUUGACAAAGAGGUUUUGGAAUAGAGUCCCUCUGUUUAUAUCAUUAUUAAACAUAAACCAAUGUUCAAAAUCACUACAAAUAAACAAUAUGUACAAUACAAUUUAGCAAUACAUGCCCAAUAAUUAAAAGAAAUACCUCUCAGGAAAAGAGAUGAAGACUGAAGAGUUCAGAUCAGACAUACCCAAAUAGGCCGGAAAGAAAUGUCAUGAAAAGCACCCUCCAUGUCAGCUUUGGCCUGUUCUUUCUGCUUCAAAUUAAAAAAAAAAGAACAGAAAAAUUAAAUUAGAGGACAAAACACUAUGCAUGUUCAUUUUAGCCCUUAAUAUGCGAGCCCAACACAAGUGCAUAUCCAUGAUUUUAUUGUUGGAGACACAAAUAAAAUGUGGAAAAAUCUACAAAGUUUAUAGGGAAUGAACUGAGAAUAAUUUUUUUUUUAUACAAAAAUCAUAUAAUUGAAAGGGCUUUUAUCAGAUCUCUGAAUUAAGAUAUAUUUCUACAUAGUUUAAAAUGUGUUUGCAAGUUUAUAGGGGAGAGAAGGGGAGGCUUUGAGGGGAAAACAGAUGGGAAGACAAUGAAGGGAUUGUGUGCAAAACUAGAGAAGCAAUUAACAGGGGUUAUGAAUAAAUGAACCUUUCAAAAAUAAGAGAAAGAAGAAUAGUGCAAGCAGCACCGAACAUGAGGCGAUAGGCAGUGAUUACACUAACGCUCAUUCCAUCGUUUAAGACAACCUUGUAGAGAACAUUUGCAGAAGCAUAAACAAUCUGAACCGCCACCAUUAGCAGAACAGGGCUCAACCCUUGCAACCCUACCCAUAAACCUUUCAUUUUGCUUGCUGUUGUGAAUUGUCUUAGACAGAUUUAAGAAGGGAACAGAGAAAAUAAUUAAGACAUACGGAAAUUCUAUAGAACAAUGUACAAAGUGGAUUUAUAUUUAUUUGUGCAUAACAUGCUCUAUGAUAAAUGUACUGGAAUUGGUUCCAAGUUGAAAAAACAAAGCAUGCAUUUAUUUUAGCCUUAAAUUCCGGUUUACUCUAGUACAGAGCAUUUGACCCAGGUUGGACAUCGUGAUCGUGUAGCUGAAAACAGGAGAGUGCGUUGUACCUGUGUAGUCUAUAAAUGUUUUUUGAACGCUAGUCUAUAAAUGUUAGGAGAAAAUUAAUACAAUUAAAUACCGAUUUUGUCUAUAUAGGGUAUAUAUAUAUAUAUAUAUAUAUAUUAAGAGUGAUAAAUAAUCUAUUCCCAAUUAAUUAUACUACAAAAGAAAAUUUCACUUGACAUAUAUGACAAUAUGAAUUAAUUAUAAUUGACUUUUGUAUCAUAUUCAUUGUACUAAAUAAUAUAUUAAUUUUAAAACCUCUCAUACAUAUCUUUUUUUAAAGAUAUAUUCUCUUGCCUACCAUGAGAAGGUUGUUCUCAUGAUCGUUCUUAUUAAUAUCAUUUCUAUUUUCUCAAAAAAAAGGAUACAUAUCCUUAUCCAAAGAAAAUUGUUUAUACAUAUUACUAGUAUUAAUCUCGCGCCAUACACGGAUAGAAUAAGAGUGCUUUGUCGGCAUACAUCAAACAUUUUCAUAUUUUCUCUCUCUUUUUCUCCCUUUUUUCUUUUUUAAAUACAUAUAUCACUUAUUUAAGUUUUUUUUUCUAAUUAUAGUUACAUUCUAAUUUCUCUAGUUUUUUCUUCUAAUUUGUUAUGUUUUGAAUCAAAAUAUCAAAAACAUUUUUAUCUUCCAGAUAUUUAUAUCCAGAUAUAUAUAUAUAUAUAUAUGAAAACAUAAAAUACAAAAAUUUUGAGUUAACUUCCAAAUCAAUCAUUUUUUUUGUACAUCGAAAAGAUAAAUUGCACCCUCCUGGGAUGGAACCCUGGACCUCCCACUGCACGCCCAACUCAUAUGUUCCCUAACUCUUAACACUUGAACUAUUAUUCAGGAAGUCUAAAUCAAUUCUUUAAAACUUUUUGAUAUCAAAUUCUCUAAGGCAUAUAUAUUUGAUAUCAUUGUCAAGAUAGGAUAUUACAUUCAAUUUUUUUUUUUUAUAUAAAAAAUAACCAUAAUCAUUAAAAAAAAUUCUUUAUCAGCAUACAUCUUAAUGGUAGAAAAGUUACAAUUGACUUUUAUUAAUUAUUCUAAUGUCAUUAAAAACCAAUAAAUAUCAAAUUAAUGCAAUAGUUAUUUUCGAAAAAAGUAACAAUUGACUUUUGUUAAUUAUUCUAAUGUUAUUAAUAAUUAUUAAAUGUAAAAUUAAUACAUUAAUUAUUUUUAAAAACAUAUAAUUAUUUAAUACUUAAAUUAUCAAAAAUAUCAACAUCAUCUACAUACUAAUUAGGGCCCGUUUGAUAUGUUGUAUAGUAUUAGAAUUGAUAGUAUAAGGUCUAAUUGUAUUAGACCUGAUAUGAUAAGGCCUGAUAAAAUUUUAAUACUAUACAACGUUUGGUCAUACAUUGUAUAAUUUGGUAGCAACAGUAGUUGUGGUGAGAGUGAUGGUAUUUGUAACGCCCCGAAUUUCGGGUGUCACUUUAGUAACCUAUCAAAGUAAAUAUGCAAUAUUUUCCAAACGAAUGUAUAAACACGAGUAUUAUUUUUUUUUUCUUUUCGAAGUGUAUUUCCAAAACAUGUCAUGCAUACUCUCAACUACAAAGCCUAACCAAUAGAAACAACUCAACAAAACUAUUAUGCAAUGACACCAUGAAUCCGACAUACUCCCUACGAUCUCCACAUCGGGAAACCGCAGGAAAGCAAUGCAUCGGAACCUACCCGAAACCUCAAAUAUAAAUUCCUAAAAUCUUUAUGCAAGCUUAAACCAAUAACAGUAAGCUCUCUAACCCAAGGAUCUAGCCUUAAACCAGACUCUACUCGUCGAGUACUCCACUAUCCUUCAAGUCCUCAUCUCUACUUGCACAAAGGUUAAGCUCCUUCGAAGAUUCUUCGUCGCCUAAUAGCGUUAAGCGCCCAAACAACAAAUAACAAACAGAAAGGGUUAACUCCAUGCAAUUACCACGUAGAAAAGAGAAAAACAUGUUAUUCAAAUUUAAGUGCAUAUCAUGGCACAUAAACUAGCAACUUAUUUCAAGAUAAAUGACAACAUAUAUCCAACAACAUGAAAUCAAAUCAUAUAUCAGCAAAAUCAACGAUUUGAAUUUAACUCAGAUAUCAACAACUUAGCAACAUAGAUACGACAAACAGAUAAGCUAACAAUAUAAUCAAAGAUAGAUAUCAAUAGAAGCAACAACAUAGAAUUAAACCAGAUAUAAACAACCUCAACAACAUAGAAUCAACUCAUAUAUAUGACAAUAACCUCAAAUCAGAUAUCAACAACCUUAAAAAUAUACAUCAAAUCAAAUAUCAACAAUCAUCAACAAUAUAACAUCAAAUUAGAUAUCAACAACCUUAAAAAUAUAACAUCAAAUCGGAUAUCAACAACUUCAACAAUAUACAUCAAAUCAAAUAUCAAUAACCUCAACAAUAUAACAUCAAAUCAGCUAUCAACCAAAACAUCAGAAGCAAAUAUUAUUGCCCUAUAAUGCAACUAUAUGCUGCAACAAAAAUGGAUCGAUCAAUAAUGUCUCGCAAGACGGGACAGAGCGAGGAACAGACUCCCCUGAACUAUCACCAAAUAACGCCCAUGAAAGACGGGACAAACGGAGAACGGACUCCCCUGAAUGCCACUUAAUAACGCCCAUGAAAGACGGGACAGUCAUGUGAAAAUAUCCACUCCACUGCCACUUAAUAACGCCCAUGAAAGACGGGACAGACGGAGAACGGACUCCCCUGAAUGUCACUUUAUAACGCCUCGAAAGACGGGACAAUCCCGUGGGACAAACCCACCUCAUCGCCACUUCAAGCAAACCAAAACAUCUCAUCCAACUCAGUAGUCACUCAAACAACAAUCCCAAAUUCCCUAAUCAAAUCAAGAUAAUCACAUGUUAUUCAUAUUAUCGACAAACAUAAAUCAAUUCAAUGCAUACCAGAUCAGUUCAAUGACAGAAACCAGUAAACGACCGAAGCCUCUCAGAAAACGGAGACACACGUCUCAAUAAGUUCACUCGGCCGAAGCCUUCAGAAAACAUUUAGCACAAGCCUCAGAAAUAGUCAACAUAAGCAAGCAUACAACAUUGAAAGCAUACCAACAUUUCAAUCAAUUGCCAAUCAAGUUUAAACAAACUUCAUCUCAAACGCAUGCAGUGCGAUAAAAGCAUGCAAGACUCAAAGACACUCAAAAAAUGAGUUACCCUUACCUUAGCCAAUUUCUCCAUCCAAGCUCAACAUCCCAGUCCAAUCCAAAAUAAAGCUCCCGACCCAGCAAGUUCCCCGGGCGUCCUCCUCAGUUGUGAAACCUCACCAAUUGCUCCAAAAUCUCUUUCCUCAGCUCAACUCGUUCCAAACCUUAAGCAAAGUAUCAUUGCUUAGUCGCUAAGAAACAAAACAACUAAUAACACUAUCAAAACCCGAAAAGAAGCUUCGAAGCUCUAGAGUUCGACAUUUAGGCACGAAUGGACAAUAAGACAGGUUUUCGCUGAAAUGCGCAUAACUCGAGCUACAGAACUCGGAAUGACACGAAACCAACGGAAAAAUUUCGACAAUUGAAAGAGCUACGCAAUGGCUCAGGUCAUAGAGACCCAAAAAUUAUUUUUGGACACGGUACCCUAACAAACAGGUUUCGGCCACUUUAGAAAAUAGGGUUUCCGAACUUUUUCUUCGAUCUAAAUCAAUUCCUAGGUAUUCUUAGGCGAUAUCUAGGCCAGGGAAACUCUCAGAAAAAUUAUCGGGUCGAAAACUGUCGCAGGGGUAUUUUGGUCAAUAUUUUUAGCUCGGAAACUCAAAAUCAGAAUUUCGAAAAAUAAAUUAGAUGGGGUCGAUACCAACGACGAUUAUGACGACUAAUCCUACUGAUGCUAAGCUCAGUCGAGAUUUUUUGACUCAAAAAGCGGAACCUCAGCAUAAAAUGGGUUUUUAGUCAGUUUUUCAGAUCUACGGCGACUCGGUGAAAAUCCGAACGAUCCAACAGUGAUUAUAGCAUGUUGGGUUGCAGUAGAAGAUAGUUGGAAAGAAAAAUCGAGGUAAUCAGACAUUUUUACAAAAAGUUCUAAACUUUGAGCACAGAAAUAGCUAGAAUAAGCCGACAGAAAGCAGAAAUAGAAGUAAGAUUAAGCAUCCUUACCUCUGUGUCUACACGUAGCUUCUGAAAUAAGGACGAUCGGGCAAGAAUCGGAAAAAGCUCUGCACCCCUCUCUUUCUCUCUCUAACUCUCGGCCACUUUGGGAGAAAAUGAGAUAUUUUCUCACUUUUUCCCUUUUUAUAGUAGAGGGGAAAAUCCGAAAAAUCGAUAUUUUGCGGUUCCGGUCGUUUUGGUACUUCCGUCUGCUGAUAAAAAUUGAGUUUUCGGCGACAGAAUGUCGAAACUCAAAUCAAGGUUCAUUUAAUUGAGGAAAACGUCUCAAAGACGGUGUGAGUCGAUUUAUGCUGAAAAACUACUUUUUGCAGUUGACGUCGGAUGAGGAAACUUCCUUCAGGAAAAAGAUCAAAAACGUCGAAAGAAAUGAGGCAACGCGGAUGGAAACUUCGCUAGAAGCUCCGAAUAGAAAAACCCUUCAUUCAAGGUCUUAGUUAAAGUUCCCGAGAUGUUAAAGUCUGGCUUCGGCGGACUUCCGGGAAGCGAAACCUAACAAGCGUAUAGUCCAGGGUUUCGUAUCGGAAAGCUAGUCAUGGGAAAAAUACUCAGAGGUUCUUAUUCUCUCUUUAAUUCUAAAAUUCUCUUAAACAAUGCUCUAGGAGCGGAUAUAGCCUUUUUCGGACACUCUCGACCUUAGUCGGGUGCGAAUAUGGCUUGUGCCAUCAAUCAAAAUGACUAAAGUGUCAUCCUUAAACAUACUGCGAACUUUCGUCUUCAUAACGCUAAUCCAAACAUUAAACACGAGUCAAGUUCCUCUCACGCUGACACAAAAUCCUAUGCGUGAGUUGGAAAUUAAUUAUUUAUUUAAUUCUAAAAUCCUGGGUCUUACAAUAUUGGAGGGUGAUAGGGUGACGAUGGUGGUGGAUGGCGGUGACAGUGGUGGUAGUAGUGGCGGUAGUGGCGAUGAUGACAAUGAUAGAGUGGUGGUGGAGGUGAUGAUGGUCGCAGUGGUGGUGGCGGCGUUGGUGGUGGAGGGUGGUGGUAGUGGGGAUAACGAUGACGGGAAUUAACGAUGGUGGUACUGGUGGAGCGUGGUGAUGGUGGCGGUGACGGUGGUGGAGGGUGGUCGGAGGUGGCGAAGGUGGUGGUUGAGGGCGGUGGUGGUGGAGGAGGGUGGUGGCGGCGGGGGUGGUGGUGGCGGCGAAAGUGAUGGAUGGUGGAUGAUGGUGGAGGGUGGUGGUGGAGGGUGGUGGUGGUGAAGGGUGGUGGCGACAGAAGUGAUGGAGGGUAUUGGCGGUGGCGAUGGUGGUGAUGGAGGAUGGGGUGGAUGGUGGUGGUGGCGGUGGAGGGUGGUGGCGGCUGUGGUGAUGGAGGGUGGUGGUGGCGGCGGCAGUGGAGGGUGGUUGUGGCAGCAAUGGUGGUGGUGGUGGCGGUAGUGGUGGGCGGCGACGGUGGUGGUGGAGGUUGUGGUGGUGGCAGUUAAUUAAAUAUAUUCAAGUAGUUUAUACAUCACAUUUUUAUCAUGUCUUAUAUAUAGGGUGGAUUAAAUAUUCCAUCAUUUUGAUGUAUAAGAGAAAAUUGAUGUAUAAACUUAUACAAUACAACGUGAGCACUAAACAAUGGAUAAUCCAUGAUGUAUUAUAUAAGCUUAUGCUAUCAUGCCUAAUACGGCGUACCAAACGUGCCUUAAUAGUAUGAGAGAGAAAGUUUGUGAAGAAAGACAUAAAAUGAGGUGGUGACACUUGUCAAAGUUGCCACUUUUCGGUUUCAGAAAUAGUAUAUAUAUAUACACGAUAAGAUAGGAUUUUUUUUUGGUUACAAUAAGAUAGGAUAUGAUAGAAUAUGAUAAGGUAUGAUAGGAUUAAAAUGAGUAAAAUAUUAAUUAUCAAUCAUAAUUUUUUAUGCAUUCAGAUCAAUACUAAUUGAUUAUUAAUAAAUCUUUAUUAUAUGAUUGACACACUAGAUGAUACCUAUAACUAAGCAAAAAAAAAACCACUAAUUGAAAAAAUGGUUAAUACAAAGUACUAUUAACUAAAUAUAUAUUUUAAAAUUAACUAAAUAUAUUAAAUAAUUGAGAUUAAUGGAUAUGCAUUGUUUGUGUAAAGAAGUGUUACACGGACGUCCAAUCACAUUAUGUCACAUAGGACUAAGUGGUUACAAAUAUUUUUAAUUUUAGUUAGUAAAUUAAUAAAUUGCUGAUGUGGCGGAAAUCAAUUUAGUGGAGAUAACCUUCUUCGCAGGGGCGGAUCCAGACCUUAUAUGUUAGUGUGGCUAAACAUAAAAGAAAUUACUGAUUAAAAUAUAUUGAAAUCUUUUUUUCAAAAGAGAUAAAUAUUAUAGAUAAAACCAUGAGAGAAAGUUUCUCAUGGAAAUAGAAGAGUUUACAGUCCAAGAAGGACUAGGCUUACAACGAAAUAUAACAAAAGAAACAGAGUGAAAACAACAGUACACUAUUCUUCUUUAUAUAUGUAUUGUGUUGGAUGACAUGAUGAGCACAUUUGAGUGAACAUUAAUUUCAUGAUGGAUAUGAACAACAUACAAAAUAUAAAAUACAUUCAGGAAGAGAAUAGAAUGAAAGCAACACAUUGUGAGAGACUUGGUUUUUUUUUUAUCAACUAAGGUAAGAUGUAUUAAAAUGGGAGUACUAGGUGUACUCCAAACCCACUUACAGCAAGAAAGCACAUAACUGUGAAAAGCAAAAGAAUAGAGCAACAAUUCUGUUUUGCUUACACGUACAGGCCUGCUACCCACAAAAACUAAACUCAAACAAAAUUGUUUGUACAAGAAAAAUAGAAGAAAAUCAACGAACACAAGUUUCAGUAUAGAUACAAUUGCCUCACAAACCAGAGUAAAAUCUUACACACUUAGAAUUGUGAUUGGAUAACACAAGUUCUCAAGCAUAUAAUUUUUUUCUAAAAAAAAAAAACCUGGUGUGGUUAAGCUGAGAAACGUCAUACUACUUAGGAUUAAGGAUUGGACUUUUCGUUAAAAAAAGGAUUGGACUUUUAUGGUAUUUUUAGGACUUGUAUUUUUUGCACAUGUGGGGAUUGCUUUUAGCACACCCAUUUUUACAAUUUACACAUCCAUUAGUUUUAAAAUUUUAAAAGAUAAAGAAAGUUUUUUUUAUCAAAGAUAAUCAAUUCAAUACCCAAAAGAUUGUCUAACGACAUUUACAAUAUGUAAGAAUAAAUCUCAACAAGCGAUAUCGCACUGCAAUAUAUAAGUAAUCACAGAAACAAGCAUACACACUCAAACAACAAAAUUAAACAUCAACUAAAAGCAUGAUGUAAAAAUCUUAAGGAUCAUACAAAAGCUCCUAAUAAACAUCCAAGCAGAUAAAAAUAAGUCUAAUACAGGAUUAGAGUAUUGGGCUAGUGCUUUGAAUCUCAUUUGUUUUAUACCAACUCAUUGUUUUGGGCGCUACCCUUUAUGUGAUUACUUAUGUAUUGCAUUGUGAUAUCGGUUGUUGAGAUUUGUCAUUGAAUAUUCAUUUGCUAGAUCCUUAUUAGAAUAUUCAUUUGUUUAUAAUUUACAUUGAUGUGAGUUAGUUUCUCUUUUUUUUCAGAAGAGAAGGAAAAAAAAGAGUUAGUUUCUCUUUUGACCAAAAAGAAAGUUAAUUUCUCAUGUGUUAUGUUUGGAACAGGUGAAAAUGCCGUGAUGGAAAACUACAUCAGGGAAAAAGAUAUAAAAUUACUGUACACUAUAUGUUUGGUUACACAAAAACAUGUCAGAAGGUGGUAAAACCAUUCUUGCAUAAAUCAUGGCUAUGAUUUCCCUAAAAUGAAAAGUUAUAGAAACAAAACAAGUAAUUGACAAUUUUUUUAAAACAAGACUCUCCCAAGUGAGUUAAUGAAUUUUGAAAAAGUCCAACAAACAACAAAAGAUUCAAAAGGAACAACUAAUGCACAAAUCCGCAACAAACAAGAGGAUAAAAAUAACAGUCAAUUGUUCUGAUAUCAAGUGUGAGUAAAUCAAACAUUGAAAGAUAAAAAAAACUUUGAGCGGUUUAUAAGUGUGAGAACUCAUAAACCCAAUGUCAUCAGGUUUUGAGUGAAAGAUGUGAUGUCUGGUCCACUUGUGAUUUGCUCUUUAAAUUUCAAUGUGGAGUUUUAUCCCAAAUUUUAAAAUCAUCUCUUUUGUUUGACCAUUUAUUUUGCCCAACAGUGAUAUCAGGGUCGAUGGUUGUUUGAACAUGGGUCAUGAGCCUCUGAGGUUCCGUUUGAGUACAAGCCCAACUUUCAUUUGAGAUGGACUCACACUUGAGAAGGAGAUUGUUGUGUACUAUCAAGUGCGAGUAAGCCACUUACACAUUUGAAGAUAAAUGAUAAAUUUGAGUGGUUUAUAAGCGUGUGAACCCAUGCAUGUACUCAUUGUCUUAAGGUUUUGGAUGAAAAUUGUGGUAUCCAACUCACUUAUGGUUUGCUCUUUAAAGUCCAAUGUAGAGUUUUAUCCCCGAAUAUUAAACUAUCUCCUUUCUUCGGCCCUUUAUUAGGCCCAACUUGUUUCAUGUGGAAUAUCUCAAUAAUUCGAAGAGAAUGAGUUGUAUUUUCAAAAACAACUAGUAAUAUAUUUCAUUAAUAAUAAAACUUUUAGAAAAGUGCGAAAAAUAUAUUUAUAUUUUAUUGUAUAAUACGUGUUGAAUAUGUGAAGAGAUCAAGUGUGGCAAAAAACUUUAUUCCUUUUAGGAUUGAGUAACAUAGUUCAUUCAUUAUUUAUUGAUUAGAAUAACAUUAUAUUUUUUUAUAGGGAUAGAAUAACAUUAUAAAUCAGUCAGAUUUGAGUAGAAAAAAUUCCAAUCCUGAUUUAAUCAUUUUUAUAAAAUUGAAAUCAUACCAUAUGGGGCUAAAUCAGCUUUGUAACCCCCCAGGAGUUUGAUUCGAAUUUCACCCCUUGUCCAAAAUAAAAAGCCAGAGUUAAUUGCGUCUUUUAGUGACUUAAUGUGUAUUUAAUAACAACCAUUGAAAAUUUGAAAAGAAAAAACAAAACAAAGCAAUACAAUGAUUGACAGAACAUACAUGCAGGCAAAAAGCACACAAAAAACCAUAGAAUCUGUUUUCCUUUUUUCUAUUUAUGAAAACGGCUUGUGGUUAUUUUAAUUUUAUCAAGCAAAACAUUGGUUGGUAAUUGGCUACAACCAGAGCCUAUGGUUUUUCUAAGUUCCAAGUUUGAUACAUUAAAAAAAGGUUACAAUCCUUUGCUAAAUUAAGCUAUGAUUUAUAAUAAUAGCAACCCUUGGCCUCCUCAAAAUUUUGCAGGCCAUUAAGAACCAAACAAAACAAACUAAAAUUAACGCGUAGUGACCCUUUAUAAAACCUUUCAAGAAUUAGCUACAACACAAUUGAUCAUUAUUCCUUCAACCUUUCUUUGCUUUCUAAUUAGCGUUCUUUCUCUUGUUAUUGUAGAGGGAGGACGAUAAUAUCAAGAAAGAAACUUUGUUUUAUUCUCUUAAUUAACUCAUCUAUCAUUCAAUAUGGGAAACUGUGGCAGCAACCCUAAGACCAAUGAGGGUCCUGAGCCAGUGCCUGAGAUUAAGAAUGAGGAGGUUAAGGUUGAGCAGGUGCAGGAGAGUGAAGCCAAUGUUGAAAAGAAGACAGAGGAAACCCCUAAUGAAGAUAACAAGUCUCUAAGCACCUUGCUCAAUGAGGUAAUAUCUUAAUUUCUCCUUCAAAUUAGGUCUCUGAGAUGACUGAAAUCUUCUGUUUUCAUUUGAUCUAUAUCUUUGUUCUACCAAUCAAAUUAUGUCAUAUAAUUCAGAAAUCACUAAUAUAAGAUUAUAAAUGUUAUACUCAUGCAAUUUGAUUGGUGACGAAAAAAAGAGACUUGGGAUUAAGAUCUUCAUCCAUCCCAAACUUGGUUAAAAUAAUUGUUAGUUUAUGAGUUUUACCUUUUUUUAAUCACCAUUUUGCAAAUUUACAUGAUAUUAUUUAUCAAUUUAUUUUGAUGUUUUUAUAAGAAUUAUAAUGGUAAAAUUAUUAAUAUAAUGAAAGUAUAAUUUUUUUUCGUUACAAUUGGAAAAAUAAUGAAAGCGUUAUUUAAUAAAAUAUUUUUUAUAACACAAUCAAAAGUUUUAGUUAUUUUCUUAAUAUUUUUGUAAAAUCUUAGAUGACAAUUACUCUUUCCCUUCAUUAAAAUAAAACCAUUUUAAAAAUUUCAAAUUAUUUCAAACAAAGUGAGCAUAAAAAUUAGGUUUUUAUAUCACCCAAGAUAAAUAUUAGGUUAAAUCACAUAAUAUUCUCGUGACAAAUGUCAAAAUAUUAUUUGACCACCUAAAUUAGAGUAAUUUUACACAAGGUAAAUCUUAAAUGAUUUAUGAAAUUCUGAAAGAUGCUAAUCUAAAAUACAGUUAAAAAAUUUAGAUUUGAUGAACCGUACCAAAAAAUAUUUGAUUUAUUAGAAUAUUGAAAAUGGUGUGAAGAUUAAGAAUACUUUACCAACAACAAUUAAGUUUUGUUUUUAAGGUUACAGCAAUGAAGUUAUACUUCUAAAACAUUUCAAUCUAAUGCUAUUACAUCCUCCUAAACAUUUCAACCUAAUUAUUAUCACUUUUGUACAAGCAGAAUGAAGAGGAGGCAAAGAAACCUGAGGAAGAAGUACAAGCUGAGCCCAAGGAAGAAAAAGCAACCACUGAGGAAGUAAAGGUUGAAACCAAGGAAGUAAACCCGAAACCCGAGGAGGAGCCCAAGGAAGAAGAACCUAAAGCCCAAGUUCAAGAAGAGAAGCCCAAAACAGAAGAGGCAUAGAGCUGAGAAACGUGCGUGUAGACAAAGGUUUUACCAGGAUUGAUUUUAUAUACUUCAACAAGUAUACAAAUUUGUUGCCUUUCUGUUUAGUGCUCCAAGGAAAAUUUAUUAGAUCUUAUAUUAUGCAAAAUUGAAUUUCGAUUUAGAGUUGUUGGAUUAAAUGAGCAUUUAAUUAAUAAGUUCUUUUUCCAAAUUAUUUCUAUGGUGUGAUAGUCUUUUUCGAAUUUCUCAAGUUAUUUUUUAAUUUUACAUAAAUAUUAAAUAAACUUUCACGCUCGUGAAGGCAUAAUAAAUUCUGAUUUUUUUUGAAAUCUAUCUAUAUCUAUAUCUAUAUCUAUAUACUUUAGAAAAGAGGAAGCUUGUGAGACCCACCAUGCUGAUUUGGCACUCCAAGAAUUACUCUCACCCAACCUCCUUCUUUGCCUAACAAGUGUCACCCUCUUAUUGAUUUGGACCAAAACAUUACAAAGCCCAUUUUCAUUUCAGUUUUGUAUGGAGGCCCAUUAUUGAAAGCUUAUAUAUUGAAUGCUGAUUUUUUAUUAUUUUUUUUAGCCAUUCAUUAAUUGCUAACAUAAAAUAUCCACAUUAAUGGCUGAUUAACAUUUUGACUAUUUCAACUAUUUAAUUACAAAUAAUUUUUGUUUUGCACCACAAGAUCCAUUUGUUUAAAUAGAAUUAUCAUUUUUCAAAAAUAUUCGAAAUAGUUUCGAAUUUCCUAUAAUUACUCAUUACCUGUGCGAGGACCGUCGACAACGCGUUUCUCAGUUUUUUUUUUUUAAAUCAACGCGUUUCUCAGUUAAAUAACGCGUUUCCUAUAAUUAAUCAUUUCCAUAAAUGAGAAAUAUUGACCUAUCAUUCAUAAUAAUUAUAAGUGAACCGUACGUUUGUAAUAUUAUAAUAAAUGGAAUCACUAUUUAAUAUCAUGAUUUGUAACGCACGGGGUAAUAUUUUAAUAUCUUUUUUGCUACAUCGGUAAUAUUUUAAUAUCAUGAUUGAUACAUUCCAUUCUUAUGAAGAAAAAAUUACCCUGGAAUUAAUUGAAUUUCCUAUUUUGAGUAGUAAAUCACCUUAUGCUAUUAAAAGUCACUAUAAGCGUACGAUUGAAAUUUUGGUUGAAAAAAGAAAUAGCGCCGGCUAAUUUCAAAUACCAUGCAUAAUAUUACCUUAAUUUUCCUUCCUUUUUUAACUUGCAUUGAGAAGUAACCCUAAUUCUGAAAUUUAUAUAUAAAUCACCUCAUGCUAUUCUUCAACUUUAUCAAUCCUUCCAUUUUCCACCAACUAUUAGCUUUGAAAAUUCUGAAUAUUACCCGUCAAACACUCAUCUUUUUGAACUCAACUUCCGGGAGGAUACGCCCACUAUCGGUGAGUCUUUAUUAAUUAUUUUGUAGUUAUAUUAUUCGCACAAUAUUAACAAUUUCUGAUAUCUGGAAAUUUUAGAUAUAAUCGGUGUUUUGAGUAAGGUUGGACGAGUACAAGAGUUCACAAUCCUUAGAAAGAUUGAGAAGGUCGUCCGAAUUGAUCGACCUUUCUGCAGCAGGGUAAUUUAAUAUGCAUUCGUGUACUCAUUUAUAAUUACGUUUUUUUUUUUUUCCAAUACACCAAAGAACCUAAUUUUGUCUUUUAUUGAUAUAGCAGAGCAAAAUUGAAUGUUUUGAUUGGGAAAUUUGUACAAGAAUAUGUUGAUUUCAUUUCUGCUGGUCGUGCACUCGGUGCAGUUGUUUUGAUCCAACUUGCCAGAGUAAAAAAUUACCCAGGUACCUCGACCACUAAAAUUGUUCAACGGAAAAAUAUAUUUUUUUUAUGAGAAAUUUUUUUAGUCUAUUUUGUAAUGUUGUUUUUUUUUACUGAUGUAGGAAAUUCCAAUAGAUAUAUAUGUGCUGGAAUGGAGCCAACCAGAAUUUUGUAUCAACCAACUCUUUGAAGAACCUCUGAUGAUCAAGUAGCGCUCCUAGCUAUCGUCUGAACGUGAACAAAAUAACUGCCCUUAUUUUGUUAAUAAAUCUCGACAAAUGCACGGCAGCAUCAUCUCCAUGAAGUAUCUAUGGAGAUAUUUAGGUUGCAUGGUCUGAAAUAUGGAAUACAUAAUUCCUUUUUCAUUUAUAUUAUGAAAAGUUGUUUUGUUUGUUAAUUCUUUGGGUGGGUUGUGACCCAAUUCCAAUAAUCAAUUCUGUGAUGUUAAGUUACUUUUAGAAAUUUAAUUAAUAAUUCAAUGCAUGGAAAUUUAAGUAAUAAUUAAAAAUCUUAUAAUUGAGGUGGAGUAAUAAUUAGGUCGACCAAAAUGGACUCAGGUUGUGAGUGUGCUCGGCUCAACCCACUUAUGGGGUGGGUUUAGUUGGAAAAAUACAGGUUUACAUUUAGGUGAAUGCUUUUUCUUCGUUCAAUAACUUAAUGGGCUACACAAAUGAAAAAAAAAAUUAUUUUCUUAUAUCUUUUUAAAGUAUGAUCAUUAACUACAGAAUAACAUAACUUUUGAUCACAAAAAUAAUCAUAAUGGAAAUACAUAAAAAUUUAUUAGGCUUUAUAUCACGCUCAUAGUGUGUAGCCUAAUUAUCAACAAUGAUAUAUACACACCUCAUUUUUUAAACACUUCAUUUCCACCUAUUUUUGUUUUUAUCUCUCUCUUCUUAUCAUCUAUCACAUCUCAUACUUUCUCUCUCUUACUUUUUUUUUUCUUCCUAUCUCUCACCUCAUUCCACCUCUUCCACCUCUUUUUGAGGUGUGUAAGUAACAUUUUCCGCCUAAUUAUAGACGGAAUCUGAAAAUUUGCGUAUAAAUUUUGUAUGCUCUUAAAUAUUUUUUGUUUUGAACUAGCAAAAUAUAUUGACAGAGAGCACUAGGAGUACUCCAACCCAAAUAAUAAAUAUAUUUAAUUACAAAGAUAAAGGGAAUUACAAAUUCCUUUCUAAAUUAGUGUCCCUCCACCAUCCCGUGCAGAGUCAAAAAACCUCGAUCAACAUUAAUCUACCACCAAUCAUUAAUUGAAUUCAAAACCAAGUCUACAAGGAACUAAUCUCUAAGAAAUCAAAGGUGCUCUAAACAGUAUCUUGGGAUGGAGAUCCAAUCAUAGGUUGAGAAAUCAAAGGAAAACGUACUCCACCUAACAUGUUCUCCAUUUUUUCACAAGUCAAACAUCAUUUUUUGGCUAAGGAACCAAAAUCAAACACUUUUACCAAACAGUGACUAAUAUGACCCUUAACCCUUCUUUUUAUUCUUGACAGUAUAAAAAGAUUUCAAGCAGUUUAUUGAUCAUCUAAUUUGAAGGUUUAUUGGCGUGUCUAUAAGGUUUGUUUAAGAUUUUCAAAUUAUACACAAUUUAUAUUUGUAUUGGUUAUUGAUUAUUACUCUUAUGUAAAUUUUUCUUUUGUAGGUUCUAUAGCUCAAAUAUGCUUGAUUGACAACAUGAUUGGUUAUGAAGUUUUUAUCAUUAAUCAUGGACUACAACUUCUAAUAAGGGUUAAUGUUGUUGUCAUUGUUAUGUUUAACUUAUUUCAAUUUCAAUGUAAUGCAUUCCUUAAAAACUGGGUUCUUAUUACUAUUCAAGUGUUGCCAUUGUGAGGUCUAUACAACCUCAUCAAAUUAAUAUAUUUAUUGUGGUUCAUUCAUCUACAUGUUUGUAACAUAUGUUCGGUUCCAUAUCUGUUCUACUUACUAAAAAGAGCCUAAACUAAGUUAAAACAUAUUUCUACUAAUUCAUCUUUACAAUAAAUUUAAUCGCCGUGCAACGCACGGGUAAAGAACACUAGUAUAAUAGAUAUAUUUACAAUGAAAGCGUGCCUGAACAUGUGAAUAUUAUUAGUAAUAUUUGAUUUAUUAAUAAUGAAUAUCAUUAUUUAAUAUUAUCGAAAUAUAUGACAUAAAAAUUUGUAAUUAAUAUUUAUAUUCACUAGCCGAAUUUUUCCUCUUGUAAAAAAAAAAAUCACUAGCCGAAUAUAUUUCAUAAUUGAUAGCAAAUCACUACAAGAGAAUUAUUGUUCAUAUUGUAGUGAUCGAUUGGUUCCUGAAGUUUGAUGAGGUAAUAUUCUAAAAGUUCUUUGAGAAAAUUCUCAGAUUUGUGGAACAAUGUAGGUUUGGCUUUGCUAGGCAUUGGCACGAUGCACAAGAUUCUUUAUUGAAUGAGACAUAUAUACUAGUAUCUUCUUGUUCUUUGAGACAAGUGACACAUCACCAGAUGUUAUUUAUGGUCUGAGAAGUUGAAGUAUGUUAACUUUGUUAGACAUUGACCUUAUUAGACGAUGCCCUCUCUAGACAUUCUUUAUAGACAAACAUCCAGAGGAAUUUGAAUGACACUUUUCACCGAUCCUAGCUCUUAACUGUCUCCUUUUAGUUAGAGGUUAAAAAACUUGAAGUGGUUAUCUGCGGUUCAUUCUAAUGAAGGGAUCUUAGAGCGGCUUGUGCAUUCAAGAAAAGAAGGAAGGUAGCUCUAGCUCCUUACUGCGUUAGUAUUUGAGGGAGGAACCGAGGAAGAGAGGGGUGGGAGAAGGACAAUGAUAGGGGGAGAGAGAAGAGAUGAAGGGAGUCUGAGAAGGAGUAAAGGUAGAGAGAUUGGACUUUUCAACGCAACACUAAUAACCUGAGUAUGAAUUUAGAACUUCAGGGAUUAAAUUGACACCCACGUAGCACUUAACGUGACACAUGGGAAGAAGUUAACCUAGGACGAACGAAAAAAAGAUGUUUGGACCAACAUGGCUCACGCUUUACAACUUCAGGGACUUUCGAAGCUAUUUCUUAAGUGUAAGGACGAAAGUGAUCGAUGCUCACAACUUCAAGGACAAAUUGACUAUUCACUCCAUAAUCAAUUAAGUAUGAUGAAUGAGUGAUGACUCAGUGGUUAAAAAUGGUUGUUAGACUCAUGAGGUUAAAAGUUCGAUUAUUAGGAAAUGCACUCUUAAGAGGACUUUUGACCUUGGACUACCGUAGUGGGGCGACCUACGACAUUGGGUGUCUUCCAACAAGGAGUGGGGCAAAGAGAGAGGCAGAUCUAGCGGCUGAGGGAGAUCAGAGUACGUGAGAGGGCAAAGCGUGGGUGAAUGUAGCAGAGGAGGAGGGGGAAUAGGUAGCUUCGUCGUAGGGGGGGUGAAAGUGGUGGAGGAUAAAGGAGGGGCAAAGGGAGAAGGUAAGGGUGACAGGGACAGAGGAGGAAGGAGGGGUGGCUCAUAGGGUCAGAGGAGGGUGAGGGUGAGAGGCAUCGGAGGAGGGUAAUGGGAAAAAGGUGACAUAGAAGGGUGGGGGGAGGAGCGGUGGAGUAGGGAGAUGGGGAACUGGGGGGAGGGGUAAGCGAUAGAGCACAAAGAGAGGUGUAGGAUGUUGAAAGAGUGAAAAUGAGGUUCGAGGAGAAAGCAGAAGAAAGCGGCUUACAACGAUGUUUGGGCGAAGAAAUCAAGAGUUAUUAGUGUCGACUUGACUGGCGCUAACUUUUGUUCCCAUUGGCCGGUGAAUGUAUUGGUCCUCCAUAACUCCUAAUUGUUGGUGGCGGACGCUACGUUGGCCAUUAGCUUAAGCGUCUUCUCAAACUGAUACAAGUUUUCGUAUGCCAGUGCUAAUUAGCAUCAGUCAGUUUGACACUAAAUUUAAAUGGUUUCUUUAAAGUGUUAAAGUUAGCGUAGUUUCUUUAAAGUGUUAAAGUUAGCAUCGGUGUCAUGGUUGUUGCUAAGUUUUUGACACUAAAACAAACAUUUCUUGUAGUUCACACAUCCACCUACUAUAUGCUAAAACUCAACUUCGAUCCAACUCUAGACAAUUUAGUCAGAGUAGAGAAUAUAGUAGAGAGGUAUGACUUAGUGGCUCCCUAAAAAAUCCGGUUGGAGCUCUAUCUUUAGUCUUUGUUUUGUCAGGUUGUAUAACGAGUGAACAAGAAAAAGUACAACUAUAUCUGUACCAGAACUAUAGAAAUCUGCUUCAGCGAGUUGAUGGAGCCGGUAGAGAGGGGAAAGAGUUAGCUCAAUCAUAGGUGGAAGCAAGGGCAUCUAUAGUCAGAGUUGUUUUAAUGUCUCCAUCUCUAAUAUCAUGUCAUGAAUUAAUCAUAAAAAAUUUAAGUUAUUGAGAAAAGACACAUGAAUGAUUCUAUUUUUAACAUGUUUCGUGAUAUAAAAGCUUACUUCAGAAUUGAAGCAUAUAAAAUGCAUAAACUCACCUAUCAUAUGCUGAAUUAUGAUGAGAUGAAAUGCAAUAAGAGUGUUUACCACCAAUUUAACUUUUUGUUUAAUUAUACUCCAUCCGUUCCUAUUUAUAAGAACCAAAUGGGAGGUGCACCUUGGUCCUUUUUAUAAGAACCAACUUGGAGUUUGUGGUGCAUUAAUUAAUUUUGUACAAGAAUGCCCUUACUAAAUGAAUUUUCUUUCUCUUUCCACUUUCUAUAGUAUUAAUGAUGCAUAAAGAUUAUGAAUAAUGAGUUGAGGGUAGCUUUGGAAAACUUAUAUAAAUUGAGAACAAAUUUAAUGCAAUUACCUAAAUUUAUUAAAUUUCUUAAGAGGUGUGAAGUUGUUGCUUGGUUCUUAUAUUAAGGAAUGGAGAGAUUACAUUAAAAAAUUAUUGAAAAUGCUUUGAUGGGGUAAAAGAGAGAUAACUGUUCUUACCUUUCAUGGUUUGAUUCUCCUUAUUAUAUUUUACCGUAUUAUAAGAAUCUCUUUGCCUCUUCCAAGUAUCCAAAAAUAUAUAUUUAUCAUAUGGCCGAACGCACAAGCAAACCUUUCAAUAAUCAGAUGGAUCAAUAUACAUGAUAUAUCCCUCGGAUUCUCCACUCUUUUCUUGUUAAGAAGCCUUGAACUUCCACCCUCUUCAUCUCUCAAGUCUUGACUCUUUGUUCUCUACCUCUACUUUUUUGCUUGUUCGCACCAAAUGGCUGCUGGUGCACCCAACCAUGUAGGUACAAUUCCAAACCCUGCAAAUGGAACCACUGAUCAGAACAAGCAAACACAAGUGACUGAUGUUCCCCGCAACGUUGUUGACUACUGGCAGAGGGCUCAAUGGCUUCGUGCUGCGGUGUUAGGCGCCAAUGACGGUUUGGUUUCUGUUGCUUCACUGAUGAUGGGCGUAGGAGCUGUCAAUAAAGAUGCCAAAGCAAUGCUGCUCGCGGGUUUCGCCGGAUUAGUUGCAGGAGCUUGUGGAAUGGCAAUAGGUGAGUUUGUUUCUGUGUUUACACAGUAUGAAGUCGAGGUUGGGCAAAUGAAAAGAGACAUGAUCAAGAGUGAGCAAGGAGAGAGGGACUUGGAGAUGGCGAUGGAGAAAAGGAAAUCCAUACCUAAUCCAAUGCAGGCUGCUUUGGCAUCUGCAUUCUCAUUCUCUAUAGGUGGAUUGGUUCCUUUACUUUCAGGUUCGUUCGUCUCAGUUUACAAGAUAAGGCUUCUUGUGAUUGUGGUGGUUGUUAGCUUGGCUUUGGUGGCUUUUGGUAGCGUGGGUUCUCUGCUGGGAAAGACUCCCAUGACGAGAUCUUGUGUGAGGUUCAUGAUUGGGGGAUGGAUGGCCAUGGCUAUCACUUUUGGGUUAACAAAAUUGCUAAGUGCUGGUGGGUUGGAAAUAUAAAUCCUCUUGGCCCUGGUUUUUAGUCACUUGUCUAAUGAGAGCAAUUAACCUCUCCUUUUAUCUUCAUUAAUUGAAUAAGUGUGAGAUCUUUAAUUGGACAUGUUUUUUUUUUUUUUUUUUUGAAAUAAAGGAUAGAUAUAUUAAUUAGAGUGGGGCAUAGAAGCCAUAACAUCAGCAUCCACAAGAGGAAUCACUUCAGGCGGAGCUUCUUCAAUCCAGACAGCCCCCGGAUAAGAAGAAGCAUGCCGUGCUAAAUAGUCUGCAACUGCGUUGCCAUUCCGGCGUACAAAAGAAAUAGAAACAGAAGUAAAUUGAGAAACUAAUCUAUGACAAUCCGCUAAAAUAGAAAAUAAAUAAGAGUUGCCUGGAGAAGAGCUUCUCCAACCAUUAAAGACCUGCAAAUUAUCAGUCUCAAGGCACAGUUUCAUGAACCCAAGAUCUCGUGCCAUCACCAUUGCCCAACGAAUUCCUUGUGCCUCAGCGAGCGUCGCGGACAAAGCCGGAGUUGUAUGGGAGGUCGCCACCGCAAGUACCUCCCCUAGAUAAUUCCGAGCCACCAAACCAUAACUGGCUCCUCCAUCCGCACGAAAAGACGCAUCAACAUUAACCUUUGUCGUUCCUCGUUGAGGCCGCGACCAAGAAGAAGCCAUGUCCCGUUGCGCUCGCCCCACAGGUGCAUGAACUGGUGUGGGCAUCUCCAUAAGCGUCGACAACCUCUGCAACAGGGACUCCAUGGAAACAGGUUUGUUGUUGAAAAUCAAAGCAUUCCUAGCCUCCCACAAUGUAUACAACCAAGCCUGGAAAACCGGUAUGAAGUCCUCCUCCGCCGUAGACAAGAACGCCACCGCCAACUCAUGCAAGGACGAAAAAGAAGCCACCCGAAUUACCAGCGGCGAAGCAAACCACAACGGUUGCACCGCCGGACAGCACACAAACACAUGAUCAUUCGUUUCCUCUUCACAACCACACAAGGGGCACCGAUCAUCAACAUCCAUUCCACGAAUCCUGAGGCUCACUCGAACCGGAAGAAUCCCUUUGAUUGCUCGCCAGGCAAGCUCCUUGCACCGAGGCAAGGCCUCAGACCUCCAGAACUUUUUCCAUAACGAAGGAUGAAGAUUACCUCCACUGGAAGAUGAGGAUACACCCUCUUGGGUCAGAGAUUGCAACAGCUGAUACCCUGACUUACUGGAGUACAUGCCAUUAACAGUCCAGGGCCAAAAUAAGCAAUCAUCACCACGAAACAGAGGGACUGGAACAGCAAGGAUUCGCUGAACUGUUGCUGGCGCAAAAACCAUCUCCAAGAGAGGUACAUUCCAACCACCAUGGGGCUGAACAAUCAAAUCAGAAACCAAAUGAAUACCCCAUUCAGCCACCAAAUCCUCUCGGAAUAAAAGAGGAGCUCCCCCAGGAAGCCAAUUAUCCCUCCAGACCUGAACCUUCUUUCCAUCACCAAUCCUCCAUCUUGCUCCUUUGUCAAAAAUCAACUUUGAUCGUAAAAUACUAGUCCAUGCAUAACUUGGCCGGUAUCCUUUCUUUGCAUCCCAAAGAUCAGAUCUUGGGAAGUAAGCAGCUUUAAAAAUCUGAGCAAGCAAAGUGUCCGACUGCGAAUAAAUCCGCCACCAAUUUUUCCCCACCAAAGACAAGUUAAAUGCCUUGAAAUCUCGAAAGCCCAAACCACCAUCAUGCUUGUGGCGGCACAAAGUGCUCCACUUAACCCAAUGUAUUCCUCUACGGGAAGCAUCACCAGCCCAAAAGAACUUGGCAAUCAUACCAACAAGCUCUGCACACAAACUGUCAGGCAGAACAAAACAAGACAUAACAUAAGAUGGGAUAGCUUGAGCUACCGACUUGAUAAGAACCUCUCUGCCAGCACGGGAGAGGAACUUCUCUUUCCAGCCCUUAAGCUUCUUCCAAACUCGAUCUUUAACAAAAUUAAAAAUCUGGGAUUUAGACUUACCAAUUAUGGUUGGAAGUCCUAAAUAUUUAUCAAAACUCUCCACUGCCUUAACACCCAAAAGCUGUUUAAGCUCAUUAAAACUAGUAUCAAGCACGUUUCGGCUAACUGAGAGCAUUGAUUUGUCAAGAUUUAUGACUUGUCCUGAAGCCUUCUCAUAAGUAGAAAGAAUAUCAGAAAUGCAUGCCGCUUCAUUAAUCGUGGCUCUAGCAAACAAAAUGCUGUCAUCUGCAAAAAGUAAAUGAGAAAUCACAGGUGCCUUUUGGGCAACCUUGAUACCAUGCAAAGAACCUGCAAAAAUUGCUUUCUGAAUCAGUGCAGAAAAAACUUCCCCACAAAGGAUAAAAAGGUAAGGUGAAAGUGGGUCCCCUUGUCUCAACCCUCUAUGGGGUGUAAAGGAUGGCUGAGGAUUUCCAUUUAACAUAAUUGAAAAAUUAACUGUCGAAACACACUGCAUAAUCAAAUUAACCCAACUAUCUGGGAAACCCAUACUCUGAAGCACACAGCUCAAAAAAGACCAUUCAACUCUGUCAUAAGCUUUUGACAUGUCUAAUUUCAAAGCCAUCAUGCCAUUCCGGCCAGUAAUUCUCUUCUUCAUGUAGUGAAAGCACUCAAAGGCUACCAGGGCAUUGUCUGUAAUCAGACGCCCCGGGACAAAAGCACUUUGAGUGUUGCAUAUCAAAUCAGGCAAAACAAUUUUCAAUCUAUUCGCAAUAGUUUUUGUAAUAAUUUUAAACAAAACAUUUCAAAGGCUAAUCGGCCUGAACUGCGUCGCAUGAUCAGGCUUCUUAACCUUUGGAAUUAACACCAACAAAGUAUUAUUAAUGAUACCUGGUGAGGCAGUUCCAUUCAGAACCUGCAAACAGAAAUGAGCAACAUCAUCGCCAAUAAUAUCCCAAUGCCUCUGGUAAAAGAGUGCAGGAAAACCAUCUAAACCAGGGGCCUUCGUUGGAUGCAUCUAAAAUAACGCCUCUUCCACAUCAAGCUUGGUAAAGGGUUCCGACAACACCUCAAGAUGAGCUGCCGUUACUCUAUUAGCCACAAGAUUCGCAGCAUCCUGCAUCCCUGAAGGAGAGGAGCUAGUAAACAAGCUAGUGAAAUAAUCACCCAACACCCUGCCAAUAUUAGGGUCAUCUACAAAUUCUCUGCCUCCAUCAUCUCGAAUCUUUUCAAUCAUAUUUCUUUUCCUCCUUUGAGUAGCUUUUUGGUGAAAAAACUUUGUGUUUUUAUCCCCAAACCUCAACCAAUUCGCCCUGGACCUCUGGCUCCACCAAAUUUCCUAUUGCAUUAAAAGGGUGUCUAGAGCAAUUUCAGCUUCCUUGGUCUCCCUCACCACUUGUUCUGAUUGAGUUUGCCGUUGUAGUUUCUGAAGAAGAGCCUUUGUGUCAGAAAUUUUCUUUGGUAUAUCACCAAACUUCUCACGCCCCCAAUCUUUGAGGGAUGAACCAAGGGAGCUCAACUUUGCAGUCAGACCCAUGGCCGACCCCUCCCCCCAAGCCUCAGUCACUAACUCCUUGCACUCCUCUUCUUGAAGCCACAGCUCCUCAAACCGGAACAUGCUAGUCCUCUGCAAUUCUUUCCUCAUACCCCUGGACCCACAACAAAUCAGUAAAGGAUUAUGAUCAGAACGAUACCUGGGUAAAUGAGUGACCUCAGUGACUGGCCAAAGCGCAUCCCAAGCAUCAUUUGCUAAAGCAUAGUCAAGCCUUUCUUCCACGGUGCCUGGUACUGCCCUCUUAUUAGACCAAGUGAACCUAUAGCCCGAAAAACCCACAUCAUGUAAAUCACAGGUCGAACAAGUUGCCAUAACCUCUUGCAUGUGAGCAUAAUUAGGAGGGUCUCCACCCAGCUUAUCUGUAGGGGACAAAAUAUCAUUAAAGUCACCAAAACAUAGCCAAGGGACAUCUCUACCCUGAGGGCAAAUGGACUUAACUAGCUGCCACGUGCGAACUUUAUUCUGCUCCUCCGGGAAGCCAUACACGGCAAGCAUGUGCAUAGGAUCAUGAUGAUCAGGAUGCACCAAAGAGAACGCAAUAUGAUUCAAUGAGGCUGAAAGAAUGUCUACUUCCACCUCUGAACUCCACAUUAAGAAAAGGCCACCUGCCCGUGACCUUCCUGAACCCGCACAUUGGACGGGAAAAACAUUGGGUAACCCACCCAUACCUCUAUUUUUCAACACCUCAGACGUAUACAUCUUGGUUUCCAUUGCGAAAACCACAUCGGGAGCUUUAGAGUGGAUUAGCCCCUUAAGAGCUAGCACUGCCUGUGGGUUCCCAAGCCCACGACAGUUCCACAUUAAGAGCCUCAUUGAGGAGGGCGGGGCUGCUCCGCAGCCGCCGCCGAACCCAAUCCAAUAUCAGUAGAAGUUUUCUUCAAAGGUGGAGAUAUUUUACCACCGGAAGAAGUUGGAGUGCAAGGCCUCUUACGACCCAACAGGUCCUUUCCCAUAUACUCACGAUCUCCACCUGCCAAACGUGAGGCUCCUCCUCGUGUACCCCCUCUCCUCCCCCCACCCCGAAGGCCACGGAUGGGGGGGCUAUUAAACACAAUACCGCCACUCGAACGACCAUUCCCUACCUUAGCAGCGCACCCAGCACCAGUUGUCUUCAACCUCCCCUCUUUCCCUGGCUCACCACCCUCCCCCUUCUCCCCGCCCCCUCCUUCAACCCGUGGACCCUCAGAGGAAGCCUCAGAAGCUCCCACCCCGUCACUCCCUUUCCCCUCACCCACCGUACUACCCUCCCCGGAACCCUCACCCUGCACCCUUUCCCCCUCAACCCGCACCACUUCCCCACCCCCUUCCAAACCCUCACCUAUCCCUGUUAAGUCUUCCCCACGAACAUCACGAGCCCUCUCACCCCCAGGCCUCCACCUCGGAAUCAAGUACCUAUCGCCAUCAGCACGGAGCCACGGACCAAAAGGUGCCCCUCCAGCAGGAAUCUCAAAGCCACACUCUUUCUGGACAUGAUCCAUUCGCCCACAUCUAUAGCAGAAGUUUAUCAACUUCUCAUACUUGAAACGGAGCUUUAAGGGUGCACCCUUCUCAGGUGCAAUCAUAUGUCCCCGGCGAAGAGGUGCAUCAACCCUUACCCAAGCCCUCACCCUGAAGAACGAACCAUACUUACUAGCCUCAGAUUUGUCCCAAUCAAGGAAACCAGCAAACGCCUUCCCCAAAGACUUGGCCACCGCCUCCGUCCUACCAGUGGUCGGCAACCCCCGGAUUUGAAUCCAAAAGGGGACUUGCGUUAACGGGACACCGCUUGGAUCUCCCUUGCCAUCAUAAGUGUUAAGAGCCAACAUGUGGCGCUCGAAGAACCACGGGCCAGACUUCAGCACCAAAUCCCUAUCCUUUGGGGACGUAAACUUGAAUAUGAAAUAAUUCUGCCCAGCAUGACGAAUAUCAACGCAGUUUCUUGUUUGCCAUAAAUCACGCAUCACAGUCUUGAAGCCAAAAACGCUAACCGAGUGAUUGGCUAGCACCACGCCCACCAUCCACACAUCUUCAUCCAAUUCUGGUAACGUUUCAAACCCUCCUACAGUCAGUAUCUCGUUCUCCUCGCCUUGCAGAUCAAAGUCCGGCUCAUCAGCAAAAGACCCCAUCACAAAACCAGCAGAAAUAGCAACCAGGUGCAAAGGAAUAAAGGCCACAAAGAGAAAAACGGCAACAGACGUGCAAAUCGUAAGAAACACCACACCAGAGCAAGCGUGGCCCUAGUGCAUGAGAUAGCCGAGGACGUAAGAAUCCCGUACACAAGAGCAGCCAGGCACAAGAUCCAACAGGGCGGCGGUAGUCAAAGGCUGCGCACCAGAUCCCAGGCGGAAAUAUUCUCAAACCCUAGCAGAGACGUCAUUCAAGACACAAUCUUUUUAAAAUUUUCCAAUCCAUUAUUGAAAUGGACAUGUUACGUUCACUGCUACAUCUUGUUAUUAAAAUUAAAGUUCAAAGAGAUAUCAGGUGAGUGACAAUUAACUUGUAUUUGAUCGUAGAUAAAAAACGUUAGCAAAUGUUGGUCAAAAGUCAACGCUAAUAAGGUAAAAGCUGAUGUUAAAGUCGAUUUGGCUCAACCUUAGCAUGUGUUGUGACUCGAACAUGUUAAUUUGUGUGAAGCUAACAAUUAAUUAUUAGCCCUAGUGACCGCGACGUUAAGUUAGCGUCGGUUUAGCCGACACAACACACACAUGUUGCAACGACCGACUCUAGGAUAUAAUUAUUAGCGUUACUCGUAUAAGCUGACUCUAGCGUUUGGUAGACAGGUGGGAAGGGAACGGAACAUGACACAUGAGUUUUGUUCUGUGUUUGUCGUGUUUUUAAGAUGGAACGGAACGGGACAAAAGGCUCCAGGAACGGGACACUUUGGUUCCCUGUAAAAGGGUGGAACGGAGGGGACCGAACAGAACACUCUCUUAAAACUUUUGCAAGUUCUAAAAUACCCCUAAUUUAUAUUUGAAAUUUUAUGUAUCUAAACAGUUUAAAAUCACUUAUUAUAUUUGUAGACAAAGUUAAAUGAAAAUCUACUUUUUCAAAAAAAUCACUUAAAAUAAAAUCAAUUAUUUUUUUCAAAAGUAAAACCACUUUUUGUAACCAAUGAUAAACGAGUCAAUUAGAGUGCGUUUGAUUCAAUUUAUUUUGAAAAAAUCACUUUUCAAUCCAAAAAUCACUUUUGAAAUAAAAAAAUCACUUUUUUAAUCAAAUAUCACUUUUUGUGUUUGUUUCAGCUGAAGCUGAAAACAGAUUAUUUGAAACAAUUACUUUAACUUAUCAUGAAAACCUAUGAUGAUAGAUGAGAGGAGAUUAAAAAGUGAUUUUAAUUAGAGUGGUCAAACACGAAUCAACUUAAUUAAAAUAAAAUCAAUUAUUUUUUCAAAAGUGAAAUCAGUUUUUGUAAGUAAUGAUAGACGAGUCAAUUAGAGUGCGUUUAAUUCAACUUAUUUUGGAAAAAUCACUUUUUAAUCAAAAAAUCACUUUUUGUGUUUGUUUCAGCUGAAGCUGAAAACAAAUUAUUUGAAACAGUGACUUUAGCUUAUAAUGAAAAUCUAUGAUGAUAGAUGAGGGGAGAUAAAAAAAGUGAUUUUAAUUAGAGUAGUCAAACACGAAUCAACUUAUGCUUUUCUCAACAUCUCUUAAAAAAAUUAUAGUUAAGAAUCAAUAUUUUUUAAUCUAAACAAACUCACUUAAAAUAGCUUAAAUAGAUAAUUAGGUUUCUGCUUUUUUGAAUAGCAUACUGAAACAACUUAAACAAUAUAUAAGUGAUUAUUUUAAAGAAAUAAGUGAUUAUUUCAUGAAGUAAGCAAUAACAAACAGUUUCUAUGCAAAAUGUUCAAUUGAGUUCAAUUUGUUUUCCUCAAUCAAAUAUUAAGCAUGCAGGGUAAUAUAUGUAAUUAAAAUCAUGGUUCUGUUCUAUUGACUUGGAGUUACCAAACACAACACAUAGAACAUUAUUAUCCUGUUCCAUCAUGUUCUGUCCCGUUCCGUUCCGUUCCGUUCCGUUCUGUUCUGUCCUGUUCCGUCACCAAACGCUUUAGCAUCGGUUAAAUUGACACUAUACGUACCAAUUUUAUUUUAUUUGAUAUUAUUAACGUCGAUAUGGUUGACGCUAAGUAGUAACAAGAAAUUUGUAACUCAUAUUAGUUUCAGUCUCUAAAAGACGCUAUUUAGAAUUUAUUUUAUGUUUUUUUCUCACUUUCAUUUUCGCAAACCUGAACAAAUCAUAUAUAUUAAUCAAUAGCAAACUGAAAAUGACUACAAAUAAAAAGUUCUAAAUCUGAUGACAACAUUGAGUGGGGCGGAGCGGUUGAUCACUCAUUGGAUGAUCGUGUCGAUCCAUGACAUAGUACCAGUGGAUCCAUUUGCCAAACCUCCCCUAUCUAGGAACACAUGUCCACCUUAGCAAUGACAGUCGUGAGUCGUGACCAUGCGUUUGACAACUUCAACUUUCCCCUAGGCAGCUGCAGCGCCCUCUCCUUGAAAGCUUUAGGUGUCUCCGAAGCCAAUGGCUCCUUGAGGAGUGCAUUUUAAGCUUCUGUAGCUCACCUCCUCGCGGAGGCUUUCUUACCUGCUCCACAAGAAUCAUCAUGGGAAUUGAAGCCUGGGACUCUAUCAUUAGUUGAUGGCUAAUUAGCGUCCUCCCAAGCCAAUGCUAAUAGCAAUUUAGCGGACACUAAGUAGAGUCGGAUGUCUAACGAUAUCCUUAAGCUUAGUGUAAUUAAUUUUCUAUUUGACACUUUAUAUCGUCUUAGCGCCAGCUUAACCCAUGUUAUAGGGUUAAAAUUAGCGUUGACAAUGAGACCAAAGCAAUUUUUAAUGCUAAAACGAGCAUUGAAGUUCAUUUAUCAUUACAUAAAUGAAGAAUUUAACAAAAUAGACAUAAGGAAAGGAAAUUGAUGUAUGUUUUUUUCUUAUACAAUUUUGCUUGGAACACGUACGGAUAAACACAGGGUAACACACCAAAUAAAAUAAAAAGAUCCAGAUAAAACAAAUUAAAACAUAAGGACCCCUGAAGUUCUUGGGGAUAACAUAGCUAUUAAAUGUAGUUGUGUGCAUGAGGGCAUUCUAGCUUAUUGUGUUAACAAAGCAGACACAAACCUAUUAAUAGUAAUACUAGAAGUUGGAGUACCCUUCCUAGCACAAAUCAUAGUAAUGAAGAAAAACAAGAAAAAACAUUACUAUAACAACAGUACUAGAGUAACAGACAAUUUUCAAAGACCAGCAGAGCCAAUCAAUUUUGUGAGGCCAAAUGUUAUGGCCAUAGCCAUCCAACCUCCAAUCAGCACCCUAAAACAAGACCUCUUCACUGGGGUUUUUCCAAGCACUGCUCCUACCACUCCAAAUACCAACAAGGCCAAGCUAGCCACAACAGCAACAACACCAAGCCUGAUCUUGUGAUUCCUUAUAAACACAGCAGCGAGAAGUGGCACUAGAGCACCCACUGUAAAAGCCAGUGCUGAUGCUAGGGCAGCUUGAAAUGGGUUUGGAAGCUUCUCCCUUUCAGCUUCUUCAUUAUUAUUAUUAUUAUUAGUUUCUCUUUCUCUUUUAAUUUGAGCUAUCUCUAUGUCAUACUGAGUAUAGACAGAGACAAACUCUCCAAUUGCCAUGCUACAAGCUCCAGCUACCAACCCAGCAAAACCAGCAAGAAGCAUGGCACUCACAUCUUCCUUAACAGCUCCAACACCCAUCAUCAGUGAGGCAACUGAGACCAACCCAUCAUUUGCUCCCAAAACCGCCGCUCGGAGCCACUGAGCCCUCUGAGAGUAGUCAAUAUAAUUAUUGUUGCUCUCUUCUACCCCUUCGCUUUCUUUUGGCUCCAAAACAUUGGCAUGGAUAGGGAUCUCAACAUGGUUUGAUGCCAUGAUGAAUAUCAAAAGUGAUAAAAAGUUGUUAGAUAGAAAAGUAGGAAAUAUGGGAAUAUGAUAUUGAGAGCUUGUGGCAAUCACACUCUCCUGAUGAGGGUAUUUAUACAGAGGGAUCAUCAAGUUUUGUCAUUGCAAAUUAAUGGCCACGUAUUUAUAAAUAAAGGAGAGGAUAUAAAGUGAGGAGGGCACUAGCUACAAGUUGGUGUCUUUCUUGAUUAACAAACCCCUGGUUGGCGUUUAAAAUUUCAUCACUACCUCAAACCUAUAUCCUAGUCUUAGAUAUUCCACCUUAAUUAUCGAAAUAUGUUCAGUGAACAUCAAUAUGGAUAUGGUAUCGACUUGUAGAGUGAUAGAGUGAUAUAGGAAGGAAAGAGAGGUAAGGGACAUAUAAUAUAUAAUGUGAUAGUUACAAGAAGAGAGAUAUGUGUCGUGUGUUCAAUUUCUGCUCCUGAUCUGAGAGUUGUGUUAGCUAGUGAUCAAUAAGUACCUCUGUAAGUGUUAUGUGAUUUUAGAAGCAUGUCUGACCUAUGGUGGUGAUUAGAGUCUAACUCACUCAAACUUUAAUUAAAAAUAGAUGAGAGAGAUAUAAAUAAAAUAAUGAAUGUGAGUAUUGUUUCUAAUUUGAUGUACAUAUGAAUUUAUACUCCUUAGAUUUUCAACUUUCUUGGUUCAAUGUUGGUUGUAUGAGGAUUCUUGGAAUUGUAAACUCUUCAAAGUUUUCUCAAAUUGAAAUUUGUAUCUAUCUCUUUUUCAUAUGUAUUAAAUAUAUAUGUGAACUAUUUGAAUGUUAAUUUCAAAGAGAGAAAUCAACAAUAUUUAAGUUGAAAUUGGCGAUUCAAUUAAGAAUCAUAACCCAUAAUCCAUCACACUUGAAAGAAUGCAAACUAACGUGAAAGUAGCAAUAGAAAAAAAUUGCUCUGCUAGGUUUGCUCAAGAGUCAAGCUCCACCCCCUCCCCUCCAUGAGGCGGGCCCCCCUUUUUUUCUUCUUCCUUCUGUGUUUCCUCUCCCUCCUAGCGGUGGUUCUUCGGCUCCGUCUGUCAGGCUCAUAUUUUCUUGUCCCUUUCGCCCCUGGUUUUCAUUCGUGGUAGAAGGUUCUGGAGUCGUUCUCUCUUCCCUGUGGCGACGUCGACCGCCGACGUCUUUGCCCUCCAGGUAUGUGCCUUGUUGUUUGUCGUUGUUCUCGACCGCCGUUUGGUUUCUCUUUGUGGCCGCGGGAUUUCGUAGAUCUGUGCUGUGGUUUCUCUAUUGUAGCGGGGGAACAGUGCUUCCUUCCAGAUAUGUGGUAUAUGGUUUUGGAUUUAGGGAUUUUAUUUUGGGUCGGUCCAAGGAGUCGCAGUGCUUGUGGCAGUUCUUGAAAGACGGAGCUGAGACGUGGAUGGUGUUGCGGUGGGGUCCUGAUCGCUGCGAGUUGGGGUCUUCCUAAAGCCUUUUCUCCUUUCUCAGGUUCUCUGGCCAUCCUCGUUCUCCCUCUUUGUUGGGGAUUCUUUAAGCCAAAGUUGUUCUUGUCGUUUCUUGAUCCAGUCCCGAUGCUGGCUAGUCUUUCAGCUCCUGUUGGUGGUGCCUUGCUCUCCCUCCUCUCUGGUCUCUUAGCCCCUAUCUCAACCGUAGCUCCGGGUCGCCGGUUUUUAUAUCAACCCGACCAGUUUAAUACGGUUCAAAAUGAGUCAAUUGCAUGCCCGAUCCGAUGCUCGACUCGAACCGGCCAGAGGUCCGGUUCCUGGUCCAAUCGGUCGAACCGGCCGGUUCGAGUCGAGUUUAACACUGGAUGUAUGUAAUUUUUGUUUUCAAAUUUAUUUAAGAGUUUUAACUUAUUCAUAUUACUUUUACUUUCAUCAUGUUUUCACAAACUUUUUCUUUUAAUCAUUCUCUUCUUUUCCUAUCAAACCACUCACCAUAUAUUUCAUUUUCUCUAUUUUCUAUUCUCGUAUCUUAUAAGUGUAGGUAAAUUUAGGAUGUAAAAAAUAUAUUUUCCUUUAUUUUGCAUUGGAAUUUCAAUCGAAUAAUUUCUCUUGCCGCAUGAUGUUUGGUUAUCAAUUAAAAUUAUAAAAUGAAAAAUUAAACAUUUUAAGACAUUUUAUUCAUAAAAAAUACUUCCUCUAUUCCUAUUUAUAAGAACUAAAUAAAAAGUACACUUGAUCCUUUUUAUAAGAACCAACUUGAAGUUUGUGGAGAAUUAGUUAUUUUUGGACAAGAAUGUCCUUAUUUAAUUGAAUUUAUCUCUCUUUCCACUUGCUAUAGCAUUAAAGAUGCAUAGAAAUUAAGCCUAAUGGGUUGAGGGUAACUUUGAAAAGUUGACAUAAAUUGAGAACAAAUUUAAUGCAAUUAUCUAGAUUAGUUAAAUUUGUUAAAUGGUGUGAAGUGGUUGUUUGGUUCUUAUAUUGAGGAACAGAGAGAGUAACAAUUAAUAAAAAAUAGGCUAAAAAGCACUUUUGACCCCUUAUGUUUCAAGUUUGUGCAAAUUCUGACUUACCCUAUUUUUGUCGAUGUUUCAACCCCUCAUGUUUUUAAACAGUGCACCGUCUCCGUCAGUCAAACGUUAAAAAACUAACGAAAUGAGCCGAUUUGUCUUUUUUGUAAAUAUUUUUUGGACCUGCCACAUGGAAAUUACAAGUGAAAUUGGAAAAAGGGGGCAUGAGAGAUUCAAACUCAAGACUUGUAAGUAGCAAAACAUGCAUUUAACCAAUUCAGUUACAUACAUAAUUGAUAUAUACAUCAAGAAAAUUUAAUUUAUAUCAUUUCCUUGAUUAUCAUUAACUUCAUAUACUCCUCUUCAUCUCUCCAAUCCACUCAGCAACCUCUCAUGAGAAAGCCUGACUGACGGAAGGGUAGACGGUGCACUAUUUGAAAAUAUGAGGGGUAAAAACGUCGACAAAAAUAGAGUAGGGGCAGAAUUUACACAAACUUGAAACAUCAAGGGCCAAAAAUGCUUUUUAGCCUAAAAAAAUAAAACGGAUAACUUGGUUACAAACAACACCAAUACUCUUGUGUUGAUUUAUUAGCUUGAUUUGUGAUUUACUUGUUAUGCUUAAAGAUCGGUGUGUUAUGACAUAAAGCUAGUUAGCUUAGGCCUUAUGUUCUUUUAAUCUCUGACCUAACUUUUUAGGUACACCUUAUAUACUUUUUUUUUUGGUUAAGCACACCUUAUAUACUUAAGAUUAACAAUGAAUUCUUUUGUUGGUUAAAAAAAAGAACGCAAAAACUUUUAUGCACGUGAUGUUCGUAUAUUUUUAAUUUUUAAAAUUUAUCUCCUUUUCAGAUUUUAUAUAAUAAAGCAAAAUUUAUUGAAAUAUAAAGUGUUGAAGAACAAUCCUUUCAAUAAUAGAUCAAAACUAAACCUAAACCAGAAAUAAAAGCCGCAAAACCAAUUUCAGGAUAAAAGCAUAAAUCAAGAGAGAUAAAACUCAAAAGUCUUCCUCCUCUAUAAUAAAUCCCGAAUCUGCCACACAAAACACCAAAGUUCAAUAACACAAAAGUAACAACAAAACAAAAAAUAGAAAGAAAAUCGUUGAGGUCGUAUAAAAACCACCACAACGAUCCCGCUCCCAUAAUCGAACAAAACCAAAGCAAAAGAAAAAAAAAAUCAUAAAACCUAAUUAAGUUAAAAAUCAUUUAGAUCAGAUAACGACCGAUAUCACAAUGAUUAGUUAAAUCAACUUGGCGGAGUAUUGGUAUAAUACUGUAAGGUUCAUAUGAGUUCUCCCUCUAAAAGAACAUAAUAUGUUUUAAUGAUAACAAAAGCUAUGGAGACCAUGACAAAAACAAUGAAGACCAUAGCAAAAAUAAUGGAGACUUGGAUAAGUCAAUGAAGACAAGAAGACAAGACCAAAGCAGCAAGGAUAAUGGUAAAGCUUCAUGACAAAAGAGAAGAUCAACAUUGUACUGGUAUGGGCUUAUAGGGCGCAUUAAUUCUAUAAGCGUCGAGAACUUAGGAAAUAUGCAUUACUGAUAUGGGCGUACCAACUUUGUAAUAUUGUGGGCUUUGCAAUACUUGUACAUAUAAUGGGCAGGCGACCCAUGAUCCCAAGCGGGUCAGAACCAAGCUAUAAAUAUCAGACACCACGCAAGCGGUGGGGGAUCUAACUUUUCACACAUUUUCUCAUUUUGUCAUUUUUCUAUGGCUCUCAAACUGUUUAGCCCUUGCUUGAUAGUUCCAGACCGUAACAUUGGCGCCCACCGUGGGGCUUUUGUAAAACAAAUCCCCACUACCACGAACAAGAGACUAUGUGAUUUCUACUUCUGAGAGAGGAGGGCGAACGAAAUUGAAGAGGAAACGAUGCAGUAAAUCUCUGUCAAAAUGUCAGUUUCAAAAGGAAAUAAUGCUUUGACAUCAAAGAGGAAGGCAAACGAAAUUGGUGACAUCAAACCAAAAAUUCAACAUCAGGAAACAGAUCGAGGGAAAGGGAAGGAGACGAAGAGGAGAACAGAAAUUUGCGGUGGCGCGAUCUUCAACAGCAGUGCGAAAGCCCAGACGCGGGCGAAAUUUGAUGCUUGAUGACGAGAUAUGCAAUAUUAACCGCCGAAGCCACAACUUUUGGGUUGAAACCGCCCACUCAAUAUCAACCGUCAACUCUAAAUUUAAAUGGUUAUUUUGUCUCAACUGCCACAUUGGAGUUGCAACUGCUCAUGCCCACCACCUCUAAAGGAUGACUCUUCAAGCCAUUCGAUUUCUUUGAUCCCUAUCUCUGACUCUUUCUCCUUUUAAAAGUUUUUUUGCACAUUUCCAUUAAGUCGAUGCUCUCUUCUGGAUAGCAAAUUUUCACCCGCUAUUGUCAUUUGUUUUGUGAAAAUUGCAGAUUUCAACAUUGCACACAAAGUGUUUGAUCAAAUGCCACAAUGAGAUGUUGUUUCAUUGCGAGUAGGGCAAUGCAAAUUGGACCGCCCUGCCCAAGUCUCAAAGGGGCGAAAAGAUAUGACAUAUGUGUCGGUGACUUUCGAAAGUGGUGCCCUUUAAACUCACUCAUGUUAUAUGUUUAUUCAUAAUCUUGGCCUUUUGGGGCUGUUUGUGCUAUUAGUUAUUAAACUGAUUUAACCCACUACUAUGCGAUGUGAUGAUUUAUUCGAAACUGGAUCUCUUUCAUCAAUGAUUUUAAUUACAAGUGAUUCUGACAUUUAGUAUUCGGGCUUAGUAUUUUUUGAAAGUGAAGCAUUUGUUAUAUUCCAAGGCCAGUUGACAAACUUUAAGAAAGCCCAUAUGUUCAUCUUGAAAAGAAUGGAGUAUAUUUAGUAAACGUUUUUGAAACAUCUGUGCUUAAAACAUGUUCUUUUUCUCGAGUUACAUUUACAUAAUGAGUUUGUGACACACAUGAUGUUUGUAUACAUAUACUUGAGUUGCUCUUGUGUCGAAAUUCUUUUUUGAAAGAGUGCAAGUGAGUGCAAGUGUUGGGCGUUUCAUUCUUCUAGCAAGUAUUAAGUUUUACAAGAUUUUAUUUUGUUAUUGCAAUUUUUAAAGACAAAUAAAAGGAGAUGGAGAUUAGUUUUUCUUACUUGGGCGUGGAAAUUAAAACAUUGGGCGGAGAACAACUAGUUUUGAUAUUGUCAAUGUGUUAUAUUAUAUUUUAUCUUAUGCUAACAAGGUGAUGAGUUGACAGGUGAUGAGUUGACUAAAAACAGUCAAAGGAUACAACAUUAUGCACUCUUUUCUCUACCCGGGCGGAAGAGUUUUUAAUGAGGCAUAAUUCUUAAAACAUUGCUUGAACAAGCAUGUUUUUCAUUUCUCCAACUUAGGUCUAUCAAUUGGGCGAUGUCAGACAAUUGAGAUAAGAGUAAGACUCUUAAAACUAGAGCAUCUGACCACGAAUUCAUAAGUACAGCCUUGAUUGGUUUAAGCUUACCCAAUUCAAGCACAAGGCCUCCAAGCGAGCAAGAGCCUUUUUAGAUCAUCGAUAAAAAAUGAGUAUAAUGCCAAGAAAUUAAUUAAAAUUAACUUUCUUGGUUGAAUCUUGAUUAAGUUCAAGUGUUAAAACCUUAUGAAUUCAGAGAAUAGUUGAUAGAGAAAUGAUGAGAUUGUUGGGCUAACAAUAUCGUUUUUACAAAUGGUACAACCUACUACACACACGUGAAUUUUGAGGCUGUGAAGGGACAACUUGAGUCAACUUGCACGCGCUACACAAAGAUUAAGAAGCAACAACAAAAGUUGAAAUGACAAAGGAAUGACUACUUAGCUUUUCUGUCUUUGAAUUUUUAUUUGAUUUUGGAGCCUGUGCGCCCAUUAUUUUAUUUGCACAUUUUUGGGCGUAUCAAUUACUUGUUAGUCUUUGUAUAGUGUUGGGUGAGUUGAUUACUUGUGGGCUCGUAAAGAAGACACACUUCGUAUUAAAGCUUUUAAGACUUGGUGUCUUGUGGGCUUGUGUACUGGUAUAGGCUUAUAGGGCGCAUUAAUUCUAUAAGCGUCGAGAACUUAGGAAAUAUGCAUUACUGAUAUGAGCGUACCAACUUUGUAAUAUUGUGGGCUUUGCAAUACUUGUACAUAUAAUGGGCCAGGCGACCCAUGAUCCAAAGCGGGUCAGAACCAAGCUAUAAAUAUCAGACACCACCCAAGCGGUGGGGGAUCUAACUUUUCACAUAUUAUCUCAUUUUGUCAGUUUUCUAUCGCUCUCAAACUGUUUAGCCCUUGCUUGAUAGUUCCAGACCGGAACAAACAUGAAGAUCAAGAAGAUGUCAAGAUAAAAUAAAGAAGAUCAAGGAAAUAUUAAGACAAGGCAAAAAAGAUCAAAGACAAUAGAGAAGGCAAGCUCAAGGAAAGCUCAAAGAAGAAGCUUAAAAGACUUGAGGAAAAAGCAUUGAAGUAAACGCAAACAUUCAAGACCAACUGAAAAAAGCCCAUGGUAUAGUGUUGUCUGCAUGCUCAACAGUGUGAAGUCCACACGCAUUGUCUGAAGACUCCAGAGUCGAGCAAGCAAAGUUUAGAGUCCAAGAAGAAGAAGAAGCGUCCAAAGAGAAGAAUUGAAGACAACAUAGAAAUAGUCAUAUGCAUCCUGAGAAAUCUACAAGACUUGCCUCAACAUGAAAGCAACAUUUCAACUCAAUCAGACAUCAUCACUCGAAGCAUCAAAUAUUUACCCAAUGCCUAGAAGUACAAAACUGUUGAACAGAGAUGAACGAUGCAAAAGAAAUAUUAUGAGACUGUCAUCCAACAAGCACUAAAAUCAGGCUGUAUCUCUAUAUUCAUUGACUGAUCAGUCGAAGCCCUAAAAUCCAAGACAAUGUCUACAAGUCUUCACCAACAUAUGAUCUCUAAAGUACAGGAAGACAACGCUCAAAGUUCAUAUCGUCUAAAGCUCAGAGUCUCACUAAUCAAGAAGAUUUUAUCUAACUUCCACUUAUGGGCGAAAGAAACUUAUAUAAAGCAGAAGCAAAGUCAUGAUGACUCAAGCAUCCAGAAGAGGAACGAGUCUCCUAAGGAAGUAACUAGAAGCAAUCAACUAGAUCGAGCAACUAGAACCAAGCAAUCAAAUUCAAAUAAUGUGCUUGUUCACAAGUGACUAGUUGAGCCUAACACAAAGUACCAAUCAAGGUACAGAGCUGUCACUUCCGCAAAAGCUAUGAGGAGCGCCUGUGAGCUAAAAGCAUAUAUGUCGUAUCAAGCACAAGCUUGAAUGACCAAACGACUACAAAUAUACAAACUAAGCCUGAACAUGAUGGGUUGAGACAACCAAGUAUAUCCUUCAACCAUCAUAGACGAUGAAGAACUGUGCAUAAGCGUUCACCAACGACGCCAAAAGUCUUCAUCCUUAUGACACAGAGCAGAGAAACUGUCAGCAUGAACUUGUGAUAAGAAAACCUAGUUUCUACUCUCCAACGUCCACUGCAUACACUCAAUAAGUCUCACAUUACAACAGUCAUACUCCAGGACUUAGUAUAAAUAGCCAAUGCAGUUGAAAGAGUAAAGGUUGUCAAUGAAGAUCGAACCAGUAGAGAUAAUGAUGAAUGGUCAGAUGAAAGAAUGAGAUUAAGAGUCAAACACUGAGAGAACAGAAGAUAUGAAAAGAAAGAAGAAAAAAACAUGAACUAAAGUGUUAUAUUUAAACAUGAUUUUUAAAGAUAGAGCUUCAAAGUCAUAUGCAUCUUGUUGACAAGAUAAAGAUGAAAAGAAAGAAGGAGAGAUAAAAUGCACUGAUUGACGGGGAGCGUUCCCAAUAUAUUGAAAACUGGAUCUUCUACAUAAGUUCUCAUGUUGAAUUCAUUCACUCAAAGAGUCAUGUAGCAAGAAGAAGAAGAAGCUCGCCGGUGUUGAUGGUCCAAAUUUAUACUCUCACUUCCAAAUGACCACAAAGAAGAAAAGCAAGGUUGAGCUGAUUCAAUGACAACAUCCAUGCUUAUGCUAGAAGGAAGAAUGAUCUUGAUCAAGAGCUCCAAUGUCUACUCAUCAAGGAGAUCAAGUCAACUCCAUAAAGGACUAAGAGCAAUUCAUUGUCUAUUAGCUAUAUCAUAUACAACUAAAGAUGAAUUGAUUGUACUGAACACUUGUGUACAUCUCAUAGGUUAAUUAGUAUGAACAACAUUCUCAAAUGUAAUCAAUUCAUGUAUCAAUGUGGCUAAAGAGGCACGAAAAUGAAUACUUGUAAUGCCUGAAGAGGCAGGACAAAGAAUACUCAACAAUGCCUAAAAAUGUAUGAGAAAAAAUACUUAAGAAUGUCGAGAGAGGCAGGAUAUAUAAAUAAUAUUUGUUGCCUGGAGAGGCAGUGUAUAAAAGAAUACUAGUUUGACUGGAGAGGCAGUGUAAAAAAAUACUCGUUUCCCUAGAGAGACAGGAGGCAGUGUAUAAAAGAAUACUUGUUUGCUUGGAGAGAUAGUGUAUAAAAGAAUACUUGUUGAACCUGAAGUGACUUGUACAAAAAUAUUCAACAAUGCCUGGAGAGACAGUAACUAAAAAACACUCAAUGUGCUUGAGGAGACAUGUACAAUAAUACUUGACCCUAUAAUGGAAGUACUACAAUAUACUUUUAAAAAGAAAAUUUAAGGAGCAAUUAUGAAAAGAAAUUUCAUAAACCAAUUUAGACGUGACCUAUAAUAAAAGUACUAAAAUUUACUUAACCCAAAUAAAUGUAAAGAAAUUAAAGUAAAUAAGUAGCUCCUGCCUCCUGUCAUCGAAUGAUAGCUCAAGUGGUAAGAGUUAUGAGAUAUGUAGCUGGGUUGAGUGGGAGAUGUCCAUAGAUCAAUCUCUGACGGAUGCAAUUUAUCUUUCCGAAGUAAAAAAAAAUUAUAAGUAGUUCCUAUUAUUAAAAACCUAUCAAACGUGUUUGAAGUUUUGUUGUAUAUUCCUUUGAUUUCCAGGUGAUAUUAUCGUGUAAAAACCGUGAGAAUAUUCAUUACUGCAUGCGCCACUCUACCGGGAAAUGUAAGUUUGGCUUCCUUCAUCAAAUAACUUAAGCCGUAGAAAUCAAGUAACAGAUCCCAGUAUAACUUUUGGUUUUGAUAUUUGAUUGAUAAAGAUAGUGUGUAUAUUAUAUUUGAUGGAGUGUGCAUUCCACAGGAUAGUGGCAACUAAAGUGUGUGAUUAAGAAAUUGAAGGGAGUGUGCAGCCCACACGAAAGCCACGGGUUCCGCACUUCCGAAAAGCACAAGAAACCAAAACUUGGCACUUCGAUGUAUCUGCAAUUUAAUAUAUUGCUUUCUUUGAUUUUUCUUUGCUUUUGUAUGAAAGAUUUUGGUGCCCACUUAGGUGAAUUAUUAUUAUUUUAGUCCACCGAUAUAUUAUGUGUAUUUUAAAUUUUGCACUGUGGGUAUUUCAAACUUUUACCCCUUUCUCUCCAUCUUCCUCCCACUCUUUCCGAUCCUCAGCCCCUCCCCAUCUCUCCAGCGGUGACCUGUUCUCCUCCAACCUCAUCCUCCCGACACUUACUCUCCUGCCACAACCUCCUUGAUUUUUUGUUUCUCUUCUGUCCAUGUCUCAUUCUCCGAGAGUAGGAACUAUGAAAUUUCAAGGAUUGUUAAAUGGUCUUAAGUUGCAGAUCCUCCUUGAUAAUGGAAGUUCUGAUAAUAUUUUGCAACCACGAUUGACUCAUUGUCUCAAAUUACCUGUUGUUCUGGUCUAAGGUCUAACAAUGGAUAUGAAGCACCCUUGAUAAACCCUAACAGAGCUAAAAAAAUAUACGUGAUGUAAGAAUAAGGGAAUUAUCUCAUUAAUGAUAGAAAGGUACCUAGUACAAGGUGAGGAUACCCCUUUUUAUAGUGGGAGUGAUCCAUAUCUAGAAUAUUCAUGGAUUUGUGCCUUACAUGCAAGGCCUAAAUCUCAAUGUGGAAUAAGACAAAUACAUACAUCAUUAAUAUGAUUAAUACAAAGCAACUCGGGCCCAUCUCUUUGCGCUGAGACCCAUGUCUUUAUCCAGAGGGUGUCAAUCUUACUGGGCGGGUCCAUGGGCUUGUACUAACCCGCCCAGUCCACUUGUUGAACCAGUUAUUGGGUUCCAAGAGGUGGUGGGAAAUGGUCAUUCCUUAGCUGCAGAAGGACUGGUCGAGGAAGUACAAGUACAGAUUCAAGGGCAUACUCUUACAUUACCCGUAUAUCUUCUGCAAGUUUCAGAUGCUGAUUUGGUUUUGGGAGCUACUUGGUGUUGUGGUUGAUUGCAAUGUAAGUCUCACAUUGCUAAUGAAGGAGAAAAAAGAUCAAGUUAUGCAUCUUGGAGAAGUCACACAUCGCUCAGAUUAGUGAGGGGAGAGAGGAUCUAAGACUAUAUAUAGGGAUCUCAAGCUCCUUGUUUCAACACACCAAAACACCAAAGAUGUAGCACCUGAAAACACUUUAAGUUUAUAUUUGUGUUUUCAUUUUCUCUUAUGCUCUUGUUUUAGAGUAUUGUGAGAUGUAGUUCAAAUAUUUACUUUGGAGAGUGUGGGUGUACUGGGGUAAUGGGGUAGUUGAGAGUGAAGUCUAUGUGUUGUAACAAUUUUCACAUAGUGUUUAUUCUCUGGUUGUUGGUUUUGACAACGGUCGUGGUUUAUCUCCGGUUUUGGAGUUUCCACGUUAUAUUCUUGUAUUGUUGAUUACGCUCCUGAUUUAUUUUACUUCUUCAGCUGUGUUAUUUCCUAACACUUGGUUGAUAACUUUGGGUCCUCAUAUUUCAGAUUACAAUUCUCUUACUUUAAAAUUUUAUUUGAACGAUCAGUUUGUGACACUCUAUGGGGAAAAGCCUCAGUUAACCUCUGUGGCUCAAAUUCAUCACAUUAGAAGGAUGCAUAACACACAUGCUAUUUCAGAGUUAUUCACCUUACAAUUCCAGCCUAUUCACACCCCACAUGAACAAUUGUUGGAUUUCCCUGAUGAUAUCAAACCUAAAUUGGCUCUACUAUUGCAUAAUUACAAGGCCAUAUUCUCACAGCACGUUGGCUUACCUCCUCCUCGGUCACAGGAUCACACCAUUCCUUUACUUCCGGACAACAUUCCAGUCAAGGUGAGACCUUAUAAAUACCCUCAUAGUCAGAAAGAACAUAUUGAAAAGAUGGUAGAACAAAUGUUAGCUGAAGGCAUCAUAGAACCGAGUAGGAGUGCUUUUUCUUCUCCUAUAGUUCUGGUUAAAAAGAGAUAUGGAACUUGGAGGUUUUGCACUGACUAUAGGGCUCUUAAUGCAAUCACAGUCAAGAUAGCUUCCCUAUUCCCACUGUAGAAUAAUUAUUGGACGAGUUAUUUGGGGCACAUUUUUUCUAAGCUUGAUCUUAGAUCCGGGUACCAUCAAAUACUAGUCAGCAGAGAGGAUAGGCAUAAAACAACUUUCAGGACUCAUCAAAGGGCACUAUGAAUAGCUUGUCAUGUCAUUUAGCCUUGAUGUCUCUAGAGAGAAAAUACGUAGGCUAGGAUAUUUAGUAGACAGACCCCCCAAAGUAAAAACCCUUCUUCAAGGUAAUCUCAUAAAUCAAGGUUUUUUUUCAAAUUAAUCAAGAUGAAAACCAUGAAAAUAAUAAAAUAUAAAAAAACAGAAAUAUUUGAUGGAACUACGUGACUCUAGCGACAUGAUUCCCACUAGGCAUGUCAAUUUGUUGGAUUACAAACAAAUGAAAGACUAGAUAUCUGAUUAAGCCGGCUGAGAAAACUAACGUAACGAUACCCUAAUCAAACAAUUACUUGAGGAAUAGACUUUGUUCUUCAAUGGGGGUUCAUAAGGUAUUUCAAAAAGUUGUUAGUGAUCGCUAUUGAGAAGUUUGUAUUGGUGACAAAGCUACUAAACGUAGGUAAAGAAGAAAAUGGAUAAAUGAAGUCUUAAACGGCUGAAAUUAAACGACUGAAAGCUGAAUAAAAAAAGUGUUGGAAUGGUAAAUGGUUGAAAUAUUGUAAAGAAACUUAAAGGCUGAAAAGUAAAGGCAUGAAAGUAAAAGACAAACUCGCGACAGAUUUGUAGUUUGAUUUGGUGAUGAGUUGUGUUUUUGUACAAGUGACCCUUCCUAUAUUUAUAGAAAUAACCUGCAACAGUUGACAAACCCUUGCCACUACCCACAUUUCUUGGUAUCUACAAGCAUUUAUAGAAGUGGGUAUUGACGGUUGCUUCUCCUGAUCAGCCUGGAAGUUCGGUUUAAGCUCACCUUCCUUCCAUCUACUAAUUCUUAAGCAGUAACUAAUUUCCCUAAAUAUUGAAGGGAUGAACCACAAAGUGAUUAUGGCACGUGGGGACCUUCUGGAAGCUUGCAUAUUUCUUUCAUCGUGCAUUGAGGUCCCUGCACCUUUCCUUAAAUGUUGUCCAAGUUCAUACUUUUCGCCGCUUCGAUGCCCAUCAUCAGCUAGUCUCACUAUCUCGAUUAACACCUCUCAGCGACUAACUUGCCAUGUCUGUUUAGGCAAGACGGUUCGGCUGCCUUUAUAGCCAUUACAGAUUUUUGGAUGCCAGAAAGAUCAAAAUAUUUUAUAGUACAAUGAAAUCGUGCCACAUCAAUUUAAAAUCAUUGUUCAAGAAUAUAAGUGUGAAGUUUGUUCAUUUUCUAAUUGACAUGUUAAUUUUAUUGAUUGAGACAAGAAUCAUCAAUUGAAGACGAAGAAUUUUAAUCCCCAUGCCACCAUAAAAUUUGAGCAAUUAAAAAAAGCAAAAAGAGCACCAAUAAUUAACAGUGGUCAAAUAGCUGGUAAAUGAAAGACCAGAAGAGCCAAUCAAUUUGGUGAGGCCAAAUGUUAUGGCCAUAGCCAUCCAACCACCAAUUAGCACUCUAAGGCAAGACCUCCUGACAAGGGUUUUUCCCAGCACUGCUCCUACCACUCCAAAUGCCAACAAUGUCAAGCUAGCCACAGCAGCAACAACACCAAUCCUGAUCUUGUAAUUCCUUAUAAACACAGCUGCUAGCAAUGGCAUCAGAGCACCCACAGAAAAUGCUAGUGCUGAGGCCAGGGCAGCCUGAAAUGGGUUUGGAAGCUUCUUCCUUUGUGCUUCUUCAUCAUACAUAUUAACAACUCCAUUGUUAUUAUUAGUUUCCCUUUCUCUUUGAAUCUGAGCUAUCUCUAUGUCAUACUGAGUGUAGACAGAGACAAACUCUCCAAUUGCCAUGCUACAAGCUCCAGCUAUACCAACCCAGCAAAACCAGCAAGAAGCAUGGCACUCACAUCUUCUUUAACAGCUCCAACACCCACCAUCAGUGAGGCAAUAGAGACCAACCCAUCAUUCGCUCCCAAUACCGCUGCUCGAAGCCACUGAGCUCUUUGAAAGUAAUCAAUAUCAUUAACAUUGGUAAAGAUAUGGUUCUCCACAUGGUUUGGAGAAAUUCCAAUAGCUUCAUUGGAGGCCAUGAUGGACAAGAUCAGUAAAAUAAAACUUAAGAUAAAAUAAGGAGUAUAUAUUUAUAUAUAUAUAGGAAUAUGAUAUUAGGAGCUCGUGGAGGAUCACUUUUCUAAUGAAGAGUUAUUUAUAGAGGGUCAUCAAUUUUCUUAAUUAAUAUAUUAUCAAAACAAAAAGCUUCCUUAAAAAUUAUUAAAGAGGACAAAUACAAGAGCCACACACAACCUGGAAACCCAUAUAUAUUGAUCUGCUAUCAAAAAAUCAAUUCUGUUUAAUAUAUUUGAUAACUUCCAGGACCUAUCACAUGCUAACAUAAAAGAUAGCUCAAAACUUAAAGGGUUAAAACCUAUAACCGUCCCUGAAUUUUGAGCGAGUUUUGAAAACUGUCCCUCGUUGGAAAAUUAUCUGAAAAUCAUCCUUGGACUUUUAAAAACAAUUUCAACUCAUCCCUCCGGUCGCCUUAGGUCCGGCUAGUUGCUUACAUAGUUGUUCAUGUCAAUUAAUGAACCUAUGUGUAAAUUUUUUUAUCAUUUAAAAUUUAAAAAAUCCUAAUUUUUUUUAUUUAACCCAAUUAUCUUAAAUUAACCCUAAAUCCCCAAACUAACCCUAAACCCCCUUUGAUUCUCUAAAUCUCUAAUUAACUCUAAACCAAUAAUCAAACCCAACACCCCAACCUCACCAACCCAGAAACUCAUACCCACCACCACCACACCCACCCACCACCCCCAACCUAACCAACCCAGAAACCCAUACCCACCACCACCACACUCACCCACCACCCUUACUCCCACCACCCUCACCCCAUCGAACAACCCCCACCACCCAGAAACUCAAACCCAACCCCACAGAUCUGUCAAGAAAACCAGAAGAAAAAAAAAAAAGAAGAAGAAGAAACUAACACAGCAACAACAACAUGCAAAUGAAAAAUCAAAGUUCAAUUGUUUUGAUCUGACCGUUUGGGAAUGGAUUUAGGAUUCGAUUUGUUUGGGAAGGUAUUUAAGGUUUGAUUCAGGAAGAUGAAAUGGGAUUUAGAGUUUUUUUACGGAAGGGAAGGAGGUGAUGGCAGCAGCAAGAAGAUGAUGAAGAUUAUUGAAUAUUUUGAAAAAUUAUAUAAAAAAAAUUAAUUGCUAAUUAGGAAUUUUUUUUAAUUUUAAAUAAUAAUAAAAUUACACAUAGGGCUCAUUAAUUGACGUGGACAGCCAUGUAAGCAACUGACCGAACCUAAGGCGGCCGGAGGGAUGGGUUGAAAUUGUUUUUAAAAGUUCGAGGAUGGUUUCCAGAUAAUUUUCCGGCAAUGGACGGUUUUUAAAACUUGCUCAAAGUUCAGGGACAGUUAUAGGUUUUAACUCAAAGUUAAAAGGUACUCAACCCUUUAUAAGCAUUAUCUAUAUUAUAUCUCUAAUUGUUCAGCCCAGAAAAAUUGUCUGAUAAAUGAGGUUGGUAGCUGGUGCAAUGGUGCAUGGGUGUGGGAUCUGAAAUGGGGUUCGGUUUUGAGGGAUAGGGACUAGAGAAAAGCUGCUGAACUUGCUACUCGGUUAAAUCAAAUUUCUCUCUUCCAAGGGCAAAUGGAUCGUUGGAAAUGGCUGGCAGAUAGUUCAGGAAAAUUCUCUGUUAAAUCCAGUGACGGAUCCAGAAAUUUUAAGUCGUGGGGGCAAUUUAUACAUAUAAAUUUAUAGCAUUAAAAAAGUGAUAUUUACUAUAACAAGUGAGCAUAUACAUCAUAAAUGAUUUUUAAGAGUCUAUUUUUCAAAAUCACUGCACAAUUUUUUCAUUCUUAACACUAUUAAACGUUGUUCUUUCUAGCCCAUCAAAACCGGCUCGAAUAUGUUUAAAUGAAUUAUUUGUAUGGGAUCCUACUAAAAAUAUGGGUUAUACAGAAAAAUUUAGUUGGAUCCAUACAAAUCUCAAUAAAUGUGUUAAUGUAAAUAUAGUUAGUAGUACUCUAAAAUCAUCAUUAUGCAAUAGACCAAUAUAAAUAUGGGGCAUUCAAUGUAGUAAAUAAAAAAAAAUAACACUUUAUAAUUGAAGGUUAUGCACAUGAAUGAGAGACGGGUGAAAGGAAAUGGAGAAAUACUCAAACGUGGGGGCAUACUAUUAGUGGUGGGGGCAUAAUUUAGUCUUAUAUACUAGUAAUCUAAUACUCUUGUGGACUUUUUGAAAAAAAUAGUGGGGUCAAAUGCCCCCAUGGUGCUUCACAUGGGUCCGUCCCUGGUUAAAUCUGCAUAUGAUGUGAUUCAAGGGUCUGUUGUGAACUCUUCAGAUGGGGAAAAUUUGUUUAAACACUUGUGGAAUGUUCCAGUUCCCUCAAACCAGCUGGCUUUUGCGUGGAGGGUUCUCUUGGAUCGAGUUCAAACAAGAGACCACUUGUGGAAGCGUCAAGUGUUGCAGAAUGUUGAUGACAUAGUUUGCCCUUUAUUUAAUGACGGGGUAGAGAACUCUGACCAUUUAUUUUUCACAUGCAUGCUGUCCUGGAGAGUUUGGAUGGGAAUCUUUAAUUGGCUUGGCAUAACCACUGUGCUCCCCGAGAAGAGUUAAGCUAAUUUUCUACAACACCCCCCUUUUGGUGGCAGCGUGAGUGCUAGAAAAGCUGGGAGGGUAAUUUGGGUUGCAGCGAUUAGAAGCAUUUGGGAGAUGAGGAACUCUGUGGUGUUCAAGGGUGAUUCUUUCGACCACAACCAGGUGCUUGAUCUGGCUCAACACAAGUCUUGGUCUUGGCUACGUGCAAAAUCAAAAGGGUUCAGCUUUUCUCCUUAUGAGUGGCACUCAAACCCAUUAAUUUGUUUGAGAUCGCUGUAACUGAUCUUGAAGAGUUUUGACUUUGUACAGGCUUUGCUUUGGCAUCUUGCAGCAAUUGGUGCACGAGGGGUUCAAUAUCCCAGCAUUCUAUUAGGCUUUUUAGCUUGCUUUGCUGUUGGAACUAGCAGGGAAUUGUUCUUGUUCUUUUCUUUUGUUUUGUUAAUAUUAGGCUAAAAAGCACUUUUAGCCCCUGAUGUUUCAAGUUUGUGCAAAUUCUGCCCCUACUAUAUUUUUGUCGAUGUUUCUACCCCUCAUGUUUUCAAACAGUGCAUCGUCUACCCCUCAUGUUUUCAAACAGUGCUCCGUCUACCCCUCCGUCAGGGGUAGACAGUGCACUGUUUGAAAACAUGAGGGGUAGAAACAUCGACAAAAAUAGAUAGGGGCAGAAUUUGCACAAACUUGAAACAUCAGGGGCCAAAAAUGCUUUUUAGCCUUAAUAUUAUUGUAUCUUUUUCCCCUUUCUUCUUCUCUCUAUUGUAUUAAGGGUUGGAGUACUCCUUGUACUCCAUUUUAAUGUAUUGCUAUGGCUUAUAAAAAAAAAUUAUAUCUCUAAUAAUGUGAGAUAUCUAAUGCUUUUUUCACACAUACGAAAUCUUCACCACCAAAAAAAUAUAAGAUAGACUCUGACACCAUAUUAGAAUUUGAGAGACUUAACUGAAUUAUAAAAAAAACUAGUUGAUGGUUUUUAUAUCCUUUAUGACGGUUAUGUAUAUCAUAUAUAUAUAUAUAUAUAUAUAUAUAUAUACCAAUGUGUGCUCUCAUGUUGGAAGGCAAGCUCCAUUGCAAAAGUAUUGCAAAAGUCGAGAUUAAGAAUAGUGUCACCUGAAAGGUGACUUAUGGGGGUCACUCUUGUGUAUUGCCGUCAGUUGAAAGGUUAUCUUCAUCACGAGAAAUGAAAGACAACAACUAAUAGACAGUAUUGUUCCUAAGAAAGUGGUUGUUCAAUUUGCAUCAAUUUCGGAUAGAACCAAAAAAGAAAAUACGUUACCGACAAGAAAAAUACCAAAAAUGGAAAUACCUUUACCGAUAAGAAAACAUAUCAAGAAGAAGUACAACAUGAUGUUCCCAUUCCCAUCAUUUUCUUCUUAGUACUUGCUAGUUAGGCUGUUCAUUCAAGAUGUAGAAGCACUUUGGGCAGGGCCGGUCUCGACAUUUUGGAGGUCCUGGGUUAAUAAUAAAAAUGGACCCCUAAAUUUUUUUUUUUGGAGAAAGUUUAAUAGGUACACUAAGCCAAAAAAAUGCCUUUUACAGCGCUUCGGACCUCUCGCCGCUGUUAAAUAGUAUACAGCAGUACGAAGCGCUGUAAAAGAUUGACUAUUUACAGCGCUUUUUUAAGUAAAAACGCUGUAAAAGUCUUAAUUUUUUUAGGGGCCCUUCUUUUUUGGAGGCCCUGGGCUGUGGGCCUGCUUGCACAGGCCCAGGGCCGGCCCUGACUUUGGCAGUAAUCAUCCUAUUAUGAAAUAAAUUUUUUUUUUAAUUAAUUACAGCUCCAGAUGCAUGGGAAUAGGAAAUAUGAUACUGGGAGCUUGCAUGUGGCAUCACAUGCUCAAGUUAUUUUGAAAAAAAAAAAAACAUCAUUCAUUCAAUAUAUACCUAGGGAAUUAAGAAUUGUACGUACAACAAAGGAUCAUAGAUACUCAAUUAAAGACUCUAAGAGCAUCCCCAGUGCUAGUUCUUAUUUCUUAGUUCUUAGCAUUAUUCAUGUGGGCCUGUAUUGCCACAUGUGCUUAAGUAACUCUCAAGCAAUUUUGCUGCAACCAUGAGUUCUUAAUUCUUACCACUAUUCAUUUGGUCCCACCAACCACAUUAUUUAUACUUUUUAUUUUCAUAAAGUAAAAAACAAAACUCAUAAAGUAAUAAAGUAAUUUAAAUGAGAGAAAAAUAAUUAAUAUUUUAAGCUAAAAACUCAAAAAGCAAAACUUCUUAUAUAAGAACUGAGUUCUUAUUUUUAAGAACUAAGAGAUUCAUGUCAACACCUCCAAUGGUAAAGUUCUUAAUUCUUAGUUCUUAACUCAAAAAUAAGAACUAAAAACCUUGCAUUGAAGAUGCUCUAAGUACAACCUUUGCUCAGCCAAUGCAUCAACGUUGGCAUUAGCUUCCCUAAAUACACGGCCAAUUUGAUGGCAUGUAACUACCUUACAUAAUAGAUCACA